rnacentral:lncRNA from 1 species
AUUUCAAAUCCUUCUGUAAAAUAUUAUAUAAUUGAAAAAUUCAGAAACUAACCUCUAUUUUCGAUUGUUGAUCUAACAGUAGCUGAAUAUCUUCAAGCUAGUCCGCUAUACCUACAUGACUCGUCCAUUGUUCCGCCUAUUCAAAUACUAUUAUUUCAAAAAAUACAAUAAUGAAUAAAUAUUAUGAUAACUAUAUUAUUAAAUAAAUUUUACCUUGUUACGAGUGAGAAUCGAUAAUGGGCGUUGACUCGGGGGCGUAAAAAUUGUUGUUGGUAUCAUGCCCAUGACUGCAGAAGGAGUAUGCAACCACUGAUUUUAAUUUUUUAUGGUUGUGUCACCCGAAUCAUCUCUCGUUACAGUGUGGCCAACAUGGUUGAUCCCCAACUGGGUUGCCCUGCUUCUUUCAAGUCAACGAGUUGUAGUAGCCACAUUAGAUGUACCAGAUUUCGAGAUUUAAUGAGCAUUAGAAUACCCCUGAUUAACCUCAGGAUGAAUGCUCAAGCUAUUGAUGUCUUUCAAGGGCACUUGCAAAGUUGUCAAGAUAAUUGAAAAUUUCUUCCAACCAUUUUAUCUCUAUUUGGCUACCAAAAAACUUCUUUAACACCUUGCCUAGUAGUGCAUCGCAAAUACCACUCCAAUCACCAAAGUUCAUCGCCCCCGUAAUGAUUGACCCAUCCACCGGUAAAUCGAGUUGUAGCGUUACAUCCUCAAGUGUAAUUAUACACUCAUCGUAUGGAAGAAGAAAUGUGUGUGUCUCGGAUCUCCAUCUUUCUGCUAAUACGUUGAUAAGUGUAGGAUCCAAUUUACACCUCUAAGCAUAUGAGACACGUGUAAGAAUCUCGCCUCUUGUAAGUCUUCUUCAAUUACACGCGAUGCCUUCACAGAUAAAUUGUAGAUGUAAAUCUAUAAAAUUCGACCUUUGGCCAGAUUAUAUAAACAUAAAAUAUUAUAAACUUAAUAAUCUUAACAACUUAAUAAUGAACUUAAUUAAAAUUAAAAAUUUUAAGAAUAUAUUCUUACCAUUUGCAUUUAGACGCAGGAAAUAUGCACGUUAUUGAAACGAAUUAAAUAAAUUACCAUUAUAAAAAUUAAUUAAAAGUAAAUAAGUUCUGAAAUAUACAAUUAAAACAACAAGAUUUUUAGAGAAAUUAUCUUUUAAAAAUUGAGAACUAAAAACUUUAGAGAAUUGCUGAAUUGAGAGAAUUAGGAGAAUGAAAUUUGAAUGCAAAGAGUGAAACUGGCUUGGGUUUAUAUAGCAAAUAAACUAGCCAUUUUUAACUGUUAGAAAUAAUUUGCCAGUUGGAAUUUUUUACCGUUGGGAAAGCUUACCAUUGCCUGAAAGCGCGUCUAACAAGACACGUGUUUUCAUCUGACAUGGUAAGAAAGCCUAUCCUGCUGGACGUGUUUUCUAUUUCUCUUUCAAAAUCGACCUAUUUCCCUAAAUAUCCCGAAAUCGACCUAUUUUCCUUAUUUCUUUUUACAAAUUGGUGUAUUUCUCUAAUUUAGCCAGAUAAUUAUAUUAGAUUAUGAUUUAUGACAUACUUACAUAUAACAAUUUUUUUUUUAAAAAAAGGCAUAAUGAUUUAUUGUCUCUUAAACUUUACAAAAAAGUUAUUUUAGUAUUCUAUUUUUUUCCUUUUUUAGCCCUUAAACUUGUAUUAUUUAUUAAAUCACCCUAUAAUGGAUGAAAAAGUUAAUAUCUGUUAACUUUGCUGAUGUGGCAUCCACGUAGUAGUCCAUGUGUAUACCACAUUAAUUAGUAAUUAAUUAAUUUUUUAAAAAUAAGUUAUUAACACCAAUUCAGUAAAAAUGUUAAAAUUUAUGGUAUAUAUAUGUAUACGUCAGGGGUCGCGGAUCGAAGCUUGUGACGAGUACACAUAGAGGUCAAACUGAUUAAAUGAGGCUCAUUUAACUUAUUUGAACUGACUUGAUUCGUGAAACACAUGAAGAAGUUCAUCUACUUGAAGGCUUGAUGGCCUAGUGGAACCCUCCAGUAAAACUAGAGUUCCCAUGGUUAAUAUUUGUAAUCCUAAGGGAUAAGAUUGUAUAGAGUUUAAAACCCUUAGGACUCUAAUUUUGUAGAUAGGCUUUGAUCUUGACCGGUGAUGUAAUUUAACUGUACCGUUGGAUUAGGGGGAGCUCAACUAUAAAAAGAAGCAUUCCCCCUCAUUUGUAAGCAUUCCAUUCAUAGUUAUUUAAUAUAUGUGAGAGCAUUUAUUUAAAUACCUUGUGUGCAUUACUUUUUUGUGACUUUUCUGUUAGAUUCGUGUCUCUUUGUCUUUUGAGUUGUUUUCGCUUUAUUUCGGUGCCUUAGAGAAUUUCUUUUGUGAAUUUUGAAUUUCGAGAGUAAGGCUGGCUUAGGCAAAUUAGAAGCAAAAGAAUCAACUAAGGUUGUGCUAUAUGCUAGACUAAACUUCUAAUCCCGUGACAUACACAUACUAGUUUUAUGAUAUACACAGGAGAAAAUAAGACUAUGUAAAAAAUAUAUUUAUAAAUAUUUUAUAUUAAAACCAACGGAAGCCUUAACUGAAAUGAUUAAAUUAAAAGUUUGAAAUACAUGUGUCUCAAGUUCAAUUCCUAUUAUAGUAUUAUUUUACUAAUUACAUCAUCAAACUAUCAGUGUUAUGUCAAUAAGAAACUUUGCUACUUUGGUUCUAUUAUUUUCAAAAAGAAAAUGCACAAUGAUUUAUUUAUCCCUUUUAACUUUAUAAAAAAUUAAUUUUAGCCUUCAUUUAAUUUUUUGUUUAUUUUAGUUGUUAAAUUUACGUUUUUUUAUCAAAUUAUCUUAAAAUGAUGAAAAAAUUAAUAUUUUUAAGUUUCCUAACGUGACAUACACAUAGAUUGCCACAUGGAUGACAAGUCAACAUUUAAUUAAUUUUACAAACUUUAAAAACUAAAAACUAAAAAAUUACCAAAAUUAUUUUUAAAAAUUAAAAAUCAUUAAAAUUAUUUUUAAAAAAAUAUAAAAAAUAUUUUUAAAUUUCAAAAAUUUAAUUAAAUGUUAAUAUUUUAUUCAUUUGUCAAUUCACGUGUAUACCACCUUAGCAAAACUAAAAAGCGUUAUCUUUUUUAUUCAUUUUAGAGUGAUUUGACAAAAAUUACAAGUUUAAGAUAUAAAAGAGAAAAAAAGAUUAAAUGAAAUACUAAAAUAAUUUUUAUUUAUUUAUAAAAUUGGAAGUUGACAUAAGCAAAAACCAAUAUACCCAAUUCAGGACAUCAUUGGAUUAUAUGCGUAAAUGUUAGAUUUAAAUAGUAGUACAUAAAUAAAUGCACCAUAAUAGCUACCUUAAAAUAGACUUGUUAAUUGUUGUACUUGCUUGAGUGUUCCCUCGUAAUUACUUACGUAUUUUUGUUUUUAGUUAUAUUAAAGUUGUUUUAUAUUUUGCUAAUAAUCUCUUAACUCAAUGGUAAGAGUAUUAUAUUGUAGAUACGAGAGUCUGGAUUCGAUCCCAAAUGACUCCAUUCUCAUCCUUCAAUUAUUAUAUUUAUACAAGGUAAAUGUUGAAUGGUUUGUAAAUAAAGAAGGGUAUAAGAAUUGAUUAUUCUAUUUAAAAACUUACAAAUUUAACAUGGAUAAAGUUCGAACAACAAACGCAACUGGAACCCAGGCCAUCACAUGGGGUUCGGAUGGUUAAAUUCUUGAGAAAUGCAUUUGUGUUUUAUCUAUAAUCUAUAAUAUGUAUAAAAGUUUGUAUGAAAAACUUUUGAACUGAUGAGAACAUAAUUUAUUUUCUAUCAUAUUAUUAAAUUUAUAUUUAAAAAUAAUUAUAAUAAUUAAUUUUAAAAUUAUUAGUUUAAAAAGUUGUGAUAAUUAAACAUUUAAAAUAAUUAUAAUUUAAUAGAAGUAGUGAUAAUUAAACAUUUAAAAAUAAUUAGAAUUUAAGUUAGAAUUAUUUGUUAAAAACAAUUGUGCUAAUUUUAAAAUUGAGUUAUUACUUGAAUAGAACUAUAAACAUAAAAUAGGGAAAAAUUGUGAUAAUUAUAAUUAAUAAGUAUUAGUUUAAAAUGUUUUGACAUAAACAGAAGUUGUGCUAAUUUUAUUGAUAUAAAAUAGAGUUAUACUUGAAAAGAAUACUAAACAUAUUAAUUAUCACUUAAUUAAUAUUAGAUUUAAUUAUGUUAAUUGGUUAUUAUUUUGAAUAAUUUUACUUUGCAUUAAUUACAUAAAUUAAAACUAUAUUGUAUGUUGAAUAUGUUGAAAAUGCUUUAAUUAUUAUUUGAAAAUUUUCUGUUAUAAUAUUUGAAUUGAUAAAUUAAUACAUUCAUAUUAUAUUCAAUCAUUUAAAUAAGAAAUAUUAUUUAACAUUAAUUAUUGCAAUUAAAAUGAAUUAUUUAAAAAACUAAUUAAAUAUUACAUGAACUAGUAGAUAUAAAAGCAUGAGUUUAGAGUUUUUUUAUUACUAAAUUGAAAUUUUAAAAAAUAAUUAUAAUAUUUAAUUUUAUAAUUAUUAAUUAAAAAUUUUGAGGUAAAAUAGAACUUGUGAUAAUUGUAUAUUUAAAAUAAUUAUAAUUUUAUUUACAAUUAUUACUUAAAAAAGUUUAGUUAAAAUAAUUAUGAUUAGUACUUUGUGGGAAAAGUAGUGAUGCAUAUUGGGCAACUGAAUCAAGUAAAUGCUAUGAGCGAGGUACAUCUAGAACACUUUCCUAGUGUUUUAAAUUUUGACUUACUGUUGGCUUGGUAAAGACAUAAAGGUCCUUCCAAAGUUUUGAAGUAGGUAAGUCAAGGGGCUUACAAACCAAAAUUAGCAACAAUACUCAAGGUUAACUCGGUGUUCAAUGUAAGGGUGCUGAAGCCUAUUUGUAAGGAUCAAUGUGAUCCUGAUUAAGACAAGUCAUGAUGGGGGCAAGUAAGAGCUGUAGGCUCUUGCGAACGAGAUGUAUAAGAUAGAGAUACAAAUCGAGUAAAGCGACAAAAAAGACAAGCCAAGGAAAAUGUUCCGAGGGGACGAACUACCCUACAGAGAGACUAGUUAGGAACCAACCGAGGCAUUGCAACAAUUUCGAUAUGAGUCAAACCAGUGUCAUUCUAAGGACGUGACAAGGGCUUCGCGAGAAUGGAUGGGGAGAAUGUCACAGGCCAUGAAUAAAUCUCGUGACUAUUACACAUAAGAACGUCUCGUGGAGGUCAACUGAUUAAAUGUGACUCAUUUGACUCACUUGAACUGGCCUGAUUCAUGGAAAUCAUGGAGAAACCUAUCUACUUGAAGCCUUGGUGGCCUAGUGAAACACUAAUAAAACUAAACUUACCAGAGUAAUUAAUGUAAAUCCUAAGGGAUAAAGAUGCAUAGAGUUUAAAACCCCUAGGACUCUCAUAUUGUAGAUAGUAACUAAUCUUAGUUGUUGAUGUAAUUCUAUAACAACUCGUUUUCAGUGGUUUCGGGAUCACAAAUUCGACCAAUGAGUCAACAAAUAUUAAUAUUUACAAAGUUAUUAGAGUGUUGUAUUAAAAUUUGCUUUAGAAUUGUAGCGUUUGGUCAGUUAAUUAAGGAAAAAAAGAUUAAAUCGUAAAAUUUGCAAAAUUAAUCGUUAUUAAUUUAUAUUAGCUAAAUCUUUAUAAAAUAUUAAUUGGAGGGUUUUAUGAGGCAAAUAGACCAUGCUAGCUAUAGUGGACAGUUUAGGUAUGAUAUUUUAUGAAAUUUAAGUUAUUUUAAAAGGGUAAAAUAAUAAUUUAAUAAAUAAAACAUGAACUAAAACAAACAAAGGUUACCAUCUUCCUCAUUUUGAAUUCACCAACCGAAAACCACCAUUGACAAGGGUUUAAUAAUUAGCUAAGCUUGAUCUUCUUGCACGCAAGUCAUUUGGAUACUCAUUUUUAGUAAUUUUUAUUUUUUUAGAUUGUUGUAGCUUAAUCUAGUUAGUACAUGGACUAUUUUGUAAAACUGUUAGAGGUUUGAAAAAUUACCAUUGAUGAAUUUGAAGUUUUUAUUUAUUAAAUGGUUGAGCUUGAAGAGUUGUUUUGAUAUGAGAUUGUUUUGUAAAAUGAAUUUGGUUAAUUUUAAAUUUAGGGACUAAAUUGAUGAUAUAUUGAAAUUAGCAUGAAAUCCUUGUAAAAUUUCAUUGAUUAUGGGCUUUAAAUGAAUAAGAGUAAAUUUAGUUUGCAUGCUUUGGGCUUGAUUGUGAUGAAUGCGUAACUUUCGAUUUUCAUGAUUAAAUUGAAUAAAAGGAAAAAGUUCAAGGUAAUAAUGUAAAAUGUUAUUAAAAGGUCAAGUGCAUGUAUUUAAAUAAUUUAAGGUAUUUGAAAUGGUUAAUUGAGUUAAAUUAUUAUAUAGAUCAUGAAACGGACCAAUCGGUAGAUAACCGCAGUAAAGGAAAAAUUGCGGAGUAAUCCUCGAUGUGGUGUUUGUAGCUGUUUUGUUUAGGUAAGUUCGUAUUAGGUUUUUUCUAUUUAUAAAAUGUUUGAAUUGAAUUAUGUAUGUGUAUAAAUGUAUAAGUGUUGGUAUGGUUAUUUGAGAAAAGUAUAGAUGUGGAAUCGAGGGGCUGAAAUGUAAAGUAUAACAAUUAUACUUGUUUGAAAUGAAAAUGACCAUGUUGAAUAUGGUGUUAUAUUAUAAAGAUGGAAAGAAUAUGGGAAAUGAGUUAAGGCCCGUGUGAGCUUAGUGAAUGAUUAGGAUACAAAUGACAUGUCAUUAAGGUUUAUCAGGCACUAUGUGUCGGUGAUUACAGUUAUUAGGUACUUUGUAUCGGUGUUACAGUUAUCAAACACUUUGUGCUGGCAACAUUAAUGAUUAAUGUUCCAAUUGUCAACUUGUGUGAGCAAAAUUAUCCCGAGUAUCUGAAGUUAAUUUACUAUAGUUCCCUAGGAAAAAUAAGAUAAAGAAAUGAAUGGAAAUGUUGAGUAUGAGUUAUAUAUGAAUCAUGUGCUUAUCAUGUUAAUAGAUUGAAUGAAAUGAUGUACUAACCUAUUUGGUUAUAUUGUGAAAGGUGUAAGAGAUUAUGGAAUGGUAUGUAUGUAUGCUAAUUACAUUAAGUAAAUUAUGAAAUAUCAAGCACGUUAUGUUUAAGUUUUAUACAAACUUAUUAAGCUUUAAAUAAGCUUAUCUCGUUUUGUUUUUUUCCUUGUAGAUUGUUGAAUUUGUGUAGUCGAUUGAAUCAUCUUGGGAAAUCACACUAUUCGUCAACUAUUUUUGUAACUAUUUACUUAUUUUAGUCUGGUUAUAAGUGACAUGUAAAUAGGUUAAUGACAAUAUAUGUACAAAAGUAGUUUGAUUAUGUUUUGUGCCAAUUUGAAGAUGAACUACGUGUGUAAAGAUGCAAACUAUAACGGUUGUUUUAGUGGUUUGUGGCUUGUGUUGGUAUAAGCAUAUUUGGUAUAAACCAUAUGCUUCAACUUUUCAGAGUAAUAACUGAGGUCUUCAGUACAUGGUAUAAAUAGAUAUGGAGACAAUAGAUCUCCCUAUUAUAAAUUCCGAUGCGAUGAAAUAGGCCCAACUUUCCAACCGUUCAAAGAGAUUGAGUAACUAAUUGUAGUCACACACAACAUGAUCCAAUUAAUCCAGCACUCAUCAAACCCCAUUUUGCUCAUUAUAAACUAUGAAAAACCCCGUCUAUCUGGUUAUAAGCCUUAUAGAUAUCGAUCUUCAUAGUAACCUCCCAUUUUUGCUCUAUCUCCCUUUCUUUCACAAAUAAUGGAUUAGCUCAAACGCAAUUAGAAUAUUAUUUGUAAUUAAUCAUCUUGGAAUAAAAAUCGUAAAUAGUAACUUUUUUUAACUGACAAGCAAGGACCUUCACAAGAAUCUUGUAUAGAACAUUGCAAGGAGCUGUAGGCCUAAGAUCCUUCUUAGAAGUUGGCUUAUCCUUCUUUGUAACAAGCACUACAAUAGUCUCGUUUAAGCAUUCCCGGAAAUAGUUCACUCCACCCAAGAGCAACACUGCACAUACACAUCCUGUCCAACAAUAGGACAACACCGUUGAAAAAAUGUAAGAUUCAGACCAUCCGGCUCCGACGCUUUGUCUAGGUGCACCGACAUAACCGCUUCUUUAAACUCUCAAGGCUCAAAUGCAGCAAGCAAGGAUCUGGUCCGUAUUGACAGAAGGCGCAAACUCGACAUAUGCAGAAUAAUCAUAAGACUUAAGAGAUUGAUGCAACAAAUAGAUCCUAAAAGUACCCUUCCACAAUCACCCACAUACCAUCAUCUCUGGUGCAAGGAUUACCUGAUCCAGCUAGCAACAUAGAUCCUUGAUUAAUCCGACGACACUUUGAUUCUUGGGCGUGAAAAUACUUAGUAUUCGCCUCCCCAUGACACAACCAUAAAACCUUAGCCCUUUGACGCCAAUACACAGCCUGUUGAGAGAGCAAGAAGUUAAGUUGGGAGCGCAACUCCAGUAAAGAUAAAUCAUUAACCCAACAAGCUUGCGCGACUGUUAUACGCCGCUUUAGAUCUUGGAUACGAGGUGCAGAGUUAGUAGCGGCUGACUAGUGCUAGUGCCAAAAUGCCUCACUACAAGCAUGCAGACGCUCAAUUAUACCAACUGAAGCAGAAUCGUUCCAACAACCUGACAUCACUCCACUAAAACCUCCUUCGAGAGCCAUGAGUUUUCGCACUUAAACCUCCUCAUACGAUAACAAGCAAAACAAGAUUAUUAUCUGACGUUUCACUGACUAAAUUAUAUAACUUGAAGAAAGGAAAUAAUUGCAUCCAAGACAAAGGUGCAAACGCUCUGUCCAACCGUUCCAUCACAAAAGAAUCAGCUCAUAACUAGUUUUUCUCACCCCCAAUAAGAAAACAAACUUCUCUAUUACAUGAAUUUCGAUUAAAUGAGCAAUAUAAUACAAAAAUUUUGAUUUUUGAUUUUGUAUGUAAUUUUAUAAAUAAAUUUUUGAUUUGAUUCAAUUUUUAUAAAUUAUUAACAACAUUAUCGAUGCAUUGAUAUACUGUAUACGUAAAUAAUUAUAUUAAUCCAAUUUGAAAAUAAAUAUAUAUAUUCAUUAAUGUAUAUAAUUUCACCAAGUCAAAGUUCAUAUAUCAAAUUACAUAUUAAACUAAAAUUCAUGUAUAAUUUGGUAUUUAUCCCUUUAAUUAAUAAAAAAUAAUUUGGGCAUUUAAAGUUACCCAAAAUAUCUUGUUUUUUAUGUUAAUUUGUGUCGAAACCGUUUUUAUUUUGAAAAACGGGAAUCGACUUUUCAAAACGAAGUAUGGAGUCGCCACCGAUCCUUUUUUGAGGUGUAAUCAGAUCACCUUGAGAUUGAUCAUUUUAAUAAAACAUUUAAUUUAUUAAAACAAUAAUUUUAGGUCUACGAAAAUUGAGAAAACAAGUUCGGAAGUCGGUUAUGCACAAGGAAGGGUUAACACCCUCGUAACGCCCAAAAUUGGUACUAAUUAAUUAUUUAAUGUCUUAUCGUUGAAAUCUGAAAGAAAAAUGUUAAAAUACGAUCCCCUUAAAAAUGCGUAAACAACUCGAGUUGGAUUUUAAGAUUCACUCGUUUCAAAGGAAUUGCGAAAAAAAUAAAAUAAAAUAAAAUAAAGAACACACAAAUUUUACGUGGAAACCCUUUCGGGAAAAAAACUAAGGGCAGAGGAGAAGAAAAUUCACUAUGUCGAAAAAAUUGAAUCAAAUACAAAAGGAAUAGACUAUGUCUAUUUAUAGGCUUGCAAAGCCAUAUUCUAGUAGGAUUGAAACACUUUAUCCUAAUCAAUAUAAAAUAGAUGGAGUUUAAUAAGGUUUAAAAAACCUUAUUCUAAAAUAAAAUAAAAGAAGUCUAGUUCUAUAUGGAUUUUACUUUUUAUUUUAUUUUCCAUCGUAUUUUAUUUAAAUAAGAAUUUGGGUCACUUAAUUCUAAUAAUCUCCACCUUGACACAAAUUCUCAAUGAAUAAGUUCUUCAUCGCGAACUUUCAAUAAACGAGUUCUCCACCUCUUCCAUAAAAUCCCUUAAGGGUUUAACUUCAACAAUGAACACCAACCAAGUCUAAGCAAUGCUCAAACUUGGUUAUAGGAAAUGACUUAGUCAUCAUAUCUGCAGGAUUUUCAUGAGUACUAAUUUUGCUCACAACAAUAUCACCACGAGCAAUAAUAUCACGAACAAAAUGAUACCGAAUAUCAAUGUGUUUUGUUCUCUCAUGAAACAUUUGAUCUUUUGUAAGAAAGAUGGCACUCUGACUGUCACAAAAUACUGUGCUGAUUUGAAGGUCUUCAUUGAGUUCAUUACGUAGUCCCUUCAACCAAAUAGCUUCUUUACAAGCCUCAAUAAUCGCCAUGUAUUCAGCUUUAGUGGUAGACAAAGCGACUGUAGUUUGCAAAGUGGCUUUCCAACUAAUUGCACAACCUCCGAUUGUAAAGACGUAACCUGUGAGAGAUCUUCUUCUAUCAAGGUCUCCAGCAAAAUCAGCAUCAACAUACCCUAUAACUCUAUCUUUAGUUCUUCCAAACUGUAAGCAAACAUAGUAGUGCCUCAUAAGUAUCUUAAAAUCCACUGAACUGCUUUCCAAUGUUCUUUAUCGGGAUUUUUCAUAUAUCUGCUAACUGCACUGACUGCAUAUGAUAAAUCUGGACGUGAACAAACCAUAGCAUACAUGAGCAAUCCCACUGCACUAGAGUAUGGAACAUGUGACAUGUACUCGGUCUCAUCAUCUGAUUGAGGAGACAAGGCCGAUGAAAGUCUGAAAUGGGCUGCUAAAGGAGUACUAACAGGCUUAGCACUCUGUAUAUUGAACCUGCAAAGAACUUUCUCAAUGUACCCCUUCUGACUUAGGUACAAUUUACUUGCUUUUCUAUCUAUGAGAAUCUCCAUACCAAGUAUCUUCUUUGCUGGUCCUAAAUCUUUCAUCUCAAAUUCUUCACUUAGUUGGGCUUUAACCUUUCUUAUCUCUCCUUUAUCUUUUGCUGCUAUCAACAUGUCAUCAACAUAAAGAAGUAGAUACACAAAAGAACCAUCACUGUUUUUCUUAAAGUAAACACAACUUUCUAAACUACUUCUUUUGAAAUCAUGAGAAGUCAUAAAAGAAUCAAACCUCUUGUACUACUGUCUUGGUGACUGUUUCAACCCGUAAAGGGACUUUCUCAGAAGCAAACAUAGUCCUCUUUUUCUGGGACUAUAAAACCCUCUGGUUGUUGCAUGUAAAUAUCUUCCUCAAGUUCUUCAUGCAGAAAUGCAGUUUUUACAUCUAACUGCUCAAGCUCCAAAUCAUGCAUGGCCACAAUACCAAGCAAAGCUUGAAUCGAACUAUGCUUAACAACUGGAGAGAACACAUCUGUGAAGUCCACUCCUGGAAUUUGACUGUAACCCUUUGCAACAAGCCUUGCUUUAUAUAUGGGUUCUUCAACUCCUAGAGUCCCUUCUUUCUUUUUAAACACCCAUUUACAACGAACAACCUUUUUACCUUUAGGAAGUUUCACAAGGUCCCAUGUUCUAUUUUUGUGGAGUGAUUCCAUCUCUUCUUGCAUAGCAAACAUCCACUUUUCUAAGUCUUCACAGCUAACCGCCUCAGAAUAAUUAGAUGGCUCUUGAUUCGCAUCUAUAUCUUCAGCCACAUUUAAAGCAUAAGCAACUAGAUCAACCUCGGCAUACUUCUUUGGAGGUUUAAUUUCUCUUCUAGUUCUAUUUUUGGCGAUAGAGUAUUGUGGUGAAGAAGCAACUCUAUUCUCAAUUUUUGUUCUGGCUUGAGGAGUUGACUCUGUAUUAAUUUGAUGCUCCACCUACUUUUGAUUUUCUUUAUUGGAAGAGUCUUUAAGAGAUAAGUUAGGUAGCAUAGCAGUUUUAUCAAAAACAACAUCUCUGCUAAUCACAACUUUUCUAUUUUCAGGACACCAUAACUUAUACCCUUUUACACCAGCUUUAUAACCAAGAAAAAUGCAUUUAAUAGAUCUCGGUUCCAAUUUUCCAUUAUCAACAUAAGCAUACGCAGGACACCUAAAAAUCUUUAAAUCAGAAUAAUUAGCAGGAUUACCAGACCAUACCUCUUGUGGAGUCUUUUUCUCAAUGGCAACGGAUGGAGAUCGGUUGAUCAAAAAACAUGCAGUAGAGGCCGCUUCUGCCCAAAAUGCCUUCGGUAAGUUGGCAUUUGACAACAUACAUCAAACCUUCUCCAUGAUCGUUCUGUUCAUUCGUUCUGCAACGCCGUUUUGCUGUGGAGUAUGACGAACUGUCAAGUGUCUCAUGAUCCCUUCUGACUUGCACAAUCUAUUAAACUCAUCAGAACAAAACUCUAAGCCAUUGUCUGUGCAGAGGUAUUUUAUCUGUUUUCCCUUCUGUUUUUCAAUCAUAAUUUUUCAAGACUUAAAUGCGAAAAACACAUCACUUUUCUACUUCAGGAAAAACGCCCAAACUUUUCUGAAAAAAUCAUCAAUAAAGGUUAGCAUAUAAUUAGCUCUACCUCUCUAAGGCACUCUGGAUAGCCCCCACAGAUCAGAAUGAAUAUACUCCAACGUUCCCUUCGUGUUAUGGAUUCCUCUAGUGAAUCGAACUCUCUUUUGCUUCCCAAAAACACAGUGCUCACAGAAAUUCAAUUUGCAAAUUCCUUGCCCAUUAAGAAGUCCUCUUUUGCUUAAUUCUGUCAUACCAUUCUCACUCAUAUGCCCUAGGCGCAUAUGCCAAAGUUUAGUAAUAUCAUCAUCUGACAAGGAAGAGGAAGUGACAGCUGCAUCACCAGUAACAGUAGAACCUUGUAAAACAUAUAACUUGGCAAUCUUUUUCUGCCCUUUCAUCACAACAAGGGACCCUUUGGAAAUCUUUAAAACCCCACUUUCAGCUGUGUAUCUGUACCCUUUUGAAUCAAGAGUACUCAACGAAAUUAAAUUUCUUUUCAAUUCUGGAACAUACCGCAAGUCACUAAAUGUUCUGACAACUCCAUCAAACAUCUUAACUUUAAUUGUUCCAACACCUGUGAUUUUAUAUGAAGCAUUAUUUCCCAUCAAAACAACACCUUCAGAUACUGUUUCGUAAGUUGUAAACCAAUCCCGAUUGGGACUCAUGUGGAAGGUGCAGCCUGAAUCAAGUAUCCACUCCUCGCUUACUUUAGAAUCAUUGACAGAAGCGACUAGAAGUUCACCAUCGCUGUAGUCUUCUACAAAAUCAGCUUCACCGGAAUUUUCUGGUUGUUUUCUCUUUUGAUUCGCCGCCUCCCUUUUAAUCUUAUUUUGUAGCUUAUAGCACUCAGAUUUAAUGUACCCUUUCUUCUUGCAGAAGUUGCAAGUUUUACCUCUGUUUGAAGACUUCCAUCUACACUUAGAUUUACCACGAAGAUUCCGUUCCUGUGUCCUACCACGAUCAUCAUCAACAUUCUGAUCUUGUCUCCCACGAACAAUGAGACCCUCUCCUUGAGAGUCGAGUUUAACCACAAGAUGCUUCAUCUUAUCAUACGAGGUUAAAGAAUCAUAAACCUCAUCAACUAUGAGAGACUCGCGGCUAUAUAAAAUCGUGUCUCUAAAGGUUGAAUAAGAUGGGGGCAGCGAACAAAGUAAAAUCAACCCUAGAUCUUCCUUAUCAUACUGAACCUCCAUGGCCUCCAAGUUUGAGAGAAUUUCUUUAAACACUGUUAAGUGUUCGUGUACAGACGCACCUUUCUCCAAACGAUGAGCAUAAAGACGCUGCUUCAUAUGCAACUUGCUUGUUAGAGUUUUCGACAUACAUAUUUGUUCUAGCCUUUUCCAUAAUGCAGCGACAGUUUUCUCUUUCAUCACAUCCUGCAAAAUUUCGUUGGACAAAUGCAGAUGUAAUUGUGUUAAUGCCUUUCGACCCUUACGCUUCUUCUCUUCAUCUGCUAAUGUCGAAGGCAUCUUAUCUAUCCCUAGCAGGGCAUCCUCCAGAUCUAUCUGUGCAAGAACUGCUUGCAUCUUAAUUUGCCACAACGCAAAUCUGGUGUUGCGAUCCAACAGCGGAAUUUCAUACUUCAAAGACGCCAUUACCGUGAUCGAGAUGAAUAACCCGGAAGCUCGGAUACCAAUUUGUGAAAAAAUAAAAUAAAAUAAAUAAAAUAAAGAACACACAAAUUUUACGUGAAAAUCUUUUCGGGAAAAAAACCACGGGCAGAGGAGAAGAAAAUUCACUAUGUCGAAAAAUUUGAAUCAAAUACAAGAGGAAUAGACUAUGUCUAUUUAUAGGCUUGCAAAGCCAUAUUCUAGUAGGAUUGAAACACCUUAUCCUAAUCAAUAUAAAAUAGAUGGAGUUUAAUAAGGUUUAAAAAACCUUAUUCUAAAAUAAAAUAAAAGAAGUCUAGUUCUAUAUGGAUUUUACUUUUAUUUUAUUUUUCAUCGUAUUUUAUUUAAAUAAGAAUUUGGGUCACUUAAUUCUAAUAGGAAUAAAAUACGAAAUCCAGCAUGUUAGGAAAAGAUAUUUUAAGCCUCCAAAAACUGAGAUCACCUCAAGAUUUCCAAAAUACGCGAUGAAUACAAUCCCCUUAAAAAUGUGUGAACAAUUUGAGUCGGAUUUCAAGAUUCACUCAUUCCAAAGGAAUAAAAUACCACAUCCAGCUGGUUAGGACACGAUAUUUUAAGCCUCCAAAAAUUGAGAUCAUCUCAAGAUUUCCAAAAUAUGCAACAAAAUUUAAAAAAAAGGGUAUUUGGUUAUUUGGUCAAGCGGUAAAUCGACACCCAGCACGUUAGGGCAUGAUCUCUCGAAUUUUCAAGCGCGAAACAUUGCAUUAUUUUGAGAAAAUUCAAAUAAACAUUUAUAAAAACCGAGUCAAAAUAUACUUUUUUGGUUUGUUUGGAGAUAAAAAACAAUUGGUGUCGGGCGAAAAGUUGGAAUUUCAAAAUCAUGAUGCAAUAACGAGCAUACAAGCUUAGUAUUGGGCAUGAAAUAAAAAUUCGAGACAAUAAUAUUACAUGAAUAAGUAAUGAGAAACACAAAGGAAUAAGUUAAGGUACAUGCAGUGGCAACAUAUUAUAUGCUAUAUAAAUACAAACAUGAAUAAUCGAAAGCUAAUAAAUUAGAAGCCGACUUAGAGGAAAUUCCAUGCAAAUUACACUAAAGAAAUAUCAAGUUUCAAAAUAAAAUUAAAUGAACAAUUGGGCAGAAAGAAAAUAUAAAAACAUUACUAUACAAACAACACAAAGAUUUUAAAACAAGUCAUAUAUACAAGGAUUUUAAAAUGAGAAAAAAAUAUAAAUAAAUAAAAUAUAUUUAAUAAAAUACAAUUGAACUUUAAAAUAAAUAAUAUAAAGUAAAUAAUAUACAAAAUAAUACACAUAUUAAUUUACAUAAAAAGACUUAAUAUAAAUAAUUGGUGUAUAAGAGUACAAAUAUAUAAAAAGUAUUUGAAUUAAUAAAAGUGACAGAAUAAAGUUUAUAUAAAAAAAAAGCUUUCUAAAAGGGGAAAAAAUAUAUCUAUAUAAAAUAAUAUAACGUCAAUAAUAUAUAUAUAUAUAACUAAAUGAUGUGUAAAUAUAAAAAAAAAACGUAUGGGGAUAUUUAAAUUUAGCACGUUGAAAUAAAAGAAACACAUAUUGAAAUAGUAGGUAAACUCAAUUGAAAUAAACCAAACUUAAAGAGAUAAUUUAUGAAUAAAUAAAACAUCAAAUUAAAACUAAGGACCACAAUUCAAUGCGCACAAAUUCACAAGGACUGAAAACGCAAAUGAUCCAGAUCUCCAAAAUGCAGCACCUAGGCGCAGGCUAAAUUGCAACAACACAGAAAUAUCAGGGAAAAUUUUAAAAAACAAAUAAUAUGCAAAUAGGGCCAAUUGAGAGCUAGUGCGAAAGUGGGGACUAAUUGCGCAAAUAACCCAUUUAAGAGGAAAUGCGCGAACUUCCAAACCCCAUGCUGCUUUACUUUUUCCAAACCCCAUGCUGUUUUACUUUAUUAUUUAAACAAUUUUUUUUCUGCUUAAAAAACGUUUUAACUUUGUUCUUGAAAAACCUAAGUUUUGAUAUGCUUUCUCAGCCCUCUCACACCCUAUUCAGCCGAAUUACCCAGGCCCUCAAACACUGCCACUUUCCAUCGCACACGCCGCCGUGGACAACCAACGGAAGACCCUUUUGCCAGGUGAAUCGGGAAGUAUAUCUAUCCUUCCUCCUUUAUUACCAUUUUAGCAUAUAAAUCAUGGAUUUGAAAAAAAAUAAAAAAAGAUGAAGAAAAAACAGAAGAAAAUAGCAAUAAAUAAUCACCUUUGAAAUAUCUUGGUUGCUCUCUAUUGAUUUUGUGUGUAUUUUGUAUUCUAUUUCUCUAAACAAAACCCCAUUACACUUAAAAACGAAGGCUUUUAUAGCCAAAAUACAAGCAGUUUUUUGGCUAUUUUUGCUCAACUUGCAGGUCAUGAAGAAGUGGGUGUGAACGUGGAGUAGGGCGUGCGUGCGUGCGUGGCGGAGGUGAUCGUGGCUGAAGGCUGCGGCGCAAAUAAAGCUUUUAAGGAUUUAGGGUUUCAGUUUUCUGAUUGCUUAGAUUAGAGCAUGAGUAUUGGGCUUAUGUAAACAGGCCAAAAUUAUUUGGGUUGUUUUAUGUAAUUGGGCUGGCUAAAAAUUGGGACUAUUGUUUUUUGUUUUAUUUUUUGUAUAUGUAUGGAUCCAGGCUAAAAAUUGGGUCUACAGCUACCCCUCUUUGCUCGUUGUUGUGUAACGAGAAUGAAGCAAAGGCCACAAAAAGACCAAUUUUUCUCGGUAUUUUCAUAUCUCGACCACUUCGGUGCUAUUUUUCUUCAAGUAGUCUUACAGCAACUUCAAGAAGAUAAUGUUUGUGACUUCAACUUACUCUACUGCAACUUCAGGGAGAUAUGGUUGAUGACUAAAAUCUGCUCCAUAGCCGAUACAUAGAAAUAAGAUCUGUUAUUUUUUAUUUGCUCCAUAGCCGAUACGUGAAGAUAAGAUUUGUAAUUUUCAGUCUGCUUCCUGCAACUCCAAGAAGAUAAGACUUGCAUAUUGAGCCUGCUCCACUGUAACUUCAGAGAGAUAAGGCUGGUGGCUAAAAUCUGCUCCAUAGCUGAUACAUGUUGAUAAGACUCGCCAUUUUCGACCUGCCCCAUAGUCGAUACAUGGAGAUAAGAUCUGUAAUUUUCAGUUUACUUUCUACAACUUCAGGAAGAUAAGACUUGUAUCUUCAACCUGCUCUCUUGCCACCUCAGAGAGAUAAGGCUGGUGGCUAAAAUCUGUUCCAUAGCCGAUACAUGGAGAUAAGACUCGCCAUUUCUGAUCUGCUCCAUAGCCGAUACAUAGAGAUAAGAUCUGUAAUUUUCAGUCUGCUUCCUGCAACUUCAAGAAGAUAAGACUUGCAUAUUGAGCCUGCUCUACUACAACUUCAGAGAAAUAAGCCUGGUGGCUAAAAUCUGCUCCAUAGCCGAUACAUAGAGAUAAGAUCUGUAAUUUUCAGUCUGCUUCCUGCAACUUCAAGAAGAUAAGACUUGCAUAUUGAGCCUGCUCCACUGCAACUUCAAAGAGAUAAGGCUGAUGGCUAAAAUUUGCUCCAUAGCCGAUACAUGGAGAUAAGACUCGCCAUUUUUUAUCUGCUCCAUAGCCGAUACAUGGAGAUAAGAUCUGUAAUUUUCAUCGAUAUCGCUACACUGUCCUCUGGGGAACAUGCCCUACAGACUCGGUUUCAUGUCUAUGCUUAUGCCAAAUGAUUAGAAUGCUAUGAUCGAAAUGAAUCAGAUGCUCCUAACCAAAUGUGUUAUGAAUUAUAUGAAUGUAGAAAUGAAAAUGAUUUCUCUUUUUUUUUUUUAAAUAACUUUAAGUGUCAUCACUCGUUAUUCAUCAAAGCUUUAUCACCAUCGUAUUAUGCUGCCUUAUUGCUCGACUAGCAUUUCUCAACAAAACUUGUAGAAACAACUUAUUUUGCUCAACUGGUUUGCCCCAUUGUAACCUUAGGGUUUGUUUCACUGUACUUCUAGAACCUAAGGUUUGUACCAUAUUCAAAACCCUAUUUUCCAUCAAUUUGGUCUAUUACACCACUCUCCGGUCCCCAUGACCAGAUGUGUACGCCCGACAUUACACUAAUGAGGAAUAUCAUGAUCCCCUCCUAUACUUUUAUUGACACAAUAUCCUAUUUUCUUAUUCAAUCAAGAUCUUUGACUGAAAAUUUAAAGAGAUAAUCUCAAUUUGAACACAAAUAUCCCACCCCUAAGCUGGGUAAGUUCUAAUCAAAAGUCCUAUUCAGGUUCUUGUACCAUUUAGAAACCUCCAGAGUAAUAUACAAAACCUCUUUUGUAAAAGUAUUAUUAGUCCAUUAACCAUUAUUUCAAUACAAAUGCUCGAACACAAAGAUAAAGAUAGACAAAAUUAGAAUUUAUUAGGAACAAGAUUCAAGAAGAAUAGAUUAAUCAAGGGAAGCAAAUAUUGUCAGAGUACAAAUAUAGGUAAAGGGGAACAAAAAUGAAUGCCCCAGAUAUCGCAGCCUAAGCUCCUCCGUAUGAACUCCACGAGGACCAUUUUGAGCUUAUCAUGUGCCUAGGAGAUCUAACGUAUUCUAUCGAUGCCCCAAGACAUGCGUACUUCCGCUUCAUUAAUUCCAGUAUAGCAAGACUACCACCUACCCCAUCCUUGAUCAAAAUUUGAAUUGCCCUUUUUGGAUUUUCAAUUCAAAACCCCUUUGGUUUCAAGGCGCCCUUUGCGGGUUUUCACCUCUUAAGCGAAGUACUUCUUGACUGAAUCUGAAUUUACUGGGUUAGGCAGGCUCCUACCAUCCAUCUCAGUUAAUAUCAGUGCUCCUCCAAAAAAAGCUUUCUUUACCACGUAAGGUCCUUCCCAGUUUGGCAUCCAUUUCCCUCUGAAAUCUUUUUGCAUAGGGAGAAUUUGUUUCAAUACCAAGUCCCCCUAAUGGAAUGCUCUGGGCGAACCUUUUUAUUGUAAGCUUGCAUCAUUCGCCUCUGGUACAUUUGACUAUGACGAAUAGCCUUCAGUCUCUUUUCUUCAAUCAAGUUCAGCUGAUCAUACCGGGACUGAAUCCAUUAUGCUUCGUCUAGCUUCAACUCUGAUAAAACCCGGAGAGAAGAAAUUUCAACUUCAAUGGGCAAAACUGCCUCCAUCCUAUAAACCAAUGAGUAAGGUGUUGCCCCGGUAGAAGUUCUAACAGAUGUUCGAUAGGCAUAAAGAGCAAAUGGUAACUUUUCAUGCCAAUCUUUAUAAGUCUCAGUCAUUUUCCCAACGAUCUUUUUGAUAUUCUUAUUGGCUGCCUCAACCGCACCAUUCAUUUUUGGGUGAUAUGGUGACAAGUUGUGGUGCUUAAUUUUGAAUUGCCUACAGACUUUUACUAUCACACUGUUAUUCGAAUUCAACGCGUUGUCAGAUAUGAUCAUUUCUGGCAUGCCAUAUCGAUAUAUAAUCUCCUUCUUUAAGAACUUGCUGACUGCUGACUUUGUGACGUUGGCAUAUGAAGUAGCCUCUACCCACUUGGUGAAGUAAUUGAUGACCACAAAGAUGAAUCGAUGCCCAUUAGAAGCCUUCAGUAAAAUCAGCCUAAUGACGUCCAUGCCCCACAUUGAGAAAGGCCACGGAGAAGUCAUGACAUGAAGGGGUGAAGGAGGUACGUAGAUCUUGUCACCAUAAAUAGCUGAUGCAAUCUCCUUCCAUUGUAGACCAAUAGUACCCGAAUCUCAUAAUUUGCCUGGCCAUUGUAAACCCAUUGGCAUGCGUCUUGCAGACACCCUCAUGGACUUUUUCCAGGAUUUUCUUAGCUCCAACAGCAUCAACACAUCUUAACAGUACUUGAUCUUUCCUCCUUUUAUACAGGAUUUCUCCAUCCAUGACAUAGUCACUGUCUAGCCUUCUCAACGUUCUUUUAUCAUUUUCCAGUACCUGGUUAGGGUAUUCAUGAUUCUUCACAUAUCAUAAAAUAUCAUGAUACCAAGGAUAAUCAUCUCUUUCCUCUUCGUCGUUUAUAUUGCAACAAUGAGCUGGAGCCUCAUAAAUACUCGUCUGGAUCGACUUCAUAUUCUCUUGUUCAUUUACUCUAAUCAUAGAAGCUAACGUAGCCAAGGCAUCUGCCAUCUUGUUUUUGUCUCGCGGGAGAUGAUAGAAAGUGAUAUCAUCAAACACCUUAAUUAGAUCCCGAACUAGCUCUCGAUAGUUGAUCAACUUUGGGUCUCUUGUUUCCCAUUCACCUUUGAGCUGAUAGAUCACCAGUGCAGAAUCCUCAUACACCUCUAACACCCUGAUUUUACGUUCGAUGGCUGCACGGAUUCUCAUGAUACAUGUUUCGUAGUCUGCCAUGUUAUUUGUGCAAUCAAAAUCCAAUUUGCAAGUGAACAGAUAAUGAUCUCCACUUGGAGAUAUCAAGACUACCCCAAUUCCAUUACCAAUGGCAUUUGAAGCUCCGUAAAAAUUCAGUUUCCACGGAUGAUCUUCUGAGGUGUCCUCUUCGGUAGUUGCCACAUAUAUUAGAUCUUCAUUUGGGAAAUUAAAGUUCAAAGGUUCAUAAUCUUCCAAAGCUCUGCUGGCUAGAAAAUCUGCUAUUGCACUCCCUCUCACAGCCUUUUGACUCACAUAAACUAUGUCGAAUUCAGAAAGCAGAAUUUGUGAUAAACAUGUCAAAUUGCAUAUUUUUUGUGCUUAAUUUGGUUUAUUGAUGAACUGAACCCUGCUAAUUAAGUGUUUUUAUGAUUUAAUGCUUGUUAGGGAUGCAAUUGAUCAAAAGCAAGCUGAAAAUGGGCCAAAUUAGAAGAAAAUUAUUGGAAUGGGCCAAAGCGAAAAGAUGGAGCAAGCCAAGGACUAGUCAUAAAUUUGACUUUGUAAAAAGCCAAAAAUAGGAAAUUUUAUUUUAAGUUUAUUUUAAUUUUAUUUAUUUUUAAUUAUUAUUAUUUUAGAUUUUAUAUUAAUUUUCUUAAGCUAUUUUUAGUAAACUCUAUCUAUAUAAAUAGGGGGUUUUAGUUCUUAGGAAAGGAUCCAUUAAUCAAUUGUCUUUACAUUCCUAUUUCAUUUUGGAAUUCCAUUAUCCACCUUGUUUUUCUUUUUCUUAAUUCAAUUGAGCAUUAGAUUAUUUUUUCUUCUUUUUACAAAAUUUGUCUAAUUCUCUUUGCAAAUAUUUUUCCUAUCCAUUUCCACUACCUUUUUCAUAUAAUUUCUAUCAUUUCCAUAACCUUCAAGCAUGAUUAAAUUCAUGCCACACUAAACCCCUUUCAGUUUUAAGUCGGUGUUAACCCCGUCAAAAACCCGUGAGUUACGAACCCGAGCUGUUUAACUCCUAACUUUUGAUAUUUAUUAUUUCUCCGGAUUAAGAGUAUGAAUUCGUCAACUCACAAAGUCAAGACAACACUAAGUCAAAAAAAACAUCGUUUGAGUUAGUGUGGCUAGACGUACAGUUGGAAUUCCAAAAGGAUCGAUUGUCUAAUUGGUCUUUCGUGAACACAUUGGCGUGCCAAGUGGGGAUUGUUGUUUGGUUCCGUCAAGUGAAGUAGUAACCGGAUUUAAAUGCCCCAACGUUUGAGGGUAUUGGUUCGAGCUAGGCUCUUCUAGAACGCAAAGCUGCCGGAGUUCUAAAUCACGAACGUUUCGUAGGUUGUUCGAUCGGUAAGGGUUAGUUAUAGGACGUUCCAUAACUAAUUUAUACAAGGAAAAGUUGGUGUCCGAGGCGUCCUUGGUAGCUAUAACUAGCUCAUCGGAAAAGAGGAGUUCACCUAAUUUCGAAGAACGGGUCAAAGACGAGAAAACCCGUACUUAAGGCUGAGCUAAGUUUUAUUGAUUUUCCUUUAAAUUAUUUCGUUAUUUAUUUUUAUUUCAUCUUUUACUUUUUACUUUUUACGUUUUCUUGUGUUUAUUUCAGGUUUCAUAUUUUACGUAAUCUGGUCAAGAAACAAACAAUUUUUAGUAAUUCCAGUCUCUAUGGGAUCUACCCUACUCCCUAUACUGCUUUAAUUUGCAAACUAGGUGUAGGUUUAUAUUGGUGGAAUUGACAGCCAUCAGUUUUGGCGCCGUUGCUGGGGAAUGGCAACACUUACAAUUGUUUAAAUUAUCUUCAUGACCAGAUCUUCAUCCGAAGAUCUUGAAUACGACCCAAAGAUUAAGAAAUCAGCACGACCACGACGAAAAGAGACAUAAGCUCUUAAACGUGCAAGUAAAGCAGGAGUUGAGCUAGGACAAGGGAUCCUAGAAUCCGACGUUGAAAAGUUAAGCGAAGUAAUUCGAGCAGAGGCAAUUCGACGUGGGAAACGAGUCGAAGAGGUUGAACUUGAGACCGAACCACUUUUUGAAACAAAAGGCAACCUCGGUGAAUCAGAAAGGAUGGCAAACCGAACCAUUCGUCAACUAGCCGCUGCUCGCAACGAGCAAACACCAUUAUGCAUUAACUAUCCAACCGGAGGAACUCCUUUUGAAUUGAAGUCGGGCUUGAUUCACCUUUUGCCCACUUUUCGAUGCUUGAAGAAUGAAAAUCCACACAUUCACUUGAGAGAAUUCCACAUGGUCUGCUCAAGCCUAAAACCCCAGGGAGUACACGAAGAUGAGAUCAAACUUCGGGGCUUUCCUUUUUCUUUAGUUGAUACAGCAAAAGAAUGGUUAUUUUACUUACCUCCCGGUUCUAUCACAACGUGGGAUGACUUAUCUCGUGUAUUUCUUAACAGGUUCUUCCCAGCGUCACGAGCAGCCGAGCUUAAGAGGGACAUAGUGGGAAUUCGCCAAUUGGAGAGUGAAUCGCUCUAUGACUACUGGGAACGGUACAAAAAACUGUGUGCGAGUUGUCCUCAACAUGGGUUGACCGAACAAUCACUUCUUCAAUAUUUCUACGAGGGUUUGCUCCUUAUGGAAAUGAAGAUGAUCGACGCUGCUAGAGGAUGAGCGCUUGUCAAUAUGACCCCUCAACGGGCAAGAGAGCUAAUAUCCAUAAUGACAGCAAAUUCUCAACAAUAUCGGCCAAAUUUGGAACCGACAAGACGGGUUAAUGGGGUAAACAUUUUAACUUUAGAAGAUAAAUUGGAUAAGCUUACGAAUGUUGUUCAAUCUUUGCUUACAGAAAAGAAGAUUUGACCCCACUAUGUGGAAUUUGUACUACGUCUGAACACCCGACGGAUUUGUGCCCAAUCCUUAACGAUAAUUCAACGGCACAUGUAGAUGCUAUCGGAGGUUUUCCAGGACCUCCGCAAAGACACUAUGAUCCUUUCUCCAACACCUACAAUCCCGGGUGGAAGGAUCAUCCCAACCUGAAUUACGGAGCUAAUGCUCAAUAUAAUCCACCAUACCAAUCGAGACCUCUGCAACCACCACCACAACACAAGCCGAGCACAUCUCUAGAAGCUAUCGUGAAAAGACUUGCCGCCGAUGCUGAAAAAUAUUAACAGAGGAAAGACGCAUCAAUACAAGAGUUAACUAAUCAAGUUAGUAAACUCUCGAUGGCAGUUAAUCGCUUGGAGUCUCAAGGUAAAUUACCUUCCCAGACAGAGCCGAACCCUCGGCAGAAUACUAGUGCAAUCACUCUUCGUAGUGGAAAGGUUCUGGAAACAGUACCAACUAAAAGUUAUGGGCAAGACAAAGAACAGGAAAAGCAGAUCUCCGAUCCAACAACCAGGCCAGAAUUAGAAGUUCAGAAACCAGUUGUGAUGCCACCUCCUUUUCCAGGGAGGCUUGCAAGGGAUAAAAAAGAGAAUGAGGAAAAAAAAUCCUCGAGACAUUCAGGAAGGUGGAGGUAAAUAUUCCUUUACUCGAUGCUAUCAAACAAAUCCCUCGUUAUGCAAAAUUUCUCAAGGAGUUGUGUACUAGAAAGAGGAGGUUAAUAGGUAAUGAAAGAGUAAAUGUAGGAGAAAAUGUCUCCGCAGUGCUGUAAAAGAAAGUUCCACCCAAAUACAAGGACCAAGGUAUGUUUGCUAUUCCUUGUGAGAUAGGCAAUGUAGGCAUUAAGAAAGCCAUAUGUGAUUUAGGGGCUUCCAUUAAUGUUAUGCCUUAUUCUAUUUAUAAGCUGAUUAACGCGGGUCCUUUAAAAGAGACAGGAGUAAUAAUCCAGUUGGCGGACAGAUCAGUCAUCUAUCCCGAAAGGCUGCUUGAAGACGUCCUUGUUAAAGUUAAAGAAUUAGUUUUCCUUGCAGAUUUCUACAUUAUUAGUAUGGAAGAUGAUAAUUCAACUAAUUCAUCUGACAUUUUGCUUGGAAGGCCGUUUCUAAGUACCGCGAGCGCAAAAAUAGAUGUUCGAAGUGGAACGCUGACCAUGGAGUUUGAUGGCAAAAUUGUAAAAUUCAAUGUCUACGAGGCCAUGGGUCAUCCUAACUCUCUAUUAAAUAUUUCUAGCAUUGAUAUUUUAGAUUGUUUAACUCAAUCUUAUUCUGAAUAUCAUAACUUUGAUGAGUUGGAAACUGUCCUUUACAGAAACAUUGACAUGGAUGUUUUACAUCAUCUCGAAGAAUUCGCAGUCAUUGAAGAUCCGUUGCAAGAAAUCGUCAAUCACUUGGAUAUGCAACCUUCGUUGACAAACCGAGGUAACCAAUUUGAACUAUUACCAUCCCAAACUAAAAUGUUACCCUCGAUUUUGCGGCCACCGAUCUUGGAGUUUAAAGCAUUACCGGACCAUCUUAAGUACGUCUUUUUGGGAGAAAAAGACACCUUACCAGUAAUAGUGUCAAACAAGUUAACCAAAGACGAGGAGGAAAGUCUAGUUCGAGUUCUGAGAGAUUAUAAGGAAGCUAUUGGUUGGACGAUAGCCGACAUAAAAGGACUAAGUCCAUCCACUUGUAUGCACAAAAUUUCCAUCGAAAACAACACGAAACCAAAGAGGGGUGCUCAAAGGCGCCUUAAUCCACCCAUGAUGGAGGUAGUAAAGAAGAAGAUCCAGAAACUAUUAGAUGCUGGAAUGAUAUAUCCGAUUUUCGACAAUAAUUGGGUUAGCUCGGUUCACGUCGUGCCCAAGAAAACUGGCGUGACAGUGGUGAAAAACCAGUUAGGUGAGCUGGUCCCUACACGAGUACAGAAUGGAUGUAGGGUUUGCAUCGAUUACAGAAAGUUGAAUACAGCUACCCGAAAAGACCAUUUUCCACUCCCCUUCAUCGAUCAAAUGCUUGAGCGAUUAGCCGGUAAGUCCCAUUAUUGUUGUCUCGAUGGGUACUCAGGAUUUUUCCAGAUUCCAGUGGCUCCGGAGGAUCAAGAAAAAACAACUUUCACAUGUCCCUUCAGAACAUUUGCGUAUAGACGGAUGCCGUUUGGACUCUGCAAUACUCCGGCCACCUUCCAAAGAUGCAUGGUGAGCAUAUUCUCUGAUAACGUCGAGAAAGUCAUCGAAGUCUUUAUGGAUGACUUCACGGUAUACGGUAACUCUUUUAACGAAUGUUUCAAUAAUCUUGCUAAGAUAGUACAAAGAUGCCUAGAAUUUAAUCUUGUUUUAAAUUAUGAGAAAUGCCAUUUCAUGGUUGACAAAGGAUUAAUUUUGGGUCAUAUAGUUACCUCGAAAAGAAUCGAGGUCGAUAAGGAAAAAAUGGAUAUUAUUAACUCGUUACCUUACCUCUCAUUAGUGAGGGAAGUUCGUUCGUUUCUUGGCCAUGCAGGAUUCUACAGACGAUUCAUGAAAUAUUUCUCGAAAAUCGCGCGACCACUUUGUAGUCUGUUACAAAAGGAUAAAGAAUUUGAAUUUGACCAGACUUGUAAAGACGCGUUUGAUGUGCUGAAGCAUAAAUUGGUCUCCGCUCCCAUAGUGCAGCCACCAAAUUGGAACUUCCCGUUCGAAAUCAUGUGUGAUGCGAGUGACCAAAGUGUGGGAGCUGUUAUUGGCCAAAGAAUAGGGAAAGAGCCUCAUGUUAUCUACCAUGCUUCGAAGAUUUUGGAUGCUGCCCAAAGCAAUUACACAACGACCGAGAAAGAAUUAUUAGCUGUUGUGUUUGCUUUAGAUAAAUUCAGAUCUUACCUAUUGGGAAAUAAGGUAAUUAUCUUUUCUGAUCAUGCAGCUUUGAAAUAUUUAAUAAGGAAGAAGGAGGCAAAACCCCGACUGAUCAGGUGGAUUCUACUCCUACAAGAGUUCGAUUUUGAAAUCCGAGAUAAGAAGGGAAGCGAAAACCUAGCAACUGACCAUCUGAGUCGAUUACCGAAUCCAGUAGACGACACACCAUUGAAGGACAACUUCCCAGAUGAAAAUUUGUUUUCAGCAAAUGCAGUUCAUCCUUGGUAUGCAGACAUAGUAAACUAUCUCGUCACAGGUACUGUUCCUUCAGAUUUGCCAAGGUCUAAAAAAGAUAAGAUAAGAAAAGAUGCACGAUAUUACAUUUGGGGCGACCCUUACCUUUGGAAGCAUUACUCGGAUUAGGUAAUACGACGUUGUGUAGCAGAAACAGAGGUACAGUCUAUCUUAAGUUUUUGUCAUUCUUAUGCAUGCGGAGGGCACUUUGGACCUAAACGCACAGCACACAAAAUUCUCGAAUGUGGAUUAUUUUGGCUAAACAUAUUUCGUGAUGCCUUUUAUUUCUGUAAAACUUGUGAAAAAUGCCAAAAAGUUGGUAACCUUAGUCGUCGAAAUGAGAUGCCGCUUACUCCUAUUCAUAUUUGUAAAAUUUUUGAUGUGUGGGGCAUCGACUUUAUGGGUCAUUUCGUUUCUUCUUUUGGUAAUUUUUAUAUACUUUUAGCUGUUGAUUAUGUCUCUAAGUGGAUAGAGGCAAAGGCCACUCGAAAUGAUAAUGCUAAGACCGUAGUUGACUUUCUUAAAAAUUCUAUUUUUUCCAGGUAUGGCACUCCACGAGCAUUAAUCAGUGACAGAGGAACACAUUUUUGCAAUAAGCUCGUAAGUGCACAUAUGGAGAAAUAUGGAGUGACUCAACGAAUUGCCCUAGCUUACCAUCCACAAACAAACAGGCAAGCUGAAGUGUCAAAUCGAGAGAUCAAGUCUAUUUUGGAAAAGACGGUUAAACCUAACAGGAAGGAUUGGAGUUUAAGACUGAAUGACGCACUUUGGGCCUAUAGAACAGCUUACAAGGGAUCAAUAGGCAUGUCACCUUACCGACUUGUUUUCGGUAAACCGUGCCACCUCCCGGUCGAGUUAGAGCAUAAGGCUUUUUGGGCAGUUAAGCAAUGUAAUAUAGAAAUGGAGUCUGCGGGAAAAUCUCGGAAAUUAGACUUCCAGGAACUCAAGGAAAUCAAAAUCGAUGCAUAUGAAAAUGCUCGAGUUUAUAAAGAAAAGACGAAGGCAUUUCAUGACAAGUUCAUCACUAGGAAGCAGUUCUCAAUAGGACAAAAAGUGCUCCUAUACGACUCCACUUUAAAAAUCUUCGUUGGUAAGCUUCGAUCCAAAUGGAUAGGACCGUUUAUUAUUACUAAUUUAUUUGCGAAUGGUGCAGUGGAAAUUCAAAGUGAAGAGACACGAAAGCGCUUUAAAGUGAAUGGUCAACGACUAAAACCCUUUUUCGAGAAUUUUCAAAUACACACAGUUGAGGAGAUUGUUCUCGAUGAGCCAAAAGUUUGAAUAACAGGUCGUCGAGCUAACGACGUUAAAAAAGCGCAUUUUGGGAGGCAACCCAAAUUUAUUUUCAUUUAUUUUUAGUUUAAGUAAAUUAGGAUGUAAAUAAAUAAAUUCUUAUUUAACUUAGUCAAUUUGAUGUUUUCAGGAAUACUGUGGAAGUAAUUAAUUUUCAAAAAGAUGAGUAAUGAAGGUGGCGUGGGCACGACUUGCUAAUGUGGUGAUAGUAAUAAAAAAAAACCAUCAUCCACUAAAAUUCCUACCCAAACCUAUCUACCCACAUACCUAAAUAACUAAAACCUAAAAACCAAGUUACCCACAUAAACCAAAACCCAAAAUCAACCCAAUACCCAAAUCCAAACCCAUUUACCCACAAGCUAAAAUAACACUAACCCAAAUACAAAACUACCCAUUUCCUUUAAACCUAUAUAAAUCUAAACCCAAUACCCAUACGCACUCAACACCCACACAAAACCCAAUACCCAAAGUUGGCCCAACCUACACCUAAGCCAAUUACCCUACCCAAUAUCCCAAAUAAAAAAUAAACAAAAAAAUAAAAAUAAAUUCAAACACCCAAAAUCCCUAAAUUCUCAAAUCCUCUCAUAUUCUUCCUCUUCUAUACAAACAACACAUAAUCCAAAACCAACCCAAGCUGCUGACCGUCGCCGUCACUCCCUUCGCCGAUCGUCCACCACAGUCGCCACACCUCGCCAGCCCACCUCGUGCCGCGCUGCCGUCGACCCCGCGCCGACGCCCCAUCUCUACUUUCUUUUCUUUUCUUUUUUUCCUCCCUCUUACCACCACCAUCCGACGUCCUUCCCACCGCCGAACCACCGCCGAGCAGUGACCUCCCACCUGCGACGCACCAUCAUCGCCGAACGAUGCCUUCCACGCGCCGCCGUUCCGCUCCCCCAACCCCAAUUUUUUUAUUUUUUUGAAACACCAAAACUCCCACCCCACAUUAAACGACGCCAACAUCAACACCCCCACCUCCACCCUCCAGAAAAAUAGUCCGAAAUCACCCCACCAACAUUCACCGCCACUGUGCGCUGCCGUCGUCUGCCGCCGCCAAGUCCGCCGUCGUCGAACGACCAGAACUGACUACUCGGGACACUCGCACGGAUACCAUGGUCCGAACUCGAAACCAAGCGGCAGACAAUACCCCGGUUUCACUUAAUCAAAAUUGACACCGUUUCUCCGUGCCUCCUGUGGUUGAGUUAGUCGACGACGACCCUUCUCCACCUCUUCCGAGACGAACGGCCGCACAACUAAGAGCCCAUCGACGACGAAGUCUAACCCCGGCCGACACAAACACUUCGGGCAGUCCAGAGGAAGUCGAAACUUCUAACGUCCAUGUCGAGCCUACACCUACCGUUGUUGAACAAGUCUCUCAACACCAAACCCGAAGUCAUCGACGGUCGACACGUGAGCCAUCGACGCCCCCGCAUAGCAGUACUGAAGCUGCUGAACGAAAUUCCCCACCCGACUCGCCUAACGAGCAUGUUCGACCACCCCGAGCAAAUCAACGCAAUAGACGUAGUCGAGCAAAUGUUAUUCCUACCGAUAGUCGUUUGCGAGGAUUUCUAGAGUUUUCGACAUCGGAACAGUAAACACGAUAGAACGCCAUCCGACAACGCUCACUUCCUGUCUGUAAGCAAAUUGAUUUCCCUACUCUUGAACUUCUAGAUAUUCAUGAUGCAGUGCUCCAUUAUUUUGAUGCUAUUGGUUGGACUCUAUUUGCUAAUAUUAUUUGUGAUGCAUAUUAUGAAUUAGUAUAUGAGUUUUAUACCACAUUUAGCUUCAAUAUAAAUGCAUUGCAAACUGUUGAAACACAAAAUAUAGUGUGCUUUCGUUUGCUUGGAAAAGACUUUUGGAUGUCUGUUUCAGAAUUUAACAUUGCCAUGGGUUUCAUCGACGCUAAUGACAUUCAAUCCGAUGCCUAUCAUUCUGCUCUCUUAGAUGUUCCCAAUGACUUCGAUGCUCAGCAUGUUUAUCAUGUUUUAACUAAUUCUGACCAACUUUAUAAUCCAAAAACCACAAAAGAUUUAUGGGUGUAUGAGCCUGCUUUAAAAUACAUACACCGAUUUUUAGCAUUUUGUUUUUCAGGUAAAAAUGACUCAUCAACUGUUUUGACUAAAACUGAACUGUUCUUUUUGUGGUGCAUGCAUUCGGGUCUUAAAGUUAAUUUAGGAUAUUGGUUUGUAUGAAAUUUUCAUGCCGUUUUGAGUUACAACCGUCCACUUAUACUUGGAUCAUUUAUUUCAAAUUUAGCCUUUCGACUUUUUGAGUCUGAAAUUGAUUUCGCAACCUUCACAUGUGCAUAUCGUAUGGACCACCUAGAUAUACAUUGUUUGGAUUCUAUGGGAUUGCUUGUCAGCACCCCUACUUCGUGUUAUUUUGUUCCUCCAGGUACACGGGCUGCUCGGAAAAAUAGAGUUUUUCGCAAACAUCCACACACUAAUACGAGAGAGCAAGAGGAACACCCUUUGACUGUGGAGGCCCAUUUAAGUCGAAUCGAAGCUAGACUUGAAACAAUGGAAACACAAGUCACUACCAUCCUCAAUAUCCUACAAAGUUGCGACUCUCAACACCAAUGAUGUCAUUAAAAUACACGGGGAGUGUUCUGAACUUUUUCAUUUUUAAUAUAUUUUGAGCUGCUGACUUUAUUUUACAUGCUUGAGGACAAGCAUAGUUUAAGUGGGGGGUUGGAUUGAUAUGUUAAUUUUUGCUGCAUGUCUUUCUCUUUUGCAUGUGUUCAAUCUUACGAUGAAUUCUUUCGACAAUUUAUUCAACAUUUGAGCCUUAAAACCUCAUACUUAGUCGAUUUAAGCAAUUGGGCAAAUUUUAAAUUAAAUGUUUAAGUAUAUAGAUUGGUCGACAUUUAGGUUUUAAAAUUGGUAUAUGUAGCUAGAAUUUUUUUUUCGCAUGAAUUGAUUGAUUGAAUAAAAUAUGUUUGCUUGUGCAUAAAUAAAUUAAUAAAGGUUCAGACUAUGAAUGAAGUUUCGAAAACGUGACUGAAUUGAGUAACCGGGGCAGGGUGCUUGGGUUAUCAUCUUGUCUCGCGUAAAAAGGUUCGAGUGACAAAGCUGAACACCCCAUAAAAAAAAGAAAAAAAAAAGAAAAAAUAAUACAUAAUAAAUAAAGACUGUUUGAACUGAGUAACCGGGAUAGGGUGCUUGGGUUGUCAUCCUAGUUCGCGUAAAAAGGUUUGAUCUUGUCUAUUAAUUUUUUGAUGCAUAGUUAAUUAAUAAUGUCAUGCAAAUUAUGGGAUUCAAUCUCAAUUUAGCGAAAUUGUUUAGUUGACAUAUUUCAAUUUUAUGACAUUUGUUGAUUAAAAUGUAUAUUUUGAACAUUUAUUUCUUUUUGCCUAUGUUGUUUGCAUUAAUUGAGGAUAUGGAAAAAGGGGCUCGAUUUUUAAUAAAUUGUGGAAUUAAUUCUAAUGUUUGAAAGAACAACAUGCUUGAGGUCAAGCAUGAGCUAAGUAGGGGGGAUUUGAUAAACAUGUCAAAUUGCAUAUUUUUUGUGCUUAAUUUGGUUUAUUGAUGAACUGAACCCUGCUAAUUAAGUGUUUUUAUGAUUUAAUGCUUGUUAGGGAUGCAAUUGAUCAAAAGCAAGCUGAAAAGGGGGCCAUUUAGAAGAAACUUAUUGGAAUGGGCCAAAGCGAAAAGAUGGAGCAAGCCAAGGACUAGUCAUAAAUUUGACUUUGUAAAAGCCAAAAAUAGGAAAUUCUAUUUUAAGUUUAUUUUAAUUUUAUUUAUUUUUAAUUAUUAUUAUUUUAGAUUUUAUAUUAAUUUUCUUAAGCUAUUUUUAGUAAACUCUAUCUAUAUAAAUAGGGGGUUUUAGUUCUUAGAAAAGGAUCCAUUAAUCAAUUGUCUUUACAUUCCUAUUUCAUUUUGGAAUUCCAUUAUCCACCUUGUUUUUCUUUUUCUUAAUUCAAUUGAGCAUUAGAUUAUUUUGUUUUCUUUUUACAAAAUUUGUCUAAUUCUCUUUGCAAAUAUUUUUCCUAUCCAUUUCCACUACCUUUUUCAUAUAAUUUCUAUCAUUUCCAUAACCUUCAAGCAUGAUUAAAUUCAUGCCACACUAAACCCCUUUCAGUUUAAGUCGGUGUUAACCCCGUCAAAAACCCGUGAGUUACGAACCCGAGCUGUUUAACUCCAAACUUUCGAUAUUUAUUAUUUCUUCGGAUUAAGAGUAUGACUUCGUCAACUCACAAAGUCAAGACAACACUAAGUCAAAAAAGACGUCGUUUGAGUUAGUAUGGCUAGACGUACAGUUGGAAUUCCGAAAGGAUCGAUUGUCUAAUUGGUCUUCCGUGAACACAUUGGCGUGCUAAGUGGGGAUUGCUGUUUGGUUCCGUCAAGGGAAGUAGUAACCGGAUUUAAAUGCCCCAACGUUUGAGGGCAUUGGUUCGAGCUAGGCUCUUCUAGAACGCAAAGCUGUCAGAGUUCUAAAUCACAAACGUUUCGUAGGUUGUUCGAUCAGUAAGGGUUAGUUAUAGGACGUUCCAUAACUAAUUUACACAAGGAAGAGUUGGUGUCCGAGGCGUCCUUGGUAGCUAUAACUAGCUUAUCGAAAAAGAGGAGUUCACCUAAUUUCGAGGAACGGGUCAAAGACGGGAAAACCCGUGCUUAAGGCUGAGCUAAGUUUUAUUGAUUUUCCUUUAAAUUAUUUCGUUAUUUAUUUUUAUUUCAUCUUUUACUUUUUACUUUUUACGUUUUCUUGUGUUUAUUUCAGGUUUCAUAUUUUAUUUCCCCCCCAAACGUCGCGGGCACGAUAACUGCCCAGACACUAAUCUGGUCAAGAAACAAACAAUUUUCAGUAAUUCCAGUCUCUGUGGGAUCGACCCUACUCCCUAUACUGCUUUAAUUUGCAAACUAGGUGUAGGUUUAUAUUGGUAGAAUUGACAGCCAUCAAUUUGCCAUCGGGCCAUCCUUCCACUCAAAAUAGCUGACUCCAUCAUGUACUUUAAAGGGUCCAAUAUUGAGAUUAACCAAGUCAUAUGGUAUAACAUGUACUUCUUCAAUCUCCGAGUGGUCCAAACCAAGACACAACAUAAUUUCUCAAUUGACGAUUAUCUCAUUUCACACUCAGUGAAUUUCUUACUGAGGUAGUAUAUCGCCUUUUCUUUCUUUCCUAUCUCAUCAUGUUGACCGACCACACAUCCCAUUGAAUUUUCAAAUAUUAUCACAUACAAUAUCAACGGCUUACCAGGGUUAGGUGGCAUUAGCACCGAUGAAAUAUGGGGUCACAUUUCUCAGUCAGCUGUGAAAUGAAUCGGGCAAUAUAAUUUAGUCUUCCUAAGAAACCUCGAACUUCCUUUUGAGUGCGCGGCGGAGGCAAUUUUUGUAUAGCCUUGACUUUGUUAGGGUCGACCUCAAUUCUCUUUUUGCUGACUAUGAAACCAAGUAGCUUCCCUGACCUAGCUCCAAAAGUACAUUUUGUUGGAUUGAGCUUUAGCUGAAACUUCUUCAAUCUCAAGAACAAUUUCCUCAAAACCUGUAUGUACUCCUUUUCUGUUUGGGAUUUUGCGAUCAUAUCAUCGAAGUAAACCUCAAUUUCCUUAUGCAUCAUGUCGUGAAACAAGGUUACCAUGGCUCUUUGAUACAUUACUCCCGCAUUCUUUAACCCAAAUGACAUCACUCUAUAGCAAAAAGUCCCCCAUAAGGUUAUGAAUGUGGUCUUUUCCACGUGUUCAGGAUGCAUCUUUAUCUGAUUGUAUCUAGAGAAACCAUCCAUAAAGGAGAACAACGAGUAACUUACCGUGUUGUCCACCAAAGUGUCGAUGUGAGGCAGGGGAAAGUUGUUCUUUGGGCUGGCCUUGUUUAAGUCCCUGUAAUCUACAGACAUCCUCAUCUUUCCAUCUUUCUUAAGGAUGAGGACAACGUUAGCUACCCAUUUAGAGUAAUUAACAACUUGCAAGAACCCAGCAUCAAAUUGUUUCCGGACCUCUUCUCUUAUUUUUACUACAACAUCGGGUCUCAUCCUUCAAAGUUUUUGUUGAAUAGGUUUGCACUCUUUUUUUAUAGGGACGCGAUACACUGCAACAUCAGCACUUAACCCAAGCAUGUCCUGAUACGACCAUGCGAAGAUAUCUUUGAACUCUUAUAGUAAAUCAACGAGGUCCCGUCUUGUUUCCUCAGUUAUGCAAGUUCCAAUGUUCACCUCUUUCCCCUCUUCUAAGGUUACAUUCUCGAUUGUCUCUUUAUGGGGUAGAAUUUGUUUCUCUUCUUGUUUUACCAUCUUUAACAAAUCUGAAGGUAAGCUACAGUCUUCAUCAUCUUCAAAAUCCUGAGAUCCCUCUAGACACACGUCUUGCUCAAAAAGGAACUCCGGGUUUGUAACAGUAUCACUCAUGCCAUUGAUAUCUAGAGUCCUAUUGUAGGAACGAAAGAAUAUCCAACAAACAAAUGAACCUAAGUAUAACUUUAUUUGUAUGGUAUGAUUAUAAAUGAAAUCUAAGAAAAUAAAGUUUGCUCAAGAUAAAAGAAUAUUUGCUCAGAAUAAGACAUGAAAGUGUAUUUAUAUUGAAAUAAAUGUUUUGAACAUGACCCUAUUUCGCAAAAGAUUAUUAUUGCUUCUAGGCUUUAAACAACAAGUGUGUUUUGAGCAUUACUCUGUAUUAGCACUAAAAACUACAGGAAUUUCCUUCGCAGUCUAGUUGUUUAGAUCAUUUCCAGGCUCGUAAGGGCGAAUGCUUGCUAAAUCAUGUUUCAUCAAUUUCUCUUCAGAUAUGACAUUGAUAUUCAAAUUUUCCGUUGCAUCUUUAGCUGUUCCCUCUCUUUUCAUCUUCAAUUUAGGAUAAAUAACUCCACUUAAGACAAAUGUAUAGGAUAUAUGGGGAAAAUUCAUUGAUUCCCACUCGACUUCUGCCCCAUUCAGUCUUGCUCUUCGUCUCUUCUACCUCAUUUCCAUCUCAUUUCUUUUCUGCUUUGCAUCUGGCCUAUACCCUAAGCCAAAGCAAUCUUGUUUAUCAACCAAAACCGGUACCUCAACUCGUCCAUAAAGAUACUUUCCAAGUCCUCUUCUAGGCAAUGCUCCCUUUCUCACUGUAAAUUUCAAGCUCAUCCUCGUAGCCUCAAAUAUUCUUGGCAUUGGGACCCUGCCCCCUUCAAUGAUGAAAGUUGCAUUUACAAACUCCAAUGACCGAAAUGAACACUCAAUUGUUUUAUCAUCAUUUUCUAUAUACAGUGCACUACUAGUAAUGGAUGCAAUAAUGUCAUCUUCAGCAUUUAUCGUUAUCAAAUGGCCCUCCGUCACCAACUUUAACUUUUGGUGCAAUGAUGGCGGUACUGCCCCUGCCGAGUGAAUCCAAGGCUUCCCCAACAAGCAAUUAUAAGAAGGCGUAAUAUCCAUCACAAGGAAAUCUACCUCAUAUGUGUUUGGUCCGAUCAGCAAAGGUACCUCAAUCAUUCCCAUCACUUUCCUCUCAGUGCCAUCAAAUAUCCUCACUAUGUUCUGGCAUGUCUUCAUAUGAGAGCUGUCUAUUGGUAACCUAUUUAAUGUGGAUAAGGGCAAAACAUUCAGCGCUAACCCAUUAUCAAUUAAUAUCUCCAGCAGUGUAUAUCUUUUGCAGCGAGUGGUGAUGUGCAAAGCCUUGAUGGAUCCCAUGCCCAUUGGUGGUAUUUCAUCGUCACUAAGGGAGAUAAAGUUAUCGGCGCUUAUGUUGCUGACAAGACGAUCUAGCUUGUUCACCGAGAUGUCUUCAGCAACAUAGGUUUCGUUCAACACCUUCAUCAACGCAUUACGGUGUACCUUUAGAUUUUGGAGCAGAGUUAGUACUGAUAUGCAUGUCGGCUGCUUGUGCAACUGUUCCACAACACUAUACUCACUAUGUUUUAAGAACUUAAAAAAUUCUUUAACUUCAUCUUCGGUUUCUGGUUCAUUAACCAAUGGUUUUGUCCUCUCUUCCCCUUGUUCAAUCAUCACAGACUUCCCUUUUCCAGGCUCGUCUUUUAUACUUGGCAUGCUGACCAGACUUUCAUUUCCUGAAUAUGUCACAUUACAGUUGUAAUUCUAAGGCACAUUUUUGCUAUCCUUAUAAAAAAAGCCGUAGGUCUCUGAAUUACAACUUUCGGUGUAAUUUUUGCCUCAACUUCAUUAAUUUUUGGUCGCGUAAUAAUCACCACCGGGUGAUUGACCUCAAAAACCCUCUCUAUCAACCCCUCCUCCAAGGUGCAUACAUCUUCCUUCUCAGUAAACUCAAAGAACUCCAGCUCUUUGUUGUCCAUUAGAGCUUGUACCAGAGCCCUAAAUUCAUUACAUGUUUCUAUCUCAUGGUCCUCCUCUUUAUGGAACUCACAAUAGUUCCCUGCUUCUCGGGAUUUUCUCCGAAAGUCUUGCAUGACUAGACCUUUCUCUACCAUCAUCUUCAAAAACUCUCUCAUCGGGGUUCUUACUUCUGCCACAUCCAACUUAAUUCUCCUCCUUAUAUUCUUGACUAUAGUGUUUACCCCUUUAUCAGUAUGAUUGGGUAACAGAUUUUCUACACCAGGUGCAUCAUUGAAUUUCACAACACCCAUGUUGAUGAGCCUUUCGACUACCCUCUUAAAAGAGGUGCAGUUAUCUAUCAAGUGUCCCGCUAUUCCAGCAUGAUAUUUACAUUGAGCACUUGCAUCAUACCACUUGGGGUAUGGGGGUUGCAGUGGUUUAAGUAGAAAAGAGAUACGACGUGUGCAUCAAACAAACUUUUGUACAGCUCUCGAUAUGUUACUGGAAUGAGAGUAAACUGAGGCUUCUCCGUGUUCUGCUUUGUAUUGAGCUCCUGCCUUGGCGAAGCUUGCUAGCCCAUGGCUACCACUUUCGGUUGAUUUACCAUGAUUAGUUUCGUAUAACCCAUGUUCACAUUGCUGACCUCAUUUUCUUUUUUUUCGGGGCCGACCUUCUGGUGCUUUCCCCUGUCUCUAUCUUUCCGCACGUUAUUGCAUUCUCAAUCAUUUCACCAGACAUAACUAUAUCCGCAAAACUCUUAGUUGCGCUUCCCAACAUGUGAUUAAUAAAAGGUGCGUUCAAGGUAUUAAUGAAAAGCAUGGUUGUUUCUUUUCCCAAUAGUGGGGGUUGGAAUUGUAUAGCAAUCUCCCUCCAUCUCUGAGCAUAUUGCCUGAAACUUUCAUUUGAAUUCUUCUCCAUGUUCUGUAAUGUGAUCCUAUCAGGCACUAUGUCAGUCACAUGGCUAUAUUGUUUCAUAAAGGCCUGUGCUAAGUCUUUCCACGAUUUAACUUGGCUACGAUUCAACUGAUUGUACCAUUUGGCUGCAGCCCCAGUCAAACUAUCCUGAAAAUAGUGGAUCAAUAACUGAUCAUUAUUGACAUAGCCAGUCAUUCUUUGACAAAACAUCGUGAUAUGAGCCUUAGGGCAACUGGUUCCAUUGUAUUUUCCAAAUUCUAGCAUUUUGAACUUCGGAGGGAGUACCAGAUCUGGGACCAGGCUCAAUUCCUUGGCAUCCAUUCCUCAAAGAUAAUCAGCGCUUUCCAACGCCCUAAAUUUUUCCUCCAACCAUUUAUAUCGGUAUUCUAGUCGCUUUGGAAAUUCUGCUCCUGCCUUUCCUACUUCCGCGGCCUCAUCAAAGUCAGGGACUGUAGGAUUUGCCGAAUGGUCUUCGAGGUUAGAACACGAGCUUGUUGGGACAUUUAUCGGUGCCGAAGUACCAGUCUGAUAUUAGGGUUUGAUACUGACAGACACCUUUUGCAGAGGCACUGGGGUAUUUCUUGGGGUAAAACCCGGAGGGUAAGCUAGAAUUCCGCUAUCAUCUUCAGCAUUGACCAUGGGACUCUUCCCUUGUUCUGGCCUUCCAACUAGUAGCUGAGUCAAUUCACUCAUCAUACUCCUUUGAGAUUCUAGCAUUUGAUCUUUUAUAUCUUGCUAUACCUUAGCUAAUUGCUCUUGCAUUUGCGCUUACAUCUAUUCUUGCAUUUCUUUCUACAUUUGCUCUAAUUUUUCCAACCUUUAAUCUAUAGCUUUGGUCUUUUUCUGUGUGUAGUAUUGAUGUUCUAGGGUAACUAUAAUAUAAUUUUUUUAAUUAAUUAAGGUUCUUUUUGUGAAAUUUAAUGCACAUGAUGCAAUGAAAUGCAAAUGUAUGAGAUGAAUGUACAACUAAAGAGACGUCGAUUCUGAUUCAAUUUCAUUUAAAAACUUUAUUAAAAAUUAAAAUCCUUUACAUAAAACAGAUCAUAUAUACGGCUUAGUCCUAAUGCUCAAAGUUUUAACUUUCUUAAGAAGGCAAGCUAUCUCACGACCCCGGUCUAACUCAUACUUCACACUUAGCACAUCAGCUUGAACUGCUAAGGUCUGUAAAUGAUCAGCCACUUCUCGAAUUUGAGCCACAGCCUCACCCAUGAUAUAAUCACUUUCCCUGACUUGGUCUUCCGAUCGAUGGAGCUGUUCUUUCCACUGCUCAUUGUUCGACUCAAGGAAUUCAAUUCGAAGCUCACAGUUCUGUAGUGUAGUCUCAAGUUCUCUCACUUUUCUUUUCAAAUCCUCGAUCCUGUUCAUGCUAACCCUUAAUUCAAUGUCAGAGUUACGACCACGAUACUGAUGCAGUGCCUUCUCUAAAUCUGCUACCCGAGCUACCAACAUCUUCUUCUCAUCUUGACCUUCAACCAAGCUCUUUUUUAAAGUAUUUUUACGUGCUCGAGCAUCAUAGAAUCUCUUCUCCCAUUGAUCUGUUCUAGCCUUUUCCUCCUGAAUUUUCUAUCGCCACUGUUCUGACGUCUUCCCCAAUCCGACAGUUCUCAUCGACAUACGCAGUUUCUUGUAAUCAGUUUUCAAACUGUUCAAGUCUUCCUCAAUUCUUCUUUUCCCUUUCCUCAACUUUUUAGCCUCGAGUUUCUGAACAUCGACAUCCAAACUCAAAUGCAUCUUUUCUUCCUCCAGCUGUUCUAUCUUUUUCCCUAACUCCGCAUUUCUCUCUUCGAAGUCCCGUUUUACGAUUUCAAGCUCGGAGGGUAUUACUUGCAAAUAUUAUUCCAUUGCACGAACAUCCUCCAAACUCGGCUCAGGGAUAUUAUCAUUAACUCUUUUACUUAACCACCCCUUAUAUUUAGGAGUCGUCAUUGAUCUAACAGCCAAUCUCUUCAUCCGGCGUGUCUGUUUUCAAGCAUCAGAAAUCUCUCGAACCUUCUUCUUAUAAUUGUUCUCCCUAUACGCGAACUCACUCUGGGCUAAUCCAUGUGUCAUCGGUAUAAAUUGCCUUGACUUGUAUUGUCUUAAAACGAGUAGAGGGACAUAUCCAACAGCUCCCCAAAUUCCAGGCAGGGGUACCAAAUCAAAACUUCCACAUCGAUAGAGGAUCUCAUCUGGAAUAAACCAAGAAGCUCUCCACUCAACAUCUUCUUCCUGAAGAUUUCGGAGGAGCGCGAUCUAAUUUUCUUCUGAUAUGUCAUCUCUCCUGGACAUGGCUGUUAUCUCCUUUAACGGGGAAUAACUCUCAGAGAAAACCCAGUAGAAAACUUUAUCCACUUUCCAGAAAUGGCUGUGGAACCAAGCAAGCAAUAAUUGCACACACCCUAUAAAUCUUCCCUCACUUGCUCUUCAACAUGCAUUCAAAGAUCUGAAUGUCUCAGCUAGAAUUGCAGGCACCGGUGUGACCCCUUUGUCAAGUCGAUCAAAGAAAUCGGCAAUUGCUUCAUCUAUAUGCCUUAAAGCUUUGGGAAAAAUCACCAAACCAUAGAUACUCAAGGCGAAGGUGUCAACUUUCCUUUUCAUGUCCGGAUGUGCUACAAUCAUGUCCCUCAGACUUACCUAUGGAAUGCAUUUACCAUCACCUUUUUGCUAAAUUUGGGCUAUAACCCACUGUUCACUCAUCCCGGUGAUACUCAUUAACUUCUUUAUAAAAGCCGGGGCACUAGCAGCCUUGGACUAAAUUUUGUCGACUUGAACCCUUGGACAACGAAGCAAAGCUAUAUAUUCCUCCACAAUAGGCACCAAGUCCACCUUCCCGAAGGUGAAACAACUAUACGCUGGGUUCCAAAACUGAGCCAUAGCCCGGAACAAGUACUUGUCCACCUUGACAUCGAGUAAGUAGGGCAAGUCGCCAUAACUUUGAUAGAACAACUGCUUAUUCUCUUCAUCCCAAUGAGCCCUUAUAUCCCUCAACUCCUGGAACUCGUUUUGGGUCACAUUGAUGCGAGUGAAGUCCAACAACCCCGAUGUAUACCCUUCAGUUAGGCUAUCCCCUUUCUCAAGUUGCAUCUUCUCUGACUACAUACGGACAGCCUCAUUAUCCUCUACUUUAUCAAGGAAUCCACUCUCUAUAAUUAGCUUUUUAAUUUAGCAAUUGAACAAAAAUCGACACCUCUUUAAUAUGAAAUGACAUACAAACAUAACCACAACAAAACACAACAAGUUAGUAUCGAAAAAUAAAAAAUCAAAGCAAAAUAGAAAAUAAUCAAACACCUAACUGGGUAAUCGCUAGGGUUCAACAUAGCUCUACCUAGGGCGGCUCCUAAAGUUCACUAUAUAUAGCUCAGUUCUAAGAAAAGGGUACCUGAACCAGCAGAUUCCUCAACCCUUAUCCAUUAUAGGCUCAUUUGGAUCGAGUUCAGUUUAAGGGAAUACAUUUCCUUAUGGCCAUGUGGAGGUGAAAACCUCAUGAAGACAUAGGUACAGAUGUAUCCCAGAAGUAGUCCACUAGUCCACGUGGAGGUGAAAACCUCACGAAGGCGUAGUUUCUCACUCCCACUUAAAAAGAUGCGACCACAACGGUCAUGCAAGAUGAUGCGAAGGGAUAUAUAAAAAAAAUAAUGCAAAACACGAGUAAAAUGACAAAGACCAUAAAACCCAUGACAUGCAAUAAAAGGAAUGUAUGUUUAAAAAAUCAAACUUUUAAUUUUCAACAAAAGGACAGAAAAUAAUCAAUUUUACGGCUUGACUCUUUUAUUGUCCCCAGUGGAGUCGCCAAACUGUCGAAAUCGUUUUUAUUUUGAAAAACAGGAAUCGACUUUUCAAAACGAAGUAUGGAGUCGCCACCGAUCCUUUUUUGAGGUGUAAUCGGAUCACCUUGAGAUUGAUCAUUUUAAUAAAACAUUUAAUUUAUUAAAACAAUAAUUUUAGGUCUACGAAAAUUGAGAAAACAGGUUCGGAAGUCGGUUACGCACGAGGAAGGGUUAACACCCUCGUAACGCCCAAAAUUGGUACCAAUUAAUGAUUUAAUGUCCUAUCGUUUAAAUCUGAAGGAAAAAUGUUAAAAUACGAUCCCCUUAAAAAUGCGUAAACAACUCGAGUUGGAUUUUAAGAUUCACUUGUUCCAAAGGAAUAAAAUACCACAUCCAGCACGUUAGGACACGAUAUUUUAAGCCUUCAAAAACUGAGAUCGCCUUAAGAUUUCCAAAAUAUGCAAUGAAUACGAUCCCCUUAAAAAUGUGUGAACAACUUGAGUCGGAUUUCAAGAUUCACUCGUUCCAAAGAAAUAAAAUACCACAUCCAUCUCGUUAGGACACGAUAUUUUAAGCCUCCAAAAACUGAGAUCAUCUCAAGAUUUCCAAAAUAUGCAACAAAAUUUAAAAAAAAAAGGGUAUUUGGUUAUUUGGUCAAACGGUAAAUCGAAACCCAGCACGUUAGGGCACGAUCUCUCGAAUUUCCAAGCGCGAAACAUUGCCUUGUUUUGGGAAAAUUCAAAUAAACAUUUAUAAAAACCGAGUCAAAAUAUACUUUUUUGGUUUGUUUGGAGAUAAAAACAAUUGGUGUUGGGCGAAAAGUUGGAAUUUCAAAAUCAUGAUGCAAUAACGAGCAUACAAGCCUAGUAUUGGGCAUGAAAUAAAAAUUCGAGGCAAUAAUAUUACAUGAAUAAGUAAUGAGAAACACAAAGGAAUGAGUUAAGGUACAUGCAGUGGCAACAUAUUAUAUGCUAUAUAAAUCAUUAAUAAUCGAAAGUUGAUAAAUUAAAAGCCGACUUAGAGAAAAUUCCAUGCAAAUUACACUAAAGAAAUAUCAAGUUUCAAAAUAAAAUUAAAUGAACAAUUGGGCAGAAAGAAAAUAUAAAAACAUUACUAUACAAACAACACAAAGAUUUUAAAACAAGUCAUAUAUACAAGGAUUUUAAAAUGAGAAAAAAAAUAUAAAUAAAUAAAAUAUAUUUAAUAAAAUACAAUUGAACUUUAAAAUAAAUAAUAUACAAAAUAAUACACAUAUUAAUUUACAUAAAGACUUAAUAUAAAUAAUUGGUGUAUAAGAAUACAAAUAUAUAAAAAGUAUUUGAAUUAAUAAAAGUGACAGAAUAAAGUUUAUAUAAAAAAAAGCUUUCUAAAAUGGGAAAAAAUAUAUAUAAAAAAAAAUAUAACGUCAAUAAUAUAUAUAUAACUAAAUGAUGUGUAAAUAAAAAAAAACGUAUGGGGAUAUUUAAAUUUAGCACAGUGAAAUAAAAUAAACACAUAUUGAAAUAGUAGGUAAACUCAAUUGAAAUAAACUAAACUUAAAAGAGAUAAUUUAUGAAUAAAUAGAACAUCAAAUUAAAACUAAGGACCACAAUUCAAUGCGCACAAAUUCGCAAGGACUGAAAACGCAAAUGAUCCAGAUCUCCAAAACACAGUGCAGGCCAAAUAGCAACAACACAGAAAUUUCAAAGAAAAAUUGAAAAAACAAAUAAUAUGCAAAUAGGGCCAAUUGAGAGCUGGUGCGAAAGUGGGGGACUAAUUGCACAAAUCACCCAUUUAAGAGGAAAUGCGCGGACUUCCAAACCCCCUGCUUUACUUUUUCCAAACCCCAUGCUGUUUUACUUUAUUAUUUAAACAAAGCCUAUUUUAAAAUAUAUUUUUUUUGCUUAAAAAACGUUUUCAUUUUGUUCUUGAAAAACCUAAGGCCUUGUUUGGUUCACAUGAAUGGCUUAGCCAUUCCUCCCUUAUUCAACACAAUGAUCUUAUUCAGGGGUUUGGUUGGCUGUAAAGCCUAUUCAAUGGAAUAGCUAUUACAACCUUAUUCCUCAAAAUCACUGAAUAGCAAUUCAACGCCAUCACUAAUGAGUGGCUAUUCAACGCUUCCAGUAAUACAAAAAAUUAUUUUUCUUUCCUUUUCUACCCAUCUCACAUCUUUUCAAAUUCCCUACUCCUAUCUGAGAGUCUUUCAACAAAUCUAUCGUGCGGUAUGAAAUUUCUCUGUUUUAUUUAAACUUUUUCUUAUUACUUUCUAUUUACCCUUACCAUUCUCCCAAUAUACCUGUAUAGAACGUUUGGAUUGAGCAAGAAGAGGGGUUUGAAAGACCAGCAGCAGCAGCCAUGGUGAAGAAGAUUAGCGUCACAAAUAAAGCCUUGAUUCCAGGUUUAAUCAAACCCUCAAGAAUGUCCAAGGGUACCUCUUUUUAAUCGUUCCAAUUUCCCAUUACUUUUCUUCCUCUAUUUUCUUUCUGGUUUCUCAAUGUUGAUUUUUGAUUUUUUUUUCAUUGGAUUUAGAGAAAUACCUUUUGAUCUUUCGAAUUUCAGUUUUGAUUUUGAAUUCCUGUGGAAGAAUUUUUCCUCUUUUGGGAGAAAUUUUAAUUUCGCAAAAAUUUUCAAUUAGGUUUAUUGGGUUUAAUUUGUUGCGGUUUGCACUUAGAUUGAAAGCGCCUUUUGGGAAUUAAACCGAGAUCUCACAAGUUCUACUUAAUGGCAUGACCUAGUUUUUUUUCUUUUGGAAGAUGAUCAUUUCAUCUUUGUGCUUAGAUCAUAGUAUUUAUCUAUUUUUCCCUAAAAAGUCUGAUAUUUUGGUUUAUGUUGUAAUUUGAUCAUGGCAUUGUUGUUGAGGAAUCAUAGACAUCACAGGGGGUUCAAAAAGGGUUGCUCAUUGUCUUUUAGCAUGGAGGGAGAGGCCAUGGAUUCGGCAUAUUAAAUAGUUGUUUCUUCAUAUUAAGAAGUUAGAGAGGUAGGAGAUGGUUAAAGUGGUAAAGGCAAGGAGAAAUUUUGUGCUUGUAAGGAAGAAUUCGGUAAGUAUUCCUUGAAAUUUACACACACUUACUCAUUUAGUUAAUUGUCAAGUUGAAUUAAACUAGUUGGUGACUUCAAUUAAGUUGUCUGAAUUUUAUUAUUAAACUGUCAAUUAGCUGCUGUUGAUUUUUGGUUAGGAGCAAAUAAAUCAUGUUGGAAAUUUGAAGAAAUGGUUGUAAAUAAAAAAAAUGAUUGUUGUUGGUUAUGGUGUGAGUUUAAGUUAUUUCUUGAAUGAUUUAUUGUACUCUAAUGCUGGUAUGUGUGAUGAAAAUUGAAGGAAAAGUCUUGAUGAUUGUUAGUUGUUGAGUGAACUGUCGAGGAAUGCAAACUCCAUGCAUGCUGUCAGAAUAUGACUUUUUGCAAUGAAAUUAAGGUAACCUGCUGCUGGAAUUGAUUAAAUAUUAAUGUCCUAAGCUGAAAUUAGAAGAUGUCAUAGUUAUAAUUAAGAUUUCCUAGUGCUUGAUCUUGAUUAAAAUGUAAGCAUUUAUGCUGUAAGUAUUUAUGUUGUCUUAAACCAUUAUCUAAAGUGGAUUAAUUGUCGUAAUUUAAACGGUCUUAAUAAUGAAAUUGUGGUAUCUUCAAAUGACAAAUUAGGAGGGGUUAUAGCUGUGAUUUAUAGUGCUUUGGUGCCGUGGUUAAAAUGUAUAACUCUGGGAUUGAUAUUGAUGAUGUGUCGUUAAUGAGUAAACUGCGUUUUAUUUGCCGAAUGACUUGUUAUUUUAGAAGUACAAAUUGAGUGUUGCUAAUGGUGAGUUUUCUUUAAACUCGUUUUGUUAUUUUCAUGCUUAAUAUAUAUAUUAAAUUAGAAUUGAUGUUUCGGUUUUGAUUUAAUGGCUGAAAAUGUUCUUUAAAUUUUCAAGGCUACUUACUAUCUGGCAUUAGCUAGAUUCGUUUAUUGUAAGUUUAAAUGCUGCUCGGAAAUAGUGUAAAAAUUACUGCUAUCCAAUUUUGUGCCCUUAUUUUGCUGUCCAAAAUUUGAACAAAUUAAUGGUUCCAUUUUCAUGUUGAUUGAGGGCUGUAAAGACAGUCCCAUUUGUUGCAUUAUGCUAUUCAGUUUUGGGAUCAAAUAAUUAAGUAUUACUGGAUUAAAAAUCAUGGAUUGUUGCUGUGAUGAACUAAUAAAUUUUAAUACUAUUGAGUGUGUUCUUGCGGGAUACAAAUGCCCUGCAUGUUGCUGUCUUGUGCUGUCCAAAAUAGGACAAAUUGAAUGUGCUUGUGAGUGAGUUUUUCAAAGGAAACUUUGCAAAUUCUCAUGUUUAAAUUUUGAAGUUUGCAUGCAGGUAAGCUAUGGUUGUAGGGGUUUAUAAAUCGAGUUUAGUAGCUAAAAUAUUAUGUUAUUCUUACUAAGUUCGGUUGUUAGUAGUGAAGUGAAAAUUUGACAAUUAAAUGCUUAAAUGACUGCUGGAAACUACAGCUUGAAAGCUCAUUAUUCCAGCAUAUAAAUUCUUAUUUGAAUGUGUUGUAAUAUGUAGAGCAAUUGGUCUGCUGCAUGUAUGAAAUAAAAGAAAAACAAUAGUUGUUAAAUAUUAGUUUUUGUUGCUGAUCGAAAAGGUUAGAUUCGUUGUUAAAGGGGAUGUAAAUUGGUGUUAAUUAAGCUGUCGGAUAGGGCUAAUAAAACAGUUUGAAUGUGAUGCUAUUAAGCUGAUUUAAUGUAAAGUGAACUUUUUUUCAGAAACAAGCACAUUAUGAUUGAUCUUGGCAUCGAUAAUAAUAAGAUUAACUGGGCUCUCAAGGACAAACAGGAGUUCAGAGACAUCAUUGGGACUGUAUACCGUGAGGCAUGGAAAGGCCGUGGUUUGAAAGAUUACUCGAAAAAGUACUGCUAUUGAGUAUUCUUCCAACAUUUAGUUGAUCAGAAUGUAAAUUGUAUGUAGAUAUGUGUGUCAUUUGCAAUGUUUGGUUGCAUGAAUGUGGAGGAUAAUCCAAUUUGAGAUGAAACUUUGAAAUAUAUAUUUUAUGUGCUCUUUUGAUGCUUGUUUACAGUAUAGCACCUUAGCUUGGAGUGACUUUCCUUACAGUUGUUUGAUAAGGAACAAGUGUUUUAAUUUAACUAUAUAAAAAUAUAAAUGAUAUGUUUAUAAAUAUGAUAAUAUGUUGAUUCAGCCAUGGUUGUAGACGAAUCUUCCAAUUAACUCAAUUGAAGAUUAUAUAAACUUGAUUUUUAUUAUAUAAAAGAUAAAAGAAAUUUAGUAAAGGAAGAAAAAGAGUGCAAGGAAAAAAUAAAUGGAUAAUGGAACAUUUAGCACAUUAAAUAUGUGUUUAAAAAUAAUAAAGUAGUUAUAUAUUAUUUUUAUAAUAUUAUAUAUUAUGAUUUUUAUUAAUUCAUAAUUUAAUAAUAAUAUUAAGAAUGUUAUUAAAUUAUAUAUUAUUUUAUUAAAUUAUAUUUAAUAAUACUUAUGUUAAAAUAUGAUUAAAUUAUUUAUUAUUAUUUUUAUUAAAUUAUAUUUAAUAAUAAUUUUAUUAAAAUUUAAAAAUAAUAAUCAUUUAUCUAAAAAAAUUCUACUAAGGGUAUUUUAGUCAUUUAAGUCUUUUUCCUUAUACUAUUACAACAUCUAUUCCAUUCAACUAAACACAAGAAUACUAUUACAACUCUAUUCCAUUCCAUUCAACCAAACAACUGAAUUAUUCAUUACAGGUCUAUUCUAUUACAGCUCUAUUCCAUUACAACUCUAUUACAUUACAGCUCUAUUCCAUUCCUCCCAACCAACCAAACGUGCCCUAAGUUUUGAGAUGCUUUCUCAGCCCUCUCACUCCCUAUUCAGCCGAAUUACCCAGGCCCUCAAACACUGCCGCUUUCCAUCGCACACGCCGCUGUGGACAACCAACGGAAAACCCUUUUGCCAGGUGAAUCGGGAAGUAUAUCUAUCCUUCCUCCUUUAUUACCAUUUUAGUAUAUAAAUCGUGGAUUUGAAAAAAAAUAAAAAAAUAAAAAAACAGAAGAAAAUAGCAAUAAAUAACCACCUUUGAAAUAUCUUGGUUGCUCUUUAUUGAUUUUGUGUGUAUUUUGUAUUCUAUUUCUCUAAAAAAAAAGCCCAUUACACUUAAAAACGAAGGCUUUUAUAGCCAAAAUACAAGCAUUUUUUUGGCUAUUUUUACUCAACUUGCAGGUCAUGAAGACGUGGGUGCAGACGUGGAGUAGGGCGUGCGUGCGUGGCGGAGGUGAUUGUGGCUGAAGGCUGCGGCGCAAAUGAAGCUUUUAGGGAUUUAGGGUUUCAAUUUUCUAAUUGCUUAGAUUAGAGCAUGAGAAUUGGGCUUAUGUAAACGAGCCAAAAUUAUUUGGGGUGUUUUAUGUAAUUGGGCUGGCUAAAAAUUGGGACUGUUGUUUUUUGUUUUAUUUUUUGUAUAUGUAUGGGCCCGGGCUAAAAAUUGGGUCUACAAUUUGGAUCAAAUUUUGUACCUUAACUUGACAUUACCAUAGAGAUCAAACCUAUGGAUCGGAUUCUUAUCAUCAUCUACAAUCUAUUUUGGGACUUUUAGACAAAUUGCCCUCCAUUAUUGGGUUUAAAAUCUAGUAUAAAUUGGGAAAAUUACUUCGUUAGCGGGUUUAAAUAAUGGUUACUUUUUUUUGGUACACUCAAUUUUUCUUUUUGUUAAUUUAGUUAGUCCAAAAGAAGAAAAUGGUCAAAUUAGUCACUCCGCCAUUAAAUAGUAAUGAAAAGAUUAAUUAUACAUUUUCACAUAUUAUUUUGGGUGACUAAAAUAAUAAUGACCCCUAUUGAAAAUGACUAAUGUGGAAAAGCACCGCCAGCAUUCCGUUACAAGAUAAAGAUAGAGUGACCAAUUUGAUUAAUUUAUUUUUUUAGAGUGACAAAAUUGAUAAAAAAAAGUUAAAACUAAUCAAAAUAAGAACGACUUCUAUUAAGAAUUUAAGAAUGACUAAAGGAGCAGUUUACCAAUAAAAUUAUUAUAUUUAAGUUUAAAAAUGCUUUUUAAAAAAUUUAAAAACUAAUUAAGUAUUAAUAUCUAAUUAAAAAUAUUAAAUUACAUUUUAUCAUAUAAUAAUAUAGAUAUUACUACAACCUUACCUGUAUUUAAUUUUUUUCUUUUUAAAUUUUGCGGUGCAUUUAAGAUUAGCCUGAGAUGAAAGCGUGGUUCACGUAAAUUGACACAUCUAUCGGCUCUAAACGAGCCGACAGCUGACUCAUCACUGCUUAUAAUAUCAUUAUUGGUCAAAUUCUGUUAUUAGUCUAUGUACUAUAUGAAAAUUAUGCAUUUAGUUCUUAUACUUUAAUUUCAUCAAAUUUAAUCCUUAAUACUUUAAGAAUUUUGAAAUUUCAGUUACGAUCUAAUUGGUAGAAAUUAAAUAUAUUAGGUCAAACUCUACUAAUUGUCAUAUAAUAUACGUAAGUUGCAGAUUUAAUCUAUAUUCUUCAAUUUAAAUUUUUUAACUAAAAUUGUAUGACUUUUGUGUGUUUAUUAAGCAAAAAAUAACGAACAGACAUGACAUGAUAUAAGUGAUAAUAUGUUUGCUAUAUAAAAUUUUGGAAUUAUUUGAUCAAAAUUCUUAUUUUAAAAUCUAAAAAUAUAAAAAUUAAUCAAAUUAAAGUUCAUAGAUUAAAAUCUAUAAUUUACUCAUAAUAUAGGGACUAAUAGAACAAUUUAACCAUGAUUAUUUUGAACCUAUUUUGAUAGACCUUUUCUCACAAAAAUGCAGCUUUUAAGAGAGACGUUAAACCAAUGGCACGUGCCCCAUCUGUUCUUCUUCGUCUUCAGCUCAAAAAAUCAAAUCCUUUUAACCACUCACCAUCACUCACUCUCUCAGCGAAGGUCUUCCCGUUGUAACUCAAAGCUUUUAGCCUCUUUUUGGGGUUUCUGUUUUCAAAGAUAAAGAAAAGGGUAGGGUGUUUUUUUUUUUUUUAAGUUAGCAAAGUAUUUAAAUAUGGAGGCUUCAAUGAAGAAGAAAGAUAAUUGGACCGAGUCAUUGUCUGCAACUGAGUUGAGGAGCUUUAAUGACGGUGGUGAGUCGAAAGAGAGCAGUUCUAGUAUUUGUAGUAGUAGUAGUAGUUCCAGUGGGUCCAUUUCAGCUUCUUCUCUUUUGGGUUUGCCUAUAAGGAAAGCCAUUACUACUGCUGCUGGUUCAGUGUCAAACAACUUAGAUGUUUCUAAUGGAAAUGGAGAUGAAGAUGAAAAGUAUAAAAAACUGGGUUCAAAGAUCAAUGGUUAGUAAUGUUGUUUAUAAGUUUAAAAAUUUGCAGUUUUUUAUUUAGUUUUUUUUUAAAAUCUAAUUGUAAUUUUUUUUCUUUGUAAAUUUCUAGUAGAGACAGAUAUGAUGAAAGAGAGGUUUGCAAAAUUGUUGCUUGGUGAAGACAUGUCAGGUUCAGGAAAUGGGGUUUGCACAGCUUUGGCCAUUUCAAAUGCCAUCACCAAUCUUUGUGGUAUACCCUCUUAUAAUAUUGUAUGUAGCUACUAUAUUUAGAUCCUGGGUUCUUGUUCCAAUUUAAUUUGGGAUAUAUUGCAUGUAGCUACUGUAUUUGGGCAAUUGUGGAGAUUAGAGCCCGUUCCUGAGGAGAAGAAAUCACUGUGGAAAAGAGAGAUGGAAUGGCUUGUUUGUGUUAGUGACCACAUUGUUGAGUUCAUACCCUCUUGCCAAAAUUUUCCAGAUGGAAGUAAGCUCGAGGUAUUGCUCUCAUUCUUCUUUCUUUUUCUUGAAAUCUCAUUUUAAAUAUUCGUGUUUGAUGUAUAUAUAGAUAUAAAAACUGAAAAGAUCUGUAUUUGAUGCUUAUUCAUAGCAAUCCCCGAGCUCGAGUGCCUUAAAAGCUUUGAACAUUCACACCCGAGUUUGAGUAACAUUUCACCAAAGAUAAAGUUUCUUGUCCUUUUAACUGUUCCUUUUUUUUGUUUUUCAUAGGUCAUGACUUGCAGGCCUAGAUCAGAUAUUUUCAUAAAUCUCCCAGCCCUACGUAAACUCGAUAACAUGCUUCUGGUAAGAACUAACAAUGCUUGCUUUCGGGUUCGAGUUUGAGUUCAGAACAUGCUAGCUUUGUUAUGCAGGAUGUAUUAGAUGGUUUCGCCAAUACAGAGUUCUGGUAUGUUGAUCAAGGGAUUAUAGCCCCGGAUGCCGAUGGCUCUGCCUCGUUCCGGAAAACUCUGCAACGCCAGGAUGAGAAGUGGUGGCUACCAGUGCCCCGUGUGCCUACUGGUGGUCUCAGCGAUCAUUCGAGAAAGCAAUUGAAUCACACUCGCGAGUGCACGAAUCAAAUAUUGAAAGCUGCUAUGGCAAUCAACAGUAUUUCUAUAUCCGAAAUGGAAGUUCCGGUUUCGUAUUUAGACACACUCCCGAAGGUCAGAAAACUAGACAUAAUUUGCUGUCUUGUUAUGUUCUCCGUUUGGGGACAGCAUUCCAGUCUACGGACAAUGGCACAAGUUCCUACUUGAGCUCUUAAAUGUUACAAACUGUUAUCAAAUGUGUCACACAUGACAUAGUUCCCAAAAAUUGUGUUGCAGAGUGGAAGAGCUUGUCUUGGAGAUUUCAUUUACAGGUAUGUAACAUCUGAUCAAUUCUCGGCAGAGUGCCUGCUUGAUUUCCUCGAUCUAUCAUCGGAACAUGUUGCACUUGAGAUUGUGAACCGUGUCGAAGCCUCAAUAUACGUGUGGCGUCGAAGAUCUUAUUCAAAGCCUCCAGUCAAUCCGAACCGAUCAACUACAAAAUCAUCAUGGGAAAUAGUAAAAGAUAUGAUGGUUGAUGGAGAUAAAAGAGAAUAUCUAGCAGAAAGAGCUGAAACUCUCCUGCUUUGCUUGAAGCAACGAUUCCCAGGUUUGACGCAAACUACGUUGGAUACAAGCAAAAUCCAGUGCAACAAGGUUUGAACUUCGAACCCUUUUCUCGAAAAUAUCUGGUUUUGCUGAAAGCUGCUUCAUUCUAGUCCCGAAUGUUAUUCAAACUAUUCCUUAUUUUAAACUUGCAGGAUGUUGGAAAGUCCAUUCUUGAAAGCUAUUCAAGAGUUCUAGAAAGCCUGGCAUAUAACAUUGUGGCACGGAUCGACGAUUUGAUAUAUGUCGAUGACUUAACAAAGUAUUCUGAGAAUUUGUCAUCGGUUCCUACUACAGUUAGUCUAAUCACUUACAAAAAGGUCCCGGUCGUGCCUGUCUCAAGCACUCCAUACAAAACAGCAAUCACCAGACCGAGCUUCUCUCCUGCUGCACCCCUGAUCAGCCCUGCAGGGGGAGAAAGAACUCCAUUUCUCAAGGAGAACCGCAACAACAACAACAACAACAGCAAGCCUCAUCGCCGUGGCAUUGGAGUUAAGAGGGUCUUGACUAAUUAUCUUGGAGUUGAUCCUAGAGCAAAGGUCUGCGGCAAUCCAACCAAUGAUGGUUCAUCAAUAAUGAACUCCAAGACUACAGAUAUGCCAGAGAACCAAAAGGAUGAAGUUACAUCAAAACAAUCAUCGGUACAGCAUAAUGGGACGAGUAUGCGGCAAAAUCGUCCGUGAUAUACUGUCAGUUGAGAUUUUCUGAAGAUGCAAAAUAAUACAGAUGUGAUAAAUAGGAGGGAAUAGUUGAUGAUAGAAAACUUGUUGGGUGCAGUAGAAGAAUGAUAUUUAUGUUCCACAUUGUUGUAGUAAAUUAAAAAGCAGGUUUUGGAGGGUAUACAUUUUUUUAGGACGUUAAACGUGAAUGUAACCGAGAAUGACAUGAUAUCAAAGUUUAUAGGUCAUUGGAUGUUGGUUCACUUCACAUGCUUUCUCCAAUUAUAGCUGGAAAAAGUGAAAAAGAAAGGGAGCAUUCCGAGAAUUGAACUCGGGACGUCUCCACCCUAAGCGAGAAUCAUACCCGUAGACCAAAUGCCCUACAUGCGUCAUUGGAUGUUGAUCUAAUUUACAUUCUUUCCCCAGUUUAUAGCUGGAAAAAGUGAAAAAGAAAGGGGCAUUCCGAGAAUUGAACUCGGGACCUCUCGCACCCUAAGCGAGAAUCAUACCACUAGACCAAAUGCCCUUUCUCUGUUAAUGUGAUAUUAAACAAAAUUUGAGUAAAGAAAAUGGGGAACUCUAGCAAUUUUGAUUAAAUUUUUGGGUAAACAGCUUGAGUGGUCCUCCAACUUUUGGAUAAGUUCUAUUUUGGUCACUCAACUACAAAACUUCCAAUUCCAUCAACAAUGGUUUUAAAAUUUUAGUCAGACUUCACGGAAGGUUGACGUGGGCAUUUUUUAAUUGGCCUAAUAAUAAAUUUAAUCUUUCAAUACUUACACAUUUUAUCAAUUUGAUUUUAAAUUUAAAAUUCAACAAAUUUAGCUUUCAAUAUUUACAAAAUUUGUCAUUUAAUUCUAAUACCAAAAAAUUAAAUAAUUUUAACCCUAAAAAUUUACAAAAUUUGUUAAUAUCAAUCUCAGCCCUUAGAUAUUUGGUUUUUACUUUUUAGCCGUUUUAUUUAAACAUUUUAUGUAAAAAUAAUAAAAUAAAUAAAAAUACUACUUUUUAAUUAUAAUUUUUUAAGUAAUUUCACUAAUCGAACACCAAAUUCAAUCAUAGAGAUAACUAGAUUAUAUCUGAAAAAUUAAAAUUUCAAUGUAGCAUAUAAUUUUUAAGUUUUAUUACCAAAGAAAGCAAACUGAGACAUGAAGCAGCCAAUUACAUCGUACAAACAUGGAGUUAACAAAAUAGAAGGAUGUUCAAAUAAACACAACGAUGGGACUCCUCACUUUGUGUUCACCAUCGUCCCACACUAAAGCACCAGACAUCAUAGCUUUAUCCAUUGUCCCUUCCACUAUUACUUCAAAAGACAGCUUUUGUCCCACCGACGUGAACGACAGAACAUCGGGGUUAACCCUGAUUUUCAACGUACCUGUCGGAAAACUCAGGUUAGCUCUGUAAACCGCCGUCGGAGAUCCCACGUUUGUGGCGGUCCUUUUGAAGGUACGACUGAAUGGUUUCAAUGGCGAAGUGGAAAGACCAAAGGAAGGGUAGUUUAGUUCCGAAACUGUCCCAUUAGUGUCUUUAGGACAAGUGGAGUUGUCUUUGGAUAAUAAUUGUAUUAACCGAGUGGCGUAUCCUUGUCCGCAUAAGAAGUUUAUGUAAUCAGUUUCAUUGGCAUCGUAUACUAGACCUGGAUUUGCAGCUUUUAAGGGAUUCAAAUGGCCUGAACCGUAUGCAAAUUCAGCUUCCAUGUUGAUGCCAGACCUCAUAGGAGCGGCUGCAGUUAACAUUUCAAUUGGAAAAUUAAGUAAAAGUUGUACCUAAUCGAACUAUAAAACAUAUUUGUUAUGAGGUUUAUAAUUAAUUACCUGUGGUCAUAAGGGCAGAUUGAAUAGCAGCAGGAGACCAUGUGGGAUGAAAUGAUUUAACGUAGGCAGCUGCACCAGAAACAUGAGGACAAGACAUUGAUGUUCCUGAGAUUAUGUUGAAUGUCACGAACCUGUUGUCGCCUGGAAUUGAAUAAACAGGAGAAAUUGAAGACCACGCUGCUAGAAUGUGAACCCCUGGUGCUGAUAUAUCUGGCUGCAAACAACAAUUUAAUGAAAAAAAAAACCAUCAAUCCUACACAAGUUUCUGCAAAAUCAUAUACUAUGAUAUAUGUGGAAAGAUUUAGAUAAAAAUAUUAAACUCAAAGCUUUAUCAUUCAAGAGCAAAAUCACGCUCGGCCUUACCUAACCAUUUUUUUUUCUAAAUCUAUAAUAUAUUGUUUUAUUUCUUAUAUUAAAUUGUAAUUUAUAUCCCAUCAAAAAAAAUAUUUUAAGUUAUCUAUUUUUAAAAUUUUAAUAAAAGAAAAAUACUAGAAUACUAUAAUUUUAAAUAUUAUAUUGUUUAGAAUUGAGCAAGAAAAUAAAAGAAAUUAAAGAUUGAUCCAGAUCGAGAUGUUUAGAUAAUAGAAUACAAGUUAAAAUACCAUGGUUACCCGAACUGAGCCGAAUACUACUUUUUGUUUAAUUUAUAAUUAAUUUUAAUUUUUAUAUAAUAGUGAAUGUCACUUAAAAGUUUUAUAUAGAAAUAUUUUUUGAAAUUACCAUAUAAAAGUUAUUGUUAUUUUUUAUUUACUUGAAAAAAUAAUUUUUCUAGAAAUAUUUAUAAAGAAGUUGAAAUUUUAUCAAAUAGUAUUCAAAAGAUAAAAAAUAAAACUCAUUUUGUCAAAAUAAAUUUAAAAAUCUAAAUGAUGAUAAAUCGAUAAUCGAAUUGAAUUAUGAUGAACGAUUUAAGAAAAACGAACAAAUUAAACUCAACUCAUCCCUAAUAUUGAUAAGCUUAAACAAAUUUGGAUUAAAUAUUUACUAAUACGAGUAGACUUGAAUUAAAUUGGUCGACCCACGAAUACUUUUAUCUUUUCCUUAAAAGAUGUUUAUGUUUUAUAUAUUGAACAUAAUUAUUGAGAGAAAAAAAAAGUUAAACCAUUAAAUUUUCCAUCAAUUUACCUUAAUAAUCUCAGGUGUAAUCGGAUUCGGACCUAUCGACGAGAAAGAGAUGAUAUAAGGAGCCAAUGAGUCAUUAACCUCACUACUCCUGAAUAUAGUUGCAGUUGGAGCACUACAAAAACAUAUAGGCAAAGUCUUACAUGAUAUUCGUUUGUGUAUUAAUUUUAUAUUCGUAUCGAGUAAUCGUACCUAGUGGAGUUUACGUACUGAAAAAUGUUGCGACCGUCAACGAAGUUAAAACAAGAUGCAGGCAAAGGAAAAAGGUUAGAAUAGUCAAUGCUGUCCAGGUCUCGAGCCACGGUCCCAGCUGCACCAGCCGAAAGGGCUCCUAUCCCGUUAGCGCGUAUAGUAUCACAAAGAACAAUCUUACCCUUCACUAAUUUUUUAUCCAAUGAAUUAGGAAAACAUAAUCUGCACUUCAACAAUUGGAUAAUUAAAAUAUUAAUGGUAUAAAAAGAUAUGAAAAGAUGAAAUAUUUUAAUUUUACACAUGUGUAAGUGGAUGAAUUAAAAAAAAAAGAGCUAAGUUUAUGUUACCUGGAUGAUCUACUAGAUGCUGUAGUAGUGUUUGGUGCGUCUCCACCAUAAAUCAUAGGGUACGUUUUAUUCUUGAGAUCAAAUGUAUUUAUUGAUACUCCCUACAUACAACCAUACUUAUAUAUUUAUAUGAUAACUAUCAUUAUAAAUCAUAAAAUUGAUAUAUGAUUAUAAAUCAUGUAUGUAUUUAUAUUACCUCAUAAAUCUUCUUGUUGCCAAGUUGAACCUUGGUGGAAAACUUGCGAUCGAUGGUGCUAGCUGCCACGGAAAGCGACCACGGUGAGAAAUUAGAGAUCGUUGAACGUCCAGGGCCUUCAUUACCCGCCGAACUUACAGUUAGUAUACCGUUUUUCAUGGCGUGAAAAGAUGCGAUAUCAAUUGCAUCUUCGAAAUAGUCUCUGGUCCGUCCUCCGCCGACUGAAAUUGAUAUAAUGUCGACUCCAUCAGAGAUCGCAUCAUCCAAUCCCGCGAGAAUGUCGGCAUCCUGACAACCAUCGGACCAACAUAUUUUGUACACUGCGAUGCGUGCCGAUGGAACCCCUCCUCGAGCUGUUCCUGAACCAAAGCCGUAGAGACUUGCACCGUCGACUAAAUUCCCGGCUGCCGUGGAAGCAGUAUGAGUCCCAUGACCGUCGGAGUCUCUCGGAGAUUCAAAGUCAUCCGGUAAAAACAGUCCAUCGCUGCGGUAAUAUUUUGUGUUACAGGCCAUUUUGCCCGAGGCCCAAUUAAACACAAAAAUAAAGGUCCAAAUUACAGUCCAUAAGGUCCUAAACAACAAGCUCAGAACCACUAGCCCAAUAACCCAAUAGCCUACCCUUAGCCCAAUAACCCAAUAGCCUACCCUCAGCCCAAAACCCAAAACAAAAAAAAACCUAGCAGAAAACAGAGGAGCCCUAGGCGCCGCUCCUAGGGUCUUCUGACCUUCGGUCUUCUGCUCACCUGCUCUGCCAGCAACCACCGCCAACUGCCACCGUCACCUCCAUCCACGUGCGUUGAUCCCUGUAAACAAAUCAAAGCAAGCAAGACAGGCAUAGGCAUAGACUAGGAAUUUCAUGUCAAUUGGCUAUAAAAGCCGAAACUAAGAUACAUGUAAGGGGUUCUGACUUUUUUUUAAAGAAAAAGAUCAAAGAAAACAAAGGAAAAUCAGUUGAAAGGUGAAAUUUUUAGCCUUCUUUUUUCUUCGAUUCCAUUCGGCUUUGCUUUCCUUUUCUUUUAUGUUUAAUAUAAGCCUAAAGGUUAAUAAACGAAACUUACCUGAAUCGUCGCGGUUGUAGCGUCGCCGGAGUCCGAGUCGUUGAGAACGGACGAGGAAGGCGUUUCAUUUUUUUGAGAUUCCCUCUCUCGGCCUUAGGGCUUUAAGGACUUGAUUUUUGGAAGGGUUUUCGAAACGGGAUUUUAAAAGGCUAACUUUUCGACUUCCGACCGCCGCUCACGGCGGCGCCGGCGCCGAUAAACGGCGACCGGCUCGGUGGUCCGCAACCGGACCCUUGGCCGGCGCUCAGAGAGAGGAGAAGGCUCUCUCUCUGUUUUAAAAUGGUUAAAACUGAUGGAUGUUAAGUUUUUUUUAAUAUUUAUAGUAAAUACCAAACGGCACCGUUUUGAUAGGGUCAGGACAGCCCCAAAACGGCGUCGUUUUGGGCUCCUGACCCGAGACCCGACCCGUACCGCCUGGGAUCCGCGUGUUUUUGGACCAGAGGGGUUAUUUGCACCCUCAGUCCUUCCGCUUUUGAGGCCGUACAAUUGGGUCCUAUUCCCUUUUAUUAUUUGUUUUAAUUUUGCCCUGAAUUUUCAUUUUUCUUGCGAUUUGGUCCAUCGACCGUCUGCUCAGGCUUUGUUAGAACGACGUCGUUUGGACCACGUGGGAAUAUUUUCCGUUUUGACCCUCCAUCCUUUCGCGCGAGUCACAUUUUGGUCCUUUUCGUCCUUUGUCAUUCCAAAUUCGCCCAGUAUUUUCUUUUUUAUUUCAAUUUAGCCCUUUUUUUUAGCCACUUUAUUAUUUUGUUUAUUCUAUUAUUAUUAUUAUUAUUAUUAUUACUUAUUUGUUUAUGUUUAUUUUAUUUAGAUUUUCGGCACAUAUACAUAUACAUGCAUAUGUUUUUGUGAUAUACGUACAUUGUUUUUUGUAACAUAUAUACUUAUAUAGUUUAUAUAGUUUCAACUUAUGUAUAUAUCUAUACAUUUAUAUAUUUUCAUUUUCCUAAAUAUAUACAUAUUUAUACAUAAUCUUUAUAGUUUAAAAUAUACCCCUUUUUAAAAAAAACCCGUAUAUACACACAUGUUGCUAAUAAUUUAUAUAGAUACAUAUCCUUUUUAUUUUAUAAGUACAUAUAUUUUUAUAUGUACGUACAUAUAUUUUUUUUGUAUAUCUUAUUUUACAUAAAUAUAUGUAUACAUUUUCAAUAUAUUUUAACAUGUACUAAAUUAACGUAUUUAUUCGUAUACAUAUGUAUAUUUUCAUUAUUUUUAAACUUUAAUUUGUACAUACAUACUUUCUCUUAUUUUUCAACACAUAUAUGUACUUACUUUCAUAUGUAUUUUAUUAUUUUUGUAUUCCAUAGUUUUAUACACCCAUAUAUAUGUACAUAUUUUUAUAUAUAUACAUAUUUAUCGUUUCUUUUAUAUAUUAAAAUACUUUAUACAUUUUGCUAAUUUAUAUAUAUAUACAUAUUUUAGUUUAUGCCUAUAUAUACAUAUCUUUUUAUAUUUAAUUGUAUUUGUUACUUAUUUAUUUCAUUCUCGUUAUUAUUUUGAAUGAAUGUUUUAAUUUAUUUGUUUAUGUAUAUUGUUAUUUUAUAUGAUUGUAGAUAUGAUUUUUAUUCAUUUUAUAUCGUUGCUAUUGCUCGUACUAUUUUUAUUUUUUAUGUGUAUUAUGAUUUUACCACGUAUGACAACAAUGUAAUUUGUUUUCACAUUUUUUUACUACGAUUUUCGUGUUAUAUUUUAUUCGGUACAACAAAAUUUGUUUUAAAAAAGUAUUUCAUGUUUAGAUUCGAAAGGAUCGUACUCUAACUUACUGAGUUUCGACUUUCAUAAUAAAUCUAAAUACACGAAUCUUUUCAAACUCAAGUUUUUAAACGAUCUUGGGAAUUAAGAAAAGAUCGUGCCCUAACUUACUGGGCCUGAUUUAUUUCUAAAACCAAGAUAAUAAAAUAUCUUUUAAAUAAGCAUUUUUCAUCCGCGUAUCGGGAAUUUGAGACAUUGUGUCCUAACUUACUGGAUAUGAUUCUCUUUCUCGAAUAAUGUGAAAUAUUCCCUUUUCCUGAAAAUUUUCAACGUUUUAAUACAAGGAUCGUGUUUUUAAAAUUCUUCAAGGUUCUCAAUUUUUGACAUUAAGACAUUAAGUAAUCAACUAGGUACCAAUUUUGGGCGUAUCGAGGGUGCUAAUCCUUCCUCGUGCGUAACCUACUCCCGAACCCGUUUUUGAAUUUCGUGGACCAAACUUGUUGUUUUAAUAAAAUCAAACCGUUUAUUAAAAACCCCUCUUCGAGGUGAUCCAAUCGCACCUCAUAAAAAAGGAGGAUUGGUGGCGACUCCCGUUUCUUUUUUUUAAACCCAAGUCAACCCCAUCUUUCAUCAAAAAAAUGGUGUCAACAGCUUGGCGACUCCACUGGGGACAUGAUAAGAGAGUCAAGCCACGUGUUGAUUAUUUCUUGUCUUUUUGUCGAAAGUUAAAAAUUCGAUUGAAAUUUACGAUCCUCUCAUUGCAUCUCUUUUGUUUUGAGUUAUAUUUUUAUCGUGUUCUGUAUUUUAUUUUAUACCUCUGCGCAUUGCAUUGCAUGACCGUUGGUCACACCUUUUUAAGUGGGAGUGAGAAGCUACGCCUUCGUGAGGUUUUCACCUCCGCAUGGGAUAGUGAAUCGCUUUCGGGAUAUAUCCGUACCUAUGUCUUCGUGAGAUUUUCAUCUCCGCAUGGCCAUAGGGAAAUGUAUCCCCCUGAAUCGAACUUGGUCCGUAUGAGCCUAUAAUGGGUGAGGAUCGAGGAAUUUGCUGGUUCAGGUACCCUACUUUAGAACCAAACCACAUGUAAUGAGCCAUAGGAACCGACCUAGGUAGAGCUACUCUAAAUUUUUAGUGCCUACCUAAAUGAAUGUUGUAUUUAUUUGUCGUUUAUUUUAAACCUUAUUCUGUGUUUAAUGCUAAUUUACUUUGUUUGUGAUUGCAUGGCAUCUUCAUUCUAAAAGAGGUGUCGAUUUACGUUCAGCUUCUUGGUAGAAAGCUUAUCAUGGAAAAGGGGUUUGUUGAUAAAGUAGAGGAUAAUGCGGCUGUGCGAAUAUGGGCUGAAACGACGCAACGGGAGAAAGGCGAUAGUCUUACCGAAGGGUACGUGUCAGAAUUGUGGGAUUUUACCCGUAUCAGUGUAAUCCAGAAUGACCUUCGAGAAAUGAAAUAAGUCUGGGAUCAAUGGGAUGUCGAGGCCAAGGAGCUAUUCUAUUGUAACUAUGGUGACCUACCUUAUCUGCUCAGUGUCAAAGUGGACAAGUAUUUAUUCCGAGCCCUUGCUCAGUUUUGGAAUCCUGCCUACAGUUGUUUCACUUUUGGGAAGGUAGAUUUGACGCCUACUGUGGAGGAAUAUACGACCUUGCUUCGGUGCCCAAAGAUUCAAGUCGACAAGGCUUAUUCCAGAGCUGCUUGUGUCCCUCCGUUGUUAAAGAAAUUAAUGAACAUCACUGGGAUGAGCGAGCAGUGGGUCGCUGCCCGGAUCCAACAGAAGGGCGACAGUAAAUGUGUUCCUUGGAAAAGUUUGCGAGAUUUGGUGCUUGUACAUCCUGACUUAAAGAAAAGGGUCGAUGUCUUCGCUUUAGGUAUCUAUGGACUAGUGGUUUUCCCCAAAGCUUUAGGACACAUAGACGAGGCCGUAUCUGAUUUGUUCGAUCGGCUUGGUAAAGGGGUUACACCGGUUCCGGCAAUACUCGCGGAAACUUUUAGAUCCUUGAAUGCGUGUCGAAAAGCAGGGGAGGGAAGGUUUAUUGGAUGCGCGCAGCUCUUAUUGGCAUGGUUCCAUAGCCACUUCUGGAAAGUCGAAAAGGUCUCUUACCGGGUAUUCUCCGAUAGCUACUCCCCUCUAGGAGAAUUGGUGGCCACGCCAAGACGGGAUGAUAUUUCAGAAGAAAAAUGGAUAGAGAUACUCUAGAAUCUCCAAGAUGAAGAUAUUGAAUGGAGGGCUCCUUGGUUAAUUCCUGAUGAGAUAUUGUACCGAUGUGGAGAUUUUGACUGGGUUCCGCUGCUCGGGAUAUGGGGGGCUAUUGGAUAUGCUCCUCUACUCGUGUCAAGACAGUAUAGAUCACGACAAUUCAUACCAGCAACCCAGGGGUUGGCUUAUAGUGAUUUUUCCUAUAGGGAGGACAAUUACAAGAAGAAGGUUCGAGAAAUAUCUAGUGCUUGGAACCAGACUCGUCGAAUGAAGAUCUUAGCUGUGGGUCCGACAAUUACCCCCGAGUAUGGUCAGUGGCGUAAUCAAAGGAUCAACGACAACAUCCCGGCGUCAAAUUCAGAAACGGCUCGAUCUUUAGAGGAACACUUACAAGUCUUGCCUUCUGAGAUAGAAAUCAUCAAACAAGAAUUCGAAAAAAGAAGUUUAGAAUUGGGGAAGAAGAUAGAACAACUAGAGGAAGAAAAAAUGCAGUUAGGACUGGAUGUGGACAUUCAAAGAUUAGAGGCCAACAAAUUGAGGAAAGGAAAGAACAAGGCAGAAGAAGAUUUGGACAGCCUGAAGACAGAUUACAAGAAGUUGCGAAAGUCGGUAAGAGCCGCUGGCUUGGGUAAAACACCAGAACAAUGGCGACAAGAAAUUCAGGAGGAAAAGACGAAAGCUAAUCAAUGGGAAAAGAAAUUUCAGGAUACUCGGGCUCGAGAAGUCGCCUUGGGAAAGAGUCUACUAGUUUGCCAAGACGAGAAGACGGAGUUGAAGGUCCGGAUAACAGAACUAGAAAGAUCGCUUCGCCAGUACUGUAAUCGUAAUGCUACGGUUGAAUUAAGGGCGAGCUUAGACAAAAUUGAAGAAUUAAAAACACAGAUAGGAGGGCUAGAGAAUGCAUUGCAAAAUAGUGAAAUCCGGAUAGAGCUUCUAGAAGAAAGUAAUGAGCAGUGGCAAGGACAAUUUCGUCGGUCUCAAGAGCAGAUUGGAGAAAGAGAUUAUAUUAUGGGAGAGGCGGUGACUCAGGUGCGCGAAGUGGCUGAUCAUCUGCAAACUCUAGCGGUUCAGGCUGAUCUAUUAAGUUUGAAGUAUGAGUUAGAGUCGGACAGGGGCCGAGAAUUAGCUUGGCUUCUUAGAAAGGUUAAGGCUUUGAGUGUGAGGGCAAAGCCAUAUAUGUAGUCUAUUUUAUGUAAAGAAACUCUUUAUCUAGUAAAGUUUUCUAAUGAAGUUGAAUUAGAAUCAGUGCCUCUUUUUCUUUGUAUUCUUUUCAUGCAUUGCAUCACAUCAUAUGCAUUAAUGACCAUUAAAAACCUAAUCGAAUAAAAUCAUUUCAGUUAACCUGGAAAACCAACAAAGUUACGGCACCCGAGCAAAGACAAAAAUUAUGGACCAAAGGUUGGAGAAGCUAGAGCGACUUCAAAGAGAAAUGCAAGACCAGUUGCAGGCGCAAAUGAAAGAGCAAAUAGAAAAGAUUCAGCGUGACAUGGUACAAAAGAUGGAGGAGUCCCAAAAUGAUCUGGUGGCUAAGAUGACGCAAUUAUUGAAGGGAGUAGAUAAGGGUAAAGGGCCUGUGAUUGUUAGUGAAGAAGAAAACAAUGGUGAACCACUCUAUCCUCCAGGUUUCACGCCUCCACAUGUACAAACUGAGUUGCAUCCGCGGAGACCCUCUGUGUCGGUUAGGCCCCAACAGUCCCAAGGCGAUGCUUCAAUCCCAAUGAAUUUUCAAUCCGGAGCGGGCUUUAAUCCCGGCGAUAGCCCGAAUAAUAUUGCUGUCCCAGAUCUUGACGAGAUGGUUGAAAAGGACAAAGCGAAGGAGGAAUUUCCAAAACAAUUUGAGGAGAAAUGGAAAUGGAUAGAAGAGAAGUUUAGGGCAAUAGAAAGCAUUGAAAACUAUGGAAUAGAUGCAAAGGAUCUGAGCUUGGUUCCUGACUUGGUGCUCCCUUACAAAUUUAAGAUGCCGGAAUUUGAAAAAUACAACGGGACUAGUUUCCCAGGAUCCCAUAUUACUAUGUUUUGUAGAAGAAUGACGGGGCAUAUUAAUAAUGAUCAAUUAUUAAUACAUUGCUUUCAGGAAAGUCUUACGGGAGCAGCGUCAAAGUGGUACAAUCAGCUGAGCCGAGCCAAAAUUGCUACUUGGAGGGAUUUAGCACAGGCUUUCCUGAGACAGUACAAUCAUGUCUCAGAAAUGAUGCCUGACAGGAUAACUCUGCAAAAUCUAGAGAAGAAAUCGAACGAAAGCUUCAGACAAUAUGCGCAGAGGUGGCGAGAGGUGGCAGUUCAAGUGCAACCACCGCUUUUGGAAAAGGAGAUGACGACGCUUUUUAUUAACACUUUGAAAGCCCCGUUCAUCACUCACAUGUUGGGAAGCGCUUCAAAAAAUUUCUCGGAUAUAAUCAUGAAUGGUGAAAUGAUUGAGCAUGCCAUUAAAAGUGGAAAAAUAGAUGGAGGAGAAAAUAAUAGGAGGGCACCCUUGAGGAAAAGAGAAAAUGAAGUGAAUAAUGUGAAUGCUUAUGGUAGGUCAAUUACCGUGAAUCAACCGAAGAAAGUGGUUGCUAAUCAACAGGGAUCAUCAAGACAAGAGUCGGGAGCUAGGCAAACUACUGAAAAGCCCCAAUUCACGCCAAUCCCGAUGUCAUACAAGGAGUUGUAUCAGACUUUAUUCGAUGCACAUGUUGUUGCUCCUCGUUACUUGAGUCCUCUACAACCCCCGUAUCCAAAAUGGUAUGAUACGAACGCUCAAUGUGAUUAUCAUGCGGGAAUUUCUGGGCACUCGAUAGAAAAUUGUACUGCCUUCAAGAAGGUAGUAGAAGGACUUAUCAAUUUAGGUGUUGUCAAACUUGACGACUCACCUAACGCAAAGAAUCCGUUACCUAAUCACGCAGAUAAGGGGGUGAGUAUGGUUAGCGAAGGUAUGGGAGAAGAAGUCAAGACUGACAUUGCUGAAGUAAAAACUCCAUUAAAAUGGGUCUGGAAAGAAAUGGCGAAAAGAGGUUUGGUUAUUUCAGAUUCUGAGGAAGGGCAUGAGAUGGGAAAUUAUUGUGAAUUUCACCAUAAAACAGGGCACGAAAUCCAAGAAUGUGAAGGAUUUAAGGCUUUGGUUCAAAGCAUGAUGGAUAACAAAGAGAUGAGGUUUUACGAAGAUGCGAAAGAAAUAAGGAGCAUAUGCGCGACAGAGUUGGGAACAAAGGCUCCAAAUCAUCCUGUGGUCAUUAUCUCACGCCCUAAGGGUAAUGAGGUCAGGGCUCAGGUAACACCGAAAAUUGUAAUCCAAAAACCAUCAAAUUUCUCUUAUAGGGAUAAUAAAAUGGUACCGUAGAAUUACGGGUGUAAUAUGACCAUUUCGGGAAAAGAAACAGAAAGAAAUCAGGAAAUAGGUUCUUACACGCGCAAUGGAAAAAGAUAUGACGCUCAAGCAGAGUCGUCUAGGGAAGAGAAUGGGAAGAAAGAACAGAGGAAAGGGAAAGCAGUAGAAGUUGAACCAUUGGUAAAUGAACCAAUAAGAGAAGAGGAGGCAAAUGAGUUUUUGAAGUUUUUGAAACACAGUGAAUACAGUGUUGUGGAGCAACUGCACAAAUAGCCAGCCCGCAUUUCUGUAUUAGCUUUACUCUUAAACUCAGAAGUACAUCGGAAUGCACUAUUAAAGGUGCUAAACGAAACAUAUGUGGCUGACGAUAUUUCGGUAAACAAGCUGGAUCGGCUGAUCAAUAAUAUUGGCGCUGACAAUUUUAUCUUCUUCAGUGAUGACGAAAUACCGUCCGGGGGAAGAGGUUCUACUAAAGCCCUGCAUGUUACUGUCCGAUGCAAAGGGUACACACUCCCGGGGGCCUUGGUCGAUAAUGGAUCUGCACUAAAUGUAUUGCCUUUGUCCACUCUUAGUCGAUUACCAAUAGACAGUUCGCACAUGAAAGCAUGCCAGAGCAUAGUAAGGGCAUUUGAUGGAACAAAAAAGGAGGUUAUGGGGAGAAUUGAAGUACCAUUAAGGAUUGGCCCAGUCACUUAUGAGGUGGAUUUCUUGGUAAUGGAUAUUAAACCCUCCUACAACUGUCUAUUGGGGAGACCGUGGAUACACUCAGCAGGGGCAGUACCUUCAUCAUUACAUCAGAAGGUGAAGUUGGUAUCGGAGGAUCGGUUGGUAACAAUAGAUGCAGAGGAGGAUAUUAUCGCAAUGAUGACUAGCGAUGCACCUUAUGUGGACAUCAACGAUGAGGCACUGGAAUGUUCUUUUCGGUCGUUAGAAUUUGUGAACGCGAUGUUUAUUGCGGAGGGAAAUAGGAUUCCAGUACCGAAAAUAUCCAGGACCACUGAGAUGGGAUUGCGAUUAAUGGUAGGAAGAGGAGCCUUGCCCGGGAAAGGAUUGGGAAAAUAUCUUCAGGGAAGGAUUGAGGCACCAACGCCGAAGGAAAAGUUUGAUAGAUUUGGUUUAGGGUACAAGCCAGACAUGAAGCAGAAGAAGAAAGAAGUAGAGAAGAGACAAGCGAGAAGAAGGGCGCGUUUGAAUGGACAUGAAGCUAAGUGUGAGCCUUUAACCUUUCCCCACAUAUCUUCAUCUUUCGUGUCGGGAGGAUUUAUUCAUUCUGAAUGUGGGGUGUCCGGUAGCGGCAUGGGAGGAAUGUUGGAAAAUGUUUAUAUUAACGUCAUAGAAGCAACGGAAAGGAGGGCUUUGUUGGAGAUCUGCCCUUAUGAGCCUGGAAGCGAGCUAAACAAUUGGACUGCUGAAGAAAUCCCUGUAGUCUUUAGGGCUUAUUCAGAGUAAUGCUCAAAACAUUCCUGUUGUUUGUUGGCCUAGAAACGAUAUGAAUUUUUUUUGUGAAAUAGGCAUUGGGCCUAAAUAUCAUUAUUUUAAUAAAAUACGUGUCUACGUUCAUCUCGAUCAGUCACUUUUUUUUUCCUUUCAUAUUUUUCAUUUGGUUGAUUGUCUUACAAAUAAUUCUUUCAUUUGUGAUUCUUUUGCACAAACAUAUUCAUAAAUUUAUAUUCUUGGUAUAUUAUUUGAUCUGCCCACAUAGGUCUUCAGAUAUCAAUGACAGGAGUGACGCUGCCUCAAAUGCGGAGCCUAUUUUUGAGCAAGAAGUGUGUUCAGAGGGAUCCCACGACUUUGAAAAUGACGAAGAUUAUGAUGCAUCUCCGGACUUGUUAAGAAUGAUGGAACAAGAGGAUAAGCAUAUCCUACCUCAUAGGGAAUCGUUAGAAAUAGUGAGCCUAGAGGAUGGAAAGGAGGUGAAAAUUGGAACUGAAAUUACCGCAAAGACAAGGCAAGACCUCAUCAAUUUGCUCCGAGAGUUCAAGGAUGUUUUCGCGUGGUCGUACCAAGAUAUGCCUGGGCUAAGUACUAACAUCGUGGUACAUCGUCUGCCCAUAAAGGAGGAUUGUAAACCCGUUCAACAGAAGCUUAGGAGAAUGAGACCUGACAUUGUGUUGAAAAUAAGAGAAGAAGUCAAAAGACAAUUCGACGCUGGUUUCUUACAAGAGGUCAAGUAUUCGGAUUGGGUAGCCAACAUCGUCCCUGUUCCCAAAAAAGAUGGAAAAGUACGAAUGUGUGUGGAUUAUAGGGAUUUAAACAAGGCUAGUCCAAAGGACAACUUUCCACUACCUCACAUUGAUACUUUGGUAGAUAACACGGCGGGCCAUUCAUUGUUUUCUUUCAUGGACGGUUUCUCUGGAUACAAUCAAAUAAAGAUGCAUCCCGGAGACAUGAGGAAAACCACAUUCAUUACCUUAUGGGGAACGUUCUGUUACAAGGUAAUGCCCUUCGGAUUGAAGAAUGCGGGAGCAACGUAUCAAAGAGCUAUGGUGACUUUGUUUCACGACAUGAUGCACAAGGAGAUCGAAGUCUAUGUUGACGAUAUGAUCGCGAAGUCUAGAACGGAAGAAGAGCAUGUUCAGGUCUUGAAAAGGUUAUUUUUGAGAUUAAAGAAAUUUCAGCUCAAGCUUAACCCGGCCAAAUGCACGUUCGGAGCCAGAUCAGGGAAGUUAUUAGGCUUCAUAGUUAGCAAAAAGGGGAUCGAGGUUGACCCAGACAAAGUAAAGGCAAUACGAGAUUUACCUCCCCCGCGCACUCAGAAGGAGGUUCGAGGUUUCCUAGGGAGGCUGAAUUACAUUGCUCGGUUCAUCUCACAACUGACGGAGAAAUGUGAUCCAGUAUUCCGGCUCUUAAAGAAACAUAAUCCUGGCGAAUGGAAUGAAGAGUGUCAGAGAGCUUUCGAUAAGAUAAAACAGUACUUGGCUAAUACUCCAGUCUUAUCACCUCCAAGUCCAGAUAGGCCAUUGAUAUUGUAUCUAACAGUGUUGGAGAAUUCCAUGGGAUGCGUAUUGGGCCAACAUGAUGAGACGGGAAAGAAAGAAAGGGCAAUAUACUAUCUCAGUAAGAAAUUUACCGAUUGCGAGAUGAGGUACUCAUCAAUUGAGAAGUUGUGUUGUGCUCUAAUCUGGGCAACCCGAAGACUGAGGCAGUAUAUGUUGUAUCACAUGACUUGGCUGAUUUCAAAGUUAGAUCCUUUAAAAUAUAUGAUGGAAUCAACUGCUUUGAACGGGAGAAUGGCUAGAUGGCAGAUCUUGCUCUCAGAAUUUGAUAUAGUAUAUGUCAGUCAGAAGGCCAUAAAGGGAAGUGCAAUAGCCGAUUUCCUAGCUAGUAGAGCCUUGGAGGACUAUGAAUCUUUGAAUUUUGAUUUUCCAAACGAGGACUUGAUGUAUGUGGCGAAUACGGAAGAAAACCCUCAAAUGGAUCACGUAUGGAAGUUAAAUUUUGAUGGAGCUUCGAAUGCUACGGGUAAUGGAGUUGGGGCAGUUUUGGUAUCCCCGAGUGGAGAUCAUUAUCCUGUUGCCAGUAAAUUGGACUUCGAUUGUACAAAUAACAUGGCAGAAUAUGAAGCAUGUAUUAUGGGCAUUCGUGCAGCCAUUGAACGGAACAUCAAGGUACUGAGAGUAUACGGGGAUUCAGCGUUGGUGAUAUACCAACUCAAAGGGGAGUGGGAGACUAGAGAUCCUAAGCUAAUCGGUUAUAGAAAACUAGUUCUUGAAUUGGCUGAGGAGUUUGAUGAUAUCACCUUCUAUUACCUCCCACGGGAGGAAAACCAAAUGGCUGAUGCAUUAGCUACUCUAGCUUCGAUGAUUCAGGUGAAUAGACUUGAGGCAAUGAGGCCUGUUCAGAUGAGUAUCUCUGAGACCUCGGCUAAUUGCUGCAAUAUUGAGGAGGAGGGAAAAGAUGAUUGUCCUUGGUAUCAGAGUAUCCUACAAUAUGUGAAGAAUCGGGAAUACCCUGAUCAAGCGACAGAGAAUGACAAAAGAACUCUGAGAAAGAUAGCCAUUGAAUAUGUCUUAGACGGAGAAGUGCUAUAUAAAAGAAGGAAGGAUCAAGUACUGUUAAGAUGUGUGGAUGCUGUAGAAGCCAAGAAAAUUUUGGAAGAAGUCCAUGAGGGAAUUUGCGGGACGCACGCCAGUGGUUUUACGAUGGCCAGACAGAUCAUGAGAUUUGGGUACUAUUGGCCCACCAUGGAAGGAGAUUGUAUUGAUCACGCCAAGAAGUGCCACAAAUGCCAAAUUUACGGAGACAAGAUACAUGCGCCUCCUUCACCUCUUCACGUCAUGACCUCUCCUUGGCCGUUUUCCAUGUGGGGUAUGGAUGUUAUUGGGCCAAUAUCACCAAAGGCUUCUAAUGGGCAUCGCUUCAUCUUCGUAGUAAUUGAUUACUUUACCAAGUGGGUGGAGGCUGCUUCCUAUGCAAAUGUCACGAAAGCAGUAGUCAGCAAAUUCUUGAAGAAGGAGAUCAUUUGUCGAUAUGGAAUGCCUGAGAGGAUCAUAUCCGACAAUGCGAUGAACUUGAAUAAUAGCACAAUAGCUGAAGUUUGUAGCAAAUUUAAAAUUAAGCACCAUAACUCAUCGCCGUAUCGUCCCAAAAUGAAUGGUGCAGUGGAGGCGGCCAAUAAAAACAUUAAAAGGAUUGUGGGGAAAAUGACUGAAACCUACAAGGAUUGGCAUGAGAAACUAUCAUUUGCUCUCCUCGCCUAUCGAACAUCUGUUAGAACUUCUACUGGGGCAACGCCUUUUGCUCUGGUUUAUGGAAUGGAGGCAGUAUUACCCAUUGAAGUUGAAAUCCCUUCUCUACGGGUGUUAUCUGAGCUACAGUUGGAUGAAGCCGAUUGGAUCCAAUCUCGGUACGAUCAGUUGAACCUAAUAGAAGAAAAGAGGCUAAGAGCUAUUCACCAUGGGCAAAUGUACCAGAAACGAAUGAUGCGAGCCUAUAAUAAAAAGGUUCGCCCCCGAGAAUUUCGUGAAGGGGACUUGGUACUAAAAAAGAUUCUUCCUAUGCAAAAAGAUUUUAGAGGAAAAUGGAUGCCAAAUUGGGAAGGCCCUUAUGUUGUAAAGAAGGCCUUUUUCGGUGGAGCUUUGAUCCUAUGCGAGAUGGAUGGCAAAAGUUUACCAAAUCCUGUAAACGCAGACUCUGUCAAGAAAUACUUCACUUGAAAGAAAGCGGAACCAAAGUGAAAACCCGUGAAGGGCGCUUUGCUUCCUAAAAAAAAAAAAAAAAAAAAGGAAACUUUGGAGAGGCUAAGGUGAAAACCCGUAAAGGGCACUUUGAGACCAAAGAGGGCUUGAGUCGAAAACUCGAAAAGGGCGACUCAAAUAUUGGGCAGGAUUGGAACAUCAGGACUUGAGCGGAUCAAAUUUUGAUCAGGGGCAUGUGAUGAUCUUGCUUUACCAAUAAGGAAGGAUAUGCAACGUCUCGGAACAUUGACAGAGUAUUGCAGAUCUCCUGAACACAUGUCAAACUCAGAAGGGUCUUCGGAAAAUUUGUACAGAGAAACUCAAGCGGCGAUAACUAGGACACCUAGUUCUUAUGUGUAUUCUUGAAAAUACAUUUUCUUUCUUUCUUCCUUGCCUUUUGUGAAAACGCACAUUCUCAAUCCACUUCUUUGUUACCUUUCUUUCGCCGUCUUUGAUGUUUUAUUCGAGUCAUGAUCAGAACUAGCUUUAUUCUUAUCCAUUAUUAUGAUCUUUUUGCAAACAUGUUGCAUAGGAAUAAUGAUUAAUGAACUAAUAAAACUUUCAGGAAAGAAGUUUUGCACAUUACUCUGGAAAAUUUCUAAAUAAUAUAGGGACCUGAAACAUGAUUAUUGUUAAAAAAAAAAUACCAAGUUUAAAAGGUGAAAUAGCUAGGAAAGAAGAGUCUAAGUUAAGGACUAUCCUUUCAGAUUUUGUCAUUGAUUGAACAAAAUGACAAGCUGUCGUGUUAAUUACAAAGCUUAAGUAAACAAGCAAGCAAUGAUCAUCAAACAAUAGGAAGAAGUUACCUCGGAGAAGAGAGCUUUCACUUGCGCAUAAGACUUUGGUACGACGCUUUGAGAAUGGCGUAGGAAACCAGAACGGUUCAGAUCCCAUAUCCCCGAAUUGUGAGGACAGAGGAAAAGCCACAUAUUUCUACCCUUAGAUUACUGUGAGAGAAUGAUGGUACAAAUUUUGGCGUCCCAGUGGAUAUAACUUUGAGGUUUACAAUGGGGACAGUCUGGCUAAAUGUUCCUUCAGAAAAAUCAGUCAAGCGAGAAGGCGUUGUAGCAUGUCAGUCACAAAACUUUGAUAAACUGCGAGUAGUGAUAACCUAAGCAAGAUCAUUCUCAAAAAAAUAAAAUUCUGCAUUCAUGCAAAUACCAUUCACAUAUGUCUAGUUAGGAGCAUUUGUUUCAUUUUGAUCAUGUCAUCCUAAUCAUUAGGCAUAAUUAGGUUCAUAAUACAGGUCUUAUCUCCCUGAGAUUACAGUGGAACAGACCAAAGAAUUUCAGAUCUUAUCUCCCUGAGAUUACAGCGGAGCAGAUCAAAGACAGUAAUCCUAUCUCCUUGAGAUUACAAUGGAGCGGAUUAAAGGAUCGUAUCUCUCUGAAGUUACAGUAGAGAAGAUCACAUCAGGUCUUAUCUCCCUGAGAUUACAGUGGAACAGACCAAAGAAUUUCAGAUCUUAUUUCCCUGAGGUUACAGUGGAGCAGAUUGAAGCCAGAGAUCUUAUCUCCCUGAGAUUACAGCGGAGCAGAUUGAAGACAUAAUCCUAUCUCCCUGAAGUUACAGUGGAGCGGAUUAAAAUAAAGAAUCUUAUCUCUCUGAAGUUACAAUAGAGUAGAUCGCAUCAGGUCUUAUUUCCCUGAGGUUGCAGCGGAGUAGACCGAAGAAUUGCAGAUCUUAUCUCCCUGAGAUUACAGCGGAGCAGAUUGAAGACAUAAUCCUAUCUCCCUGAAGUUACAGUGGAGCGGAUUAAAAUAAAGAAUCUUAUCUCUCUGAAAUGGUAGUAGAGUAGAUUACAUCCAAGUCAGAACACUCUGAAGUGCAGUGGAGUGGAUCGAAGCAACAAGACAUAGUGGACUGGAAGGAGGCUAUUUGAAGAAAAGAAGCACUAGAAGAAGUCAAGAUUCGGCAAGACCGGGCAAAAUUGGCCUUCCUUGGUCUUUGCCCUGUUCUCGUUACACGACAACGAGCAAAGAGGGGCAGCUGUUACAGGCCAUUUUGCCCGAGGCCCAAUUAAACACAAAAAUAAAGGUCCAAAUUACAGUCCAUAAGGUCCUAAACAACAAGCUCAGAACCACUAGCCCAAUAACCCAAUAGCCUACCCUUAGACCAAUAACCCAAUAGCCUACCCUCAGCCCAAAACCCAAAACAAAAAAAAACCUAGCAGAAAACAGAGGAGCCCUAGGCGCCGCUCCUAGGGUCUUCUGACCUUCGGUCUUCUGCUCACCUGCUCUGCCAGCAACCACCGCCAACUGCCACCGUCACCUCCAUCCACGUGCGUUGAUCCCUGUAAACAAAUCAAAGCAAGCAAGACAGGCAUAGGCAUAGACUAGGAAUUUCAUGUCAAUUGGCUAUAAAAGCCGAAACUAAGAUACAUGUAAGGGGUUCUGACUUUUUUUUAAAGAAAAAGAUCAAAGAAAAUAAAGGAAAAUCAGUUGAAAGGUGAAAUUUUUAGCCUUCUUUUUUCUUCGAUUCCAUUCGGCUUUGCUUUCCUUUUCUUUUAUGUUUAAUAUAAGCCUAAAGGUUAAUAAACGAAACUUACCUGAAUCGUCGCGGUUGUAGCGUCGCCGGAGUCCGAGUCGUUGAGAACGGACGAGGAAGGCGUUUCAUUUUUUUGAGAUUCCCUCUCUCGGCCUUAGGGCUUUAAGGACUUGAUUUUUGGAAGGGUUUUCGAAACGGGAUUUUAAAAGGCUAACUUUUCGACUUCCGACUGCCGCUCACGGCGGCGCCGGCGCCGAUAAUCGGCGACCGGCACGGUGGUCCGCAACCGGACCCUUGGCCGGCGCUCAGAGAGAGGAGAAGGCUCUCUCUCUGUUUUAAAAUGGUUAAAACUGAUGGAUGUUAAGUUUUUUUUAAUAUUUAUAGUAAAUACCAAACGGCACCGUUUUGAUAGGGUCAGGACAGCCCCAAAACGGCGUCGUUUUGGGCUCCUGACCCGAGACCCGACCCGUACCGCCUGGGAUCCGCGUGUUUUUGGACCAGAGGGGUUAUUUGCACCCUCAGUCCUUCCGCUUUUGAGGCCGUACAAUUGGGUCCUAUUCCCUUUUAUUAUUUGUUUUAAUUUUGCCCUGAAUUUUCAUUUUUCUUGCGAUUUGGUCCAUCGACCGUCUGCUCAGGCUUUGUUAGAACGACGUCGUUUGGACCACGUGGGAAUAUUUUCCGUUUUGACCCUCCAUCCUUUCGCGCGAGUCACAUUUUGGUCCUUUUCGUCCUUUGUCAUUCCAAAUUCGCCCAGUAUUUUCUUUUUUAUUUCAAUUUAGCCCUUUUUUUUAGCCACUUUAUUAUUUUGUUUAUUCUAUUAUUAUUAUUAUUAUUAUUAUUACUUAUUUGUUUAUGUUUAUUUUAUUUAGAUUUUCGGCACAUAUACAUAUACAUGCAUAUGUUUUUGUGAUAUACGUACAUUGUUUUUUGUAACAUAUAUACUUAUAUAGUUUAUAUAGUUUCAACUUAUGUAUAUAUCUAUACAUUUAUAUAUUUUCAUUUUCCUAAAUAUAUACAUAUUUAUACAUAAUCUUUAUAGUUUAAAAUAUACCCCUUUUUAAAAAAAACCCGUAUAUACACACAUGUUGCUAAUAAUUUAUAUAGAUACAUAUCCUUUUUAUUUUAUAAGUACAUAUAUUUUUAUAUGUACGUACAUAUAUUUUUUUUGUAUAUCUUAUUUUACAUAAAUAUAUGUAUACAUUUUCAAUAUAUUUUAACAUGUACUAAAUUAACGUAUUUAUUCGUAUACAUAUGUAUAUUUUCAUUAUUUUUAAACUUUAAUUUGUACAUACAUACUUUCUCUUAUUUUUCAACACAUAUAUAUGUACUUACUUUCAUAUGUAUUUUAUUAUUUUUGUAUUCCAUAGUUUUAUACACCCAUAUAUAUGUACAUAUUUUUAUAUAUAUAUACAUAUUUAUCGUUUCUUUUAUAUAUUAAAAUACUUUAUACAUUUUGCUAAUUUAUAUAUAUAUACAUAUUUUAGUUUAUGCCUAUAUAUACAUAUCUUUUUAUAUUUAAUUGUAUUUGUUACUUAUUUAUUUCAUUCUCGUUAUUAUUUUGAAUGAAUGUUUUAAUUUAUUUGUUUAUGUAUAUUGUUAUUUUAUAUGAUUGUAGAUAUGAUUUUUAUUCAUUUUAUAUCGUUGCUAUUGCUCGUACUAUUUUUAUUUUUUAUGUGUAUUAUGAUUUUACCACGUAUGACAACAAUGUAAUUUGUUUUCACAUUUUUUUACUACGAUUUUCGUGUUAUAUUUUAUUCGGUACAACAAAAUUUGUUUUAAAAAAGUAUUUCAUGUUUAGAUUCGAAAGGAUCGUACUCUAACUUACUGAGUUUCGACUUUCAUAAUAAAUCUAAAUACACGAAUCUUUUCAAACUCAAGUUUUUAAACGAUCUUGGGAAUUAAGAAAAGAUCGUGCCCUAACUUACUGGGCCUGAUUUAUUUCUAAAACCAAGAUAAUAAAAUAUCUUUUAAAUAAGCAUUUUUCAUCCGCGUAUCGGGAAUUUGAGACAUUGUGUCCUAACUUACUGGAUAUGAUUCUCUUUCUCGAAUAAUGUGAAAUAUUCCCUUUUCCUGAAAAUUUUCAACGUUUUAAUACAAGGAUCGUGUUUUUAAAAUUCUUCAAGGUUCUCAAUUUUUGACAUUAAGACAUUAAGUAAUCAACUAGGUACCAAUUUUGGGCGUAUCGAGGGUGCUAAUCCUUCCUCGUGCGUAACCUACUCCCGAACCCAUUUUUGAAUUUCGUGGACCAAACUUGUUGUUUUAAUAAAAUCAAACCGUUUAUUAAAAACCCCUCUUCGAGGUGAUCCAAUCGCACCUCAUAAAAAAGGAGGAUUGGUGGCGACUCCCGUUUCUUUUUUUUAAACCCAAGUCAACCCCAUCUUUCAUCAAAAAAAUGGUGUCAACAUUUUGCACCUAUGAUCUUGCUGCAUUUGAACAUAUAGCCAUAUUAGUUGACAUUUGAAGCACUAAGAUUUCUCCUAUAUCGAACAUAUACUUUUAUCUGAAACGCACCCCUAAACCCAGUAACAUAACCCAAAAAAAGAAACAAAAUUUACUUGUUGCAAGUGAAAUUGUCUUGUGGUAGAAAUUGGCAACUGCCUUUCCAUUUGGAAGGAGGUGGACCAAGUCCUUUGUCAUCAAAGCUUAGAGAUUCAGGCCAAAUUCCAGUGUCUAAAAUUCCAAUGAUAACAUCACUUUCCAUGGUUGCUCUUUCAACUUGUUGAGGGAAUCCCAUAAAAUCCCAUGACCUUGUUGUAUGUAGUUUUCUCUUUUCAUUUGAAAACACUGAUACUACACCCUUCAUUCCUGAACAUAUCCAAACAACCAAAAUUCAAAUUAAGCUUGAAGAUCUGCAUCUUAAUCUACAUAGUAUUUCCGCUUUGACUUUUAAAGUAGACUUAUUAUUAUAACUCAAACUUGAAAUUUUAAUUUGUUUAGCUCGAAUAUGAACUUCAUCUAACUUGAUUUGAUAUAAAAAAUAAACAAUAUAAAAUCAGAGGGGCAUGCUAAGGUCUUGACCCUCACCUUGGUUGAAUGAGAACUCUUUAAUCCUUCUCAAAAAAUUGUAUUUUUUUGGCCUCUUCAAAAGAUUAAUAAUAUAAUUUAAGCUUUUAAUAUAAAAAUUUUAACGUUAGUCCCUUCAAAAUUUUAUAAUUUUAUUUUGGAUCUCUAAAAAAUUCAUGGCUUCACCCUUGGAAUUGGCUCAACUUAAACUAAAAAAUGAACCAAACUUAAGUGCCCAAAUUCAAAUGAAAAAACCCAAAAAGCUCCAUUGAAAAACCUGAAUGAUUCAAUUUUGAAAUUGACCUAAACUCAAAAUGAUUCAAACUCAAAAUAAUAUAAAAAUUUUAAAACCUAAAUUGACUCAAUCUAAAAUAAUCAAAUUUGGAAUCAAUUGAAUAUGUCCGGUUACAAGUCUACUUGAAAAUAUAGCACUUUCUUUUUUACUUGAAAUUCUUAUAAUUUUGUCUAAAGUUUAACAAUCUAACCCUUGGUUGAAUCAUUCAAAUCAUCUGUUAAGUCAAAUUGUUUCGCUCAAUUUAAAUGUUGAACUAAUAAUAAUUAAAUAAUUAAUUCAAAAUUCAUAAAUAUUAUAAAAUCCAAUUUUUUAUUUUGAUUUCUAGUUUUUUUUUUAAUUGAACCCAAGUGAUUCACUCAAAAAUCAAUUCAACUCUUAUUUUCAGAUUGAUACAUUGAUCGGUCUUGUUCAACCAAUUCGACUAUUAAUCUAAUUCGAUACAAAUAACACUGCUUUUAUGUCAUAAAAAUCAAUUGAUAAAUACAAACUAAAAUGUUUGUGUAUAUAUCAUAAUGGAUUUGAAGAAAUUUUAAAUGUGAGGUUGGAGUGCUACACUUACCGGCCAUUUUUUGUGCUUCUUCCUCAGUCAAAUCCACCACGAACCCAUUAAAACUCUUCUUGUAGCUGUACAGCACUGUCUUCGACUCACUGCAUCCAUUCCAAUUGCAUGCUCAAUCUCAAUAACCAGUAGUAGGUUUCAUUUUGUUUUGGGAAUAAUUUAAGAGACUUUAAAAUUUCAUAUUUACUACUAAAAAAAUUUAUUUGUCUCGCUAUCUGUUCCGUUAAAAAAACUGCUCCACUCGGAACAAUUUAAUUUAGAAUCCAUUGUAUGAUUUGAAUUUUAUCACUCUACUUUACUUUCAAGAUUCUCUUUUAAAGAAAUUAAAACGUUAGAGUAUGAGAAUAUAUAUUUUCUUAUAAUUAUAUUUUAAUAUAAGGAUAAGGUUAGAAAACUGUUUUAGAGAAGUUGGAGAUAAAUCAUAAAUUAUUGAUAAAAGGUAUAAUUUUAUCAUUAUAUUAAUAUAUAAUUUCAUAAAAAUUUAAGAAAUUAAAUAAUAAAUCUAUUAUUAGGAGGGGCUAAGGCUAUUAACUGCGCUUUUACCUUGGUCCCUGUUUAUAUAUAUAUACGAUAUAAAUAUCAGAUAGGGAUAUUUAAGAAAAAAUCAGANNNNNNNNNNNNNNNNNNNNNNNNNNNNNNNNNNNNNNNNNNNNNNNNNNNNNNNNNNNNNNNNNNNNNNNNNNNNNNNNNNNNNNNNNNNNNNNNNNNNNNNNNNNNNNNNNNNNNNNNNNNNNNNNNNNNNNNNNNNNNNNNNNNNNNNNNNNNNNNNNNNNNNNNNNNNNNNNNNNNNNNNNNNNNNNNNNNNNNNNNNNNNNNNNNNNNNNNNNNNNNNNNNNNNNNNNNNNNNNNNNNNNNNNNNNNNNNNNNNNNNNNNNNNNNNNNNNNNNNNNNNNNNNNNNNNNNNNNNNNNNNNNNNNNNNNNNNNNNNNNNNNNNNNNNNNNNNNNNNNNNNNNNNNNNNNNNNNNNNNNNNNNNNNNNNNNNNNNNNNNNNNNNNNNNNNNNNNNNNNNNNNNNNNNNNNNNNNNNNNNNNNNNNNNNNNNNNNNNNNNNNNNNNNNNNNNNNNNNNNNNNNNNNNNNNNNNNNNNNNNNNNNNNNNNNNNNNNNNNNACCUGAUGUGAUCUUCUCUACUGUAACUUCAGAGAGAUAAGAUCCUUUAAUCCGCUCCAUUGUAACUUCAGGGAGAUAGGAUUAUAUCUUCGAUCUGCUCCGCUGUAACCUCAGGGAGACAAGAUCUGCAAUUCUUCGGUCUGUUCCACUGUAAUCCAGGGAUAAGACCUGAUGUGAUCUUCUCUACUGUAACUUCAGAGAGAUAAGAUCCUUUAAUCCGCUCCAUUGUAAUCUCAAGGAGAUAGGAUUACUAUCUUUGAUCUGCUCCGCUGUAAUCUCAGGGAGAUAAGAUCUGAUGUGAUCUUCUCUACUGUAACUUCAGAGAUAAGAUCCUUUAAUCCGCUCCAUUGUAAUCUCAAGGAGAUAGGAUUACUAUCUUUGAUCUGCUCCGCUGUAAUCUCAGGGAGAUAAGAUCUGAAAUUCUUUGGUCUGUUCCACUGUAAUCUCAGGGAGAUAAGACCUGUAUUAUGAAUCUAAUUAUGCUUAAUGAUUAGGAUGACAUGAUCAAAAUUGAAACAAAUGCUCCUAACUAGAUAUGUAUGAAUGACAUUUGAGUGAAUGCAAAAUGUCAUGAAGAUGAUUCCUUAAUGCUUAGGUUACAUCACGUAAAAACUUAUUAAGGUUUUUAUCACUGACGUACUACAACACCUUUUUGCUCGUCUGGUAUAUCCAAAGAAACACUUAAUCUGGUUGCCCCCCACUGUAAACCUUAAAGUUUAAUCUAUUAGGGCACAAAAUUUGUACCAUCAUUCUCCCACUAUAAUCCAAGGGUAGAAAGAUAUGGCUUUUUCAAUCUUCUCCUAUCGCAAUUCAAGGAUACAGAAUGUGAAGCUCUUUGGUCCUUUACCUCAUUCCCAAGGUGUCAUACCAAAUGCUCAUGCACAAUUGCAAAAUUUUCCUCUCUGAGAAAAACCUUUUCUUAUCAUUUGGUGAUCAUUGCUUGUUUGUUCAUUGAAGCUUUGUCACCAACACGACAUCUCGUCAUUUUGUUCAAUCAAUGUUUGGACAACAAAAUCCAAAAAUAUAGUCUUUAACUUAGACUCUUCCUUCUUAGAUACUUCACCCUUUAAACUUGGUGUUUUCUAAACAAUAGUCCUGUUUCAGGUUUCUAUAUUAUUUAGAACUUUUCAGAGUAAUAUGCAAAACUUCUUUCCUGAAAGUUUUAUUAGUUCGUUAAUCAAUAUUCCUAUGCAACAUGUUUGCGAAAAGAUCUUAAUAAUGGGUAAGAAUAAAGCUAGGUUCUGAUCAUAACUCAAAUAAAACAUCAAAGAUGGCGAAAGAAAGGUAACAAAGAAGUGGAUUGAGAAUGCGCGUUUUCAUAAAAGGCAAGGAAGAAAGAAAGAAAAUGUAUUUUCAAGAAUACACAUAUGAACUAGGUGCCCCAGUUAUCGCCGCUUGAGUUUCUCUGUACAAAUUUUCCGAAGACCCUUCUGAGUUUGACAUGUGUUCAGGAAAUCUGCAAUACUCUGUCAAUGUUCCGAGACGUUGCAUAUCCUUCCUUAUUGGUAAAGCAAGAUCAUCAUAUGCCCCUGAUCAAAAUUUGAUCCGCUCAAGUCCUGAUGUUCCAAUCCUGCCCAAUACUCGAGUCGCCCUUUUCGGGUUUUCGACUCAAGCCCUCUUUGGUCUCAAAGUGCCCUUUACGGGUUUUCACCUUAGCCUCUCCAAAGUUUUUUUUUUUUUUUUUUUUUUUUUUUUUUUAAGGAAGCAAAGCGCCCUUUACGGGUUUUCACUUGGUUCCCCUUUCUUUCAAGUGAAGUAUUUCUUAACAGAGUCUGCGUUUACAGGAUUUGGUAAACUUUUGCCAUCCAUCUCGCAUAGGAUCAAAGCUCCACCGGAAAAGGCCUUCUUUACAACAUAAGGGCCUUCCCAAUUUGGCAUCCAUUUCCUCUAAAAUCUUUUUGCAUAGGAAGAAUCUUUUUUAGUACCAAGUCCCCUUCACGAAAUUCUCGGGGGCGAACCUUUUUAUUAUAAGCUCGCAUCAUUCGUUUCUGGUACAUUUGCCCAUGGUGAAUAGCUCUUAGCCUCUUUUCUUCUAUUAGGUUCAACUGAUCGUACCGAGAUUGGAUCCAAUCGGCUUCAUCCAACUGUAGCUCAGAUAACACCCGUAGAGAAGGGAUUUCAACUUCAAUGGGUAAUACUUGCCUCCAUUCCAUAAACCAGAGCAAAAGGCGUUGCCCCAGUAGAAGUUCUAACAGAUGUUCGAUAGGCGAGGAGAGCAAAUGAUAGUUUCUCAUGCCAAUCUUUGUAGGUUUCAGUCAUUUUCCCCACAAUCCUUUUAAUGUUUUUAUUGGCCGCCUCCACUGCACCAUUCAUUUUGGGACGAUACGGCGAUGAGUUAUGAUGCUUAAUUUUAAAUUUGCUACAAACUUCAGCUAUUGUGCUAUUAUUCAAGUUCAUCGCAUUGUCGGAUAUGAUCCUCUCAGGCAUUCCAUAUCGACAAAUGAUCUCCUUCUUCAAGAAUUUGCUGACUACUGCUUUUGUGACAUUUGCAUAUGAAGCAGCCUCCACCCACUUGGUAAAGUAAUCAAUUACUACGAAGAUGAAGCGAUGCCCAUUAGAAGCCUUUGGUGAUAUUGGCCCAAUAACAUCCAUACCCCACAUGGAAAACGGCCAAGGAGAGGUCAUGACGUGAAGAGGUGAAGGAGGUGCGUGUAUUUUGUCUCCGUAAAUUUGGCAUUUGUGGCACUUCCUGGCAUGAUCAAUGCAAUCUCCUUCCAUGGUGGGCCAAUAGUACCCAAAUCUCAUGAUCUGUUUGGCCAUCGUGAAACCACUGGCGUGCGUCCCACAAAUACCCUCAUGGACUUCUUCCAAAAUUUUCUUGGCUUCUACCGCAUCUACACAUCUUAACAGUACUUGAUCCUUCCUUCUUUUAUAUAACACUUCUCCAUCUAAGACAUAUUCAAUGGCUAUCUUUCUCAGAGUUCUUUUGUCAUUCUCUGUCGCUUGAUCAGGGUAUUCCCGAUUCUUCACAUAUUGUAAGAUACUCCGAUACCAAGGACAAUUAUCUUUUCCCUCCUCCUCAAUAUUGCAACAAUUAGCCGGGGUCUUAGAGAUACUCAUCUGAACAGGCCUCAUUGCCUCAAGUCUAUUCACCUGAAUCAUCGAAGCUAGAGUAGCUAAUGCAUCAGCCAUUUGGUUUUCCUCCCGUGGGAGGUAAUAGAAGGUGAUAUCGUCAAACUCCUCAGCCAAUUCAAGAACUAGUUUUCUAUAACCAAUUAGCUUAGGAUCUCUAGUCUCCCACUCCCCUUUGAGUUGGUAUAUCACCAACGCCGAAUCCCCGUAUACUCUCAGUACUUUGAUGUUCCGUUCAAUGGCUGCACGAAUGCCCAUAAUACAUGCUUCAUAUUCUGCCAUGUUAUUUGUACAAUCGAAGUCCAACUUGCUGGCUACAGGAUAAUGAUCUCCACUCGGGGAUACCAAAACUGCCCCAACUCCAUUACCCGUAGCAUUCGAAGCUCCAUCAAAAUUUAACUUCCAUACGUGAUCCAUUUGAGGAUUUUCUUCAGUAUUCGCCACAUACAUCAAGUCCUCGUUUGGAAAAUCGAAAUUCAAAGAUUCAUAGUCCUCCAAGGCUCUACUAGCUAGGAAAUCGGCUAUUGCACUUCCCUUUAUGGCCUUCUGACUGACAUAUACUAUAUCAAAUUCUGAGAGCAAGAUCUGCCAUCUAGCCAUUCUCCCGUUCAAAGCGGUCGAUUCCAUCAUAUAUUUUAAAGGAUCUAACUUUGAAAUCAGCCAAGUCGUGUGAUACAACAUAUACUGCCUCAUUCUUCGGGUUGCCCAGAUUAGAGCACAACACAACUUCUCAAUUGAUGAGUACCUCAUUUCGCAAUCGGUAAAUUUCUUACUGAGAUAGUAUAUUGCCCUUUCUUUCUUUCCCGUCUCAUCAUGUUGGCCCAAUACGCAUCCCAUGGAAUUCUCCAACACUGUUAGAUACAAUAUCAAUGGCCUAUCUGGACUUGGAGGUGAUAAGACUGGAGUAUUAGCCAAGUACUGCUUUAUCUUAUCGAAAGCCCUCUGACACUCUUCAUCCCAAUUGCCCGGAUUAUGUUUCUUUAAGAGCCGGAAUACUGGAUCACAUUUCUCUGUCAGUUGUGAGAUGAACCGAGCAAUGUAAUUCAGCCUCCCUAGGAAACCUCGAACCUCCUUCUGAGUGCGCGGGGGAGGUAAAUCUCGUAUUGCCUUUACUUUGUCUGGGUCAACCUCGAUCCCCUUUUUGCUAACUAUGAAGCCUAAUAACUUCCCUGAUCUGGCUCCGAACGUGCAUUUGGCCGGGUUAAGCUUGAGCUGAAAUUUCUUUAAUCUCAAAAAUAACCUUUUCAAAACCUGAACAUGCUCUUCUUCCGUUCUAGACUUCGCGAUCAUAUCGUCAACAUAGACUUCGAUCUCCUUGUGCAUCAUGUCGUGAAACAAAGUCACCAUAGCUCUUUGAUACGUUGCUCCCGCAUUCUUCAAUCCGAAGGGCAUUACCUUGUAACAGAAUGUUCCCCAUAAGGUAAUGAAUGUGGUUUUCCUCAUGUCUCCGGGAUGCAUCUUUAUUUGAUUGUAUCCAGAGAAACCGUCCAUGAAAGAAAACAAUGAAUAGCCCGCCGUGUUAUCUACCAAAGUAUCAAUGUGAGGUAGUGGAAAGUUGUCCUUUGGACUAGCCUUGUUUAAAUCCCUAUAAUCCACACACAUUCGUACCUUUCCAUCUUUUUUGGGAACAGGGACGAUGUUGGCUACCCAAUCCGAAUACUUGACCUCUUGUAGGAAACCAGCGUCGAAUUGUCUUUUGACUUCUUCUCUUAUUUUCAACACAAUGUCAGGUCUCAUUCUCCUAAGCUUCUGUUGAACGGGUUUACAAUCCUCCUUUAUGGGCAGACGAUGUACCACAAUGCUAGUAUUUAGCCCAGGCAUAUCUUGGUACGACCACGCGAAAACAUCCUUGAACUCUCGGAGCAAAUUGAUGAGGUCUUGCCUUGUCUUUGCGGUAAUUUCAGUUCCAAUUUUCACCUCCUUUCCAUCCUCUAGGCUCACUAUUUCUAACGAUUCCCUAUGAGGUAGGAUAUGCUUAUCCUCUUGUUCCAUCAUUCUUAACAAGUCCGGAGAUGCAUCAUAAUCUUCGUCAUUUUCAAAGUCGUGGGAUCCCUCUGAACACACUUCUUGCUCAAAAAUAGGCUCUGCGUUUGAGACAGCAUCACUCAUGUCAUUGAUAUCUGAAGACCUAUGUGGGCAGAUCAAAUAAUAUACCAAGAAUAUAAAUUUAUGAAUAUGUUUGCAAAAGAAUCACAAAUGAAAGAAUUAUUUGUAAGACAAUCAACCAAAUGAAAAAUAUGAAAGGAAAAAGUGACUGAUCGAGAUGAACGUAGACACGUAUUUUAUUAAAAUAAUGAUAUUUAGGCCCAAUGCCUAUUUCACAAAAAAUUUCGUAUCGUUUCUAGGCCAACAAACAACAGGAAUGUUUUGAGCAUUACUCUGAAUAAGCCCUAAAGACUACAGGGAUUUCUUCAGCAGUCCAAUUGUUUAGCUCGCUUCCAGGCUCAUAAGGGUGGAUCUCCAACAAAGCCCUCCUUUCCGUUGCUUCUAUGGUGUUAAUAUAAACGUUUUCCAACAUUCCUCCCAUGCCGCUACCGGACACCCCACAUUCAGAAUGCAUAAAUCCUCCCGACACAAAAGAUGAAGAUAUGUGGGGAAAGGUUAAAGGCUCACACUUAGCUUCAUGUCCAUUCAAACGCGCCCUUCUUCUCGCUUGUCUCUUCUCUACUUCUUUCUUCUUCUGCUUCAUGUCUGGCUUGUACCCUAAACCAAAUCUAUCAAACUUUUCCCUCGGCAUUGGUGCCUCAAUCCUCCCCUGAAGAUAUUUUCCCAAUCCUUUCCCGGGUAAGGCUCCUCUUCCUACCAUCAAUCGCAAUCCCAUCUCAGUGGUCCUGGACAUUUUCGGUACUGGAAUCCUAUUUCCCUCCGCAAUAAACAUCGCGUUCACAAAUUCUAACGACCGAAAAGAACAUUCCAGUGCCUCAUCGUUGAUGUCCACAUAAGGUGCCUCGCUAGUCAUCAUUGCGAUAAUAUCCUCCUCUGCAUCUAUUGUUACCAACCGAUCCUCCGAUACCAACUUCACCUUCUGAUGUAAUGAUGAAGGUACCGCCCCUGCUGAGUGUAUCCACGGUCUCCCCAAUAGACAGUUGUAGGAGGGUUUAAUAUCCAUUACCAAGAAAUCCACCUCAUAAGUGACUGGGCCAAUCCUUAAUGGUACUUCAAUUCUCCCCAUAACCUCCUUUUUUGUUCCAUCAAAUGCCCUUACUAUGCUCUGGCAUGCUUUCAUGUGCGAACUGUCUAUUGGUAAUCGACUAAGAGUGGACAAAGGCAAUACAUUUAGUGCCGAUCCAUUAUCGACCAAGGCCCCCGGGAGUGUGUACCCUUUGCAUCGGACAGUAACGUGGAGGGCUUUAGUAGAACCUCUUCCUCCGGAUGGUAUUUCAUCAUCAUUGAAGAAGAUAAAAUUGUCAGCACCAAUAUUGUUGAUCAACCGAUCCAACUUGUUUACUGAAAUAUCGUCAGCCACAUAUGUUUCGUUUAGCACCUUUAAGAGUGCAUUCCGAUGUACUUCGGAGUUUAAGAGUAAAGCUAAUACCGAAAUGCGGGCUGGCUGUUUGUGCAGUUGCUCCACAACACUGUAUUCGCUGUGUUUCAAAAACUUCAAAAACUCCUUCGCCUCUUCUUCUUUUAUUGGUUCAUUUACCAAUGGUUCAACUUCUACUGCCUUCCCUUUCCUCUGUUCUUUCUUCCAAUUCUCUUCCCUGGACGACUCUGCUUGAGCGUCAUAUCUUUUUCCCUUGCGCGUGUAAAAAACUGUUUCCUGAUUUCUUUCUGCUUCUUUUCCCAAAAUGGUCACAUUACACCCGUAAUUCCACGGCACCAUUUUGUUAUCUUUAUAAGAGAAAUUUGAUGGUUUCUGGAUUACAAUUUUCGGCGUUACCUGAGCCCUAACCUCAUUACCCUUAGGGCGGGAGAUAAUGACCACGGGAUGAUUUAUUUUUGGAGCCUUUGUUCCCAACUCUGUCGCGCAUAUGCUCCUCAUUUCUUUCACAUCUUCAUAAAAUCUCAUCUCCUUGUUAUCCAUCAUGCUUUGAACCAAGGCCUUGAAUCCUUCACAUUCUUGGAUUUCAUGCCCUGUUUCAUGGUGAAAUUCACAAUAAUUUCCCAUCUCAUGCCCUUUCUCAGAAUCUGAAAUAAUCAAACCUCUUUUCGCCAUUUCUUUCCAGACCCAUUUCAAUGGAGUUUUUACUUCAGCAAUGUCAGUCUUGACUUCUUCUCCCGUACCUUCGCUAACCAUAUUCACCCCCUUAUCUGCGUGAUUAGGUAACGGAUUCUUUGCGUGAGGUGAGUCGUCAAGUUUGACAACACCUAAAUUGAUAAGUCCUUCUACUACCUUCUUGAAGGCAGUACAAUUUUCUAUCGAGUGCCCAGAAAUUCCCGCAUGAUAAUCACAUUGCGCGUUCGUAUCAUACCAUUUUGGAUACGGGGGUUGUAGAGGACUCAAGUAACGAGGAGCAACAACAUGUGCAUCGAAUAAAGUCUGAUACAACUCCUUGUAUGACAUCGGGAUUGGCGUGAAUUGGGGCUUUUCAGUAGUUUGCCUAGCUCCUGACUCUUGUCUUGAUGAUCCCUGUUGAUUAGCAACCACUUUCUUUGGUUGAUUCACGGUAAUCGACCUACCAUAAGCAUUCACAUUAUUCACUUCAUUUUCUCUUUUCCUCGGGGGUACCCUCCUAUUAUUUUCUCCUCCAUCUAUUUUUCCACUUUUAAUGGCAUGCUCAAUCAUUUCACCAUUCAUGAUUAUAUCUGAGAAAUUUCUUGAAGCGCUUCCCAACAUGUGAGUGAUGAACGGGGCUUUCAAAGUAUUAAUAAAAAGCGUCGUCAUCUCUUUUUCCAAAAGCGGUGGUUGCACCUAAACCGCCACCUCUCGCCACCUCUGCGCAUAUUGUCUGAAGCUUUCGUUUGAUUUCUUCUCUAAAUUUUGCAGAGUUAUCCUGUCAGGCAUCAUUUCUGAGACAUGAUUGUAUUGUCUCAAGAAAGCCUGUGCUAAAUCCCUCCAAGUAGCAAUUUUAGCUCGGCUCAGCUGAUUGUACCACUUUGACGCCGCUCCCGUAAGACUUUCCUGAAAGCAAUGUAUUAAUAAUUGAUCAUUAUUAAUAUGCCCCGUCAUUCUUCUACAAAACAUAGUAAUAUGGGAUCCUGGGCAACUAGUCCCGUUGUAUUUCUCGAAUUCCGGCAUCUUAAAUUUGUAAGGGAGCACCAAGUCCGGAACCAAGCUCAGAUCCUUUGCAUCUGUUCCAUAGCUUUCGAUGCUUUCUAUUGCCCUAAACUUCUCUUCUAUCCAUUUCCAUUUCUCCUCAAAUUGUUUUGGAAAUUCCUCCUUUGCCUUGUCCUUUUCAACCAUCUCGUCAAGAUCUGGGACCGCAAUAUUAUUCGGGCUAUCACCGGGAUUAAAGCCCGCUCCGGGUUGAAAAUUCAUUGGGAUUGAAGCAUCGCCUUGGAACUGCUGGGGUCUAACUGACACAGAGGGUCUCCGCGAAUGCAGCUCAGUCUGUACAUGUGGAGGCGUGAAACCUGGAGGAUAGAGUGGUUCACCGUUGUUUUCUUCUUCACUAACAAUCACAGGCCCUUUACCCUUAUCUACUCCCUUCAAUAAUUGCGUCAUCUUAGCCACCAGAUCAUUUUGGGACUCCUCCAUCUUUUGUACCAUGUCACGCUGAAUCUUUUCUAUUUGCUCUUUCAUUUGCGCCUGCAACUGGUCUUGCAUUUCUUUUUGAAGUCGCUCUAGCUUCUCCAACCUUUGGUCCAUAAUUUUUGUCUUUGCUCGGGUGCCGUAACUUUGUUGGUUUUCCAGGUUAACUGAAAUGAUUUUAUUCGAUUAGGUUUUUUUAAUGGUCAUUAAUGCAUAUGAUGUGAUGCAAUGCAUGAAAGAGAAUGCAAAGAAAAAGAGGCACUGAUUUUAAUUCAACUUCAUUAGAAAACUUUACUAGAUAAAGAGUUUCUUUACAUAAAAUAGACUACAUAUAUGGCUUUGCCCUCACACUCAAAGCCUUAACCUUUCUAAGAAGCCAGGCUAAUUCUCGGCCCCUGUCCGACUCUGACUCAUACUUCAAACUUAAUAGAUCAGCCUGAACCGCUAGAGUUUGCAGAUGAUCAGCCACUUCGCGCACCUGAGUCACCGCCUCUCCCAUAAUAUAAUCUCUUUCUCCAAUCUGCUCUUGAGACCGGCGGAAUUGUCCUUGCCACUGCUCAUUACUUUCUUCUAGAAGCUCUAUCCGGAUUUCACUAUUUUGCAAUGCAUUCUCUAGCCCUCCUAUCUGUGUUUUUAAUUCUUCAAUUUUGUCUAAGCUCGCCCUUAAUUCAACCGUAGUAUUACGAUUACAGUACUGGCGAAGCGAUCUUUCCAGUUCUGUUAUCCGGACCUUCAACUCCGUCUUCUCGUCUUGGCAAACUAGUAGACUCUUUCCCAAGGCGGCUUCUCGAGCCCGAGCAUCCUGAAAUUUCUUUUCCCAUUGAUUAGCUUUCGUCUUUUCCUCCUGAAUUUCUUGUCGCCAUUGUUCUGGUGUUUUACCCAAGCCAGCGGCUCUUACCGACUUACGCAACUUCUUGUAAUCUGUCUUCAGGCUGUCCAAAUCUUCUUCUGCCUUGUUCUUUCCUUUCCUCAAUUUGUUGGCCUCUAAUCUUUGAAUGUCCACAUCCAGUCCUAACUGCAUUUUUUCUUCCUCAAGUUGUUCUAUCUUCUUCCCCAAUUCUAAACUUCUUUUUUCGAAUUCUUGUUUGAUGAUUUCUAUCUCAGAAGGCAAGACUUGUAAGUGUUCCUCUAAAGAUCGAGCCGUUUCUGAAUUUGACGCCGGGAUGUUGUCGUUGAUCCUUUGAUUACGCCACUGACCAUACUCGGGGGUAAUUGUCGGACCCACAGCUAAGAUCUUCAUUCGACGAGUCUGGUUCCAGGCCCUAGAUAUUUCUCGAACCUUCUUCUUGUAAUUGUCCUCCCUAUAGGAAAAAUCACUAUAAGCCAACCCCUGGGUUGCUGGUAUGAAUUGUCGUGAUCUAUACUGUCUUGACACGAGUAGAGGAGCAUAUCCAAUAGCCCCCCAUAUCCCGAGCAGCGGAACCCAGUCAAAAUCUCCACAUCGGUACAAUAUCUCAUCAGGAAUUAACCAAGGAGCCCUCCAUUCAAUAUCUUCAUCUUGGAGAUUCUGGAGUAUCUCUAUCCAUUUUUCUUCUGAAAUAUCAUCCCGUCUUGGCGUGGCCACCAAUUCUCCUAGAGGGGAGUAGCUAUCAGAGAAUACCCGGUAAGAGACCUUUUCGACUUUCCAGAAGUGGCUAUGGAACCAUGCCAAUAAGAGCUGCGCGCAUCCAAUAAACCUUCCCUCCCCUGCUUUUCGACACGCAUUCAAAGAUCUAAAAGUUUCAGCGAGUAUUGCCGGAACCGGUGUAACCCCUUUACCAAGCCGAUCGAACAAAUCAGAUACAGCCUCGUCUAUGUGUCCUAAAGCUUUGGGGAAAACCACUAGUCCAUAUAUACCUAAAGCGAAGACAUCGACCCUUUUCUUUAAGUCAGGAUGUACAAGCACCAAAUCUCGUAAACUUUUCCAAGGAACACAUUUACUGUCGCCCUUCUGUUGGAUCCGGGCAGCGACCCACUGCUCGCUCAUCCCAGUGAUGUUCAUUAAUUUCUUUAACAACGGAGGGACACAAGCAGCUCUGGAAUAAGCCUUGUCGACUUGAAUCUUUGGGCACCGAAGUAAGGUCGUAUACUCCUCUACAGUAGGCGUCAAAUCUACCUUCCCAAAAGUGAAACAACUGUAGGCAGGAUUCCAAAACUGAGCAAGGGCUCGGAAUAAAUACUUGUCCACUUUGACACUAAGCAGAUAAGGUAGGUCACCAUAGUUACAAUAGAACAGCUCCUUGGCCUCGACAUCCCAUUGAUCCCAGACUUCUUUCAUUUCUCGAAGGUCAUUCUGGAUUACACUGAUACGGGUAAAAUCCCACAAUUCUGACACGUACCCUUCGGUAAGACUAUCGCCUUUCUCCCGUUGCGUAGUUUCAGCCCAUAUUCGCACAGCCGCAUUAUCCUCUACUUUAUCAACAAACCCCUUUUCCAUGAUAAGCUUUCUACCAAGAAACUGAACGUAAAUCAACACCUCUUUUAGAAUGAAGAUGCCAUGCAAUCACAAACAAAGUAAAUUAGCAUUAAACACAGAAUAAGAUUUAAAAUAAACGAUAAAUAAAUACAACAUUCAUUUAGGUAAGCACUAAAAAUUUAGAGUAACUCUACCUAGGUCGGUUCCUAUGGCUCAUUACAUGUGGUUUGGUUCUAAAGUAGGGUACCUGAACCAGCAAAUUCCUCGAUCCUCACCCAUUAUAGGCUCAUACGGACCAAGUUCGAUUCAGGGGGAUACAUUUCCCUAUGGCCAUGCGGAGAUGAAAAUCUCACGAAGACAUAGGUACGGAUAUAUCCCGAAAGCGAUUCACUAUCCCAUGCGGAGGUGAAAACCUCACGAAGGCGUAGCUUCUCACUCCCACUUAAAGGUGUGACCAACGGUCAUGCAAUGCAAUGCGGAAAGAUACCAAAAUUUAAACAAUCAGAGCAAUUAUAAACCCCCAAUGAUGAUGAUUAUGAUAAAGACAGAUAAAAUGCGAUGAAAGGAUCGUAAUUUUAAAUCAAAUUUUCAAUUUUUGACAAAAGACGAAAAGUAAUCACUACGUGGCUUGACCCUCUUAUCGGUUCCCCAGCGGAGUCGCCAAGCUGUUGACGCCCUUUUUUUUGAUGAAAACGGGGUUGAUUUGGAUUUUGAAAAUGAAAACGGGAGUCGCCACCAAUCUUUUAUUAAGGUGUGAUUGGAUCACCUCGAAAAGCGGUCGUUUUUAAUAAACAGUUUGAUUUUAUUAAAACAACAAGUUUGGUCCACGAAAUUCAGAAAACGGGUUCGGGAGUCGGUUACGCACGAGGAAGGAUUAGCACCCUCGAUACGCCCAAAAUUGGUACCUUAGUUGAUUACUUAAUGUCUUAAUGUCGAAAAUUGAAAACUUAGAAGAAUUAAAAAAAAAUACGAUCCUUGUAUUAAAACGUUGAAAAUUUUCAGGAAAAUGGGUAUAUUUCACAUUAUUCGAGAAAGAGAAUCAUAUUCAGUAAGUUAGAAUACAAUGUCUCAGAUUCCCAAUACGUGAAUGAAUGCCAGAAUUUUACUUAUUUAAAAGAUAUUUUAUUAUCUCGGGUUUAGGAAAGGGAUCAUGCCCAGUAAGUUAGGACACGAUCUUUUCUUAAUUCCCGAGAUCGUUUCAAAACUUGAGUUUGAAAAGAUUAGUGUGUUUAGAUUUAUUGUGGAAAUCGAAACCCAGUAAGUUAGGGUACGAUCCUCUCGAAUCUAAACAAAAAUAUCAUUUUUUUUAAAACAAAUUUAAUUAUCGAGUAAAAUAAAAACAUGAAGUCGUAGUAAAAAAUGUGAAAGCAAGUUACAUUGUUAUACAUGACAAAAUCAUAAUGAAUACAAAAGUGUAAAAAUGAUACGAGCGAUAGCAACAAUAUAAAAUAAAUAAAAGUCAAACCUACAAUCAUAUAAAAUAACAAUAUAUAUAAACAAAUAAAUUAAACAUUCGUUCAAAAUAAUAAUGAAAAUGAAAUAAAUAAAUAAUGAAUACAAUCAAAAUUCAAAGGGAUAUAUAUAUUUAUGUGUAUAGACAAAAGAAAAUAUAAUAUGUGUGUAUUCAUAAAUUACAAUGUAUACAUAUAAAGUAUACUUUAAAAUAUAAAAAAUAUGCAUAUAGAUAAAAAUAUGUACACAUAUAUAUAGGUGUAUAAAAUUAUGGAAUAUGAAAAUAAUGAAAUGCAUAUAUAAAGUAGGCGCAUGAAAAUAUGUAUGUACAAAUUAGAAUUUAAAAAUAAUGAAAAUAUACCGACGUAUACAAAUAAGUACGUUAAUUUAUAUAUAUAUGUUUAAAAUAUAUUGAAAAUAUGUAUGUAUAUGUCUAUGCAAAUUAAGAUAUACAAAAACAUAUAAAUACAUACAUAAAUAUAUAUAUACUUAUAAAAAUAAAAAUAUGUAUAUGUGUAUAGAUAUAUAUAAAAAGAAAUAUGAGUAUACGUAUAUAUAUUAAACAAAUUAUAUGUAAAAUAUGUACAUGUACAUAUACAAGCACUUAUAUGAUAAUAAUAAGAUAUAUAUAUUUGAAAAUACAUAAGUAUAUAUGAAUAGAGAUGUAAAAGUAACAACAAUAAUACCAAUACUAAUAAUAGUAAAGAUGAUAAUAAUAAUAAUAAUAAUAAUAAUAAUAAUAAUAAUGAAGUUAACAAAAAUUGACUAAAUAAUAAAAUAUGCUAAAAAGGGGCCUUAAAUCGAAAUGAAAUAAAACAUAUAGGGCCAAUUCGAAAUAAAGGAAAACGAAAGGGAUCCAAUUGCGACGCGCGUAAAAAAGGGGAGGACCAAAACAGAAAAUAAACCCAAAAUCCCAAAACGCAGCACCUCAAUGGACUAAAAUAAAACAAAAAUAAAAUGUUAGGGCUAAAUCAAAAAAAAAUAAAACAACAAAAUAGGACCAAAUUGAAACACGCCGCGAAUCAGAGGGACUGCGCGCAUAAAUAGCCCAAAAAUUAAAAACACGCGGAUCCUACGGGUCGGGUCGGGUCGACGCGCGGAUCCCCCUUUGCUAAAACGGCGCCGUUUUGUGUUUAGUAUAAAUAAUAAGAAAAACCAAAAAAAUCAAAUCAGUUUCAUUUUUUUUAAAAAAAACAGAGAGAGAGAGCUCUCUCCUCUCUCAUCUUCCUCCCCAGAAUCCGGCCGCCGGCCCACCGCGCCACCGUCGCGCCGGCCACCGUACACGGUGGCCGGAAAUUCAAAAAAGGUAUUUUUUUUUAUUUUUUUUUUUUUAAAUAAAUUGCUUUUUAAUAUAUAUGUAUAUAUGUGUGAAAUAUUAAAAAUAAAUAAAUAUAGAGAAUAAAAAAAAUCACCUUUUCGAUUUUUUGUUUAUAUUUCCGGGUAAAAAUUACAAAAUAGAUGAAAAGAAAAAACCCCCCCUUCUUUAUGAUGUUCGAAUGGCUUUAUAUAGCCAUUUUACAAAAAAUUUUUUAUUGUUUGUUGCUGCUUGCGUGUUUGUUUCUCUUUGCAGGUGCAAGUGGCAUGGGAGCGGCAGAGCAGGUGGAGCAGGUGAGCAGCGAUGGGACGUGCGGCGGCCAGCAAGUGAACGGCGGAGUUGGUGGGUCUGCUGGUAUGGGUUCUUUUGUUUCUUUCUUGGGCCCGGGCAAAUGGGCCUGCAACACUUAGCUUUGAUCAAAUUCAAAUUUCUGUUAAAAUUAAAAUUUCCACUGUGAAAUUUAAAUUAGAAUUGAUUGAAAAUCUUGAACUUAAACAAGAAAUUAUACAAUUAAACAAAGCAAAAAAAAGGGUUAAAUUCUUAUUCUCUUUGUUUUUAUUUUUUAAAUAAUUAGUGGAAGCUAAAAAAAUCCAAUAAAACUUAAAAUUCAACCGAAAUUCCAACUUUGGCACGAUUAACAUUUUCGAAGCGAAAAAAGAAGCUCAGAUCUCGAUCCAAAGUAUAAUUCGAUUCGAAAUUUAAUCACGUAAAGCCCAAUUUUACUCACAAUUUGGCGUAAUUCAACGGGAAAUUUAAAAAACUCCAAAUAGUAAACCAUAAAAAGGACGAUACCUUAUAAUUCAAGUAAAAAGGUUCAAGAACUUACCUUUUGAAUUGAAAGGAUCUUCAGUUCUUAAAUCCCAAUAUAUAUACACACACAUAUACACAAAGAAAACAAUUAAAAAUGCAAUACUUUUAAUGAAAAUUCAGCUGAAACAAAGAUCAGAUUUUUAUUUUUUUAUUUUUUGGUUGAGUUGUUGUAAUUUGAAACGAAGAAUUUUUUUUACAAAAACCCUUCAAAGCUUAAGAAAUUAAAAAAAAAAAAGCGACAUUACAAAAUAAAAGGCUUAAACCCAUAGUUAUUGACCAAAAAACCGGUUGAGCCGGUGGAUUAGAGAUUGGUUCACUGGCAGUUGAAGGUAAUUAAACCCAUAGUUUCCAGCUGUCAGAAAACUAGAAAGGAGGAAUUACCACGUGGCAGUCGAUUACAUAUCGGAUAAGAUAAAAAGGAUAAAUUUUUCCAUAAGUCACUGUACUUUUGUAAAUUUAGAUUUAACCCCUAUACUUUUAUUUCUAGGAAAUUAAACUCUCUACUUUUUCAGAUUUCAAAAUUCAGCUGUCUACUUUUCAAGUUUCUGCUAAUUUAGUGCAGAAUUCUGACGCUAGCCUGGUGUCUAUGGUUUCAUAGAAACCUGUUCGUUUGGAAGCAAACAGAUGCGCCAGCAGCUGUGAUUGUCAACCAGGCUGACAGGUUUUUGAAGAAGUGGCAAGAUGCUCCGACUGUUUUAUCCAGGGGGCAGUGCGUUCCGUCGGGAAGGAGCAGCAGUCGAGUCACUUGGGAGAAGCCGGCUGAUGGUUGGGUAAAGUGCAACGUUGGCACCGCCAUCUCUUCUACAUCGGGCGGUUGUUUUGCAGCUAUUGUUCGAGAUCAUACUGGGUCUUUUAUCCGAGGUUGUUUAGGAACGGCCCCUACUGUUUGGGAGGUACAAAUGGCUGAAUUGGUGACCAUACGAGAGACUCUCUCUUGGUUGAGAACACUAAAUUUUAGAAAGGUAAUUUUCGAAUCGGAUUGUGGGGAUGUUAUAGAGCGUAUAACUCUUCACGGCAUGACUUAUCUGAAUUUAGGCUUGUUCUUCAAGACUGUUUGACUCCUUUCGGUGGACUAAACGAAUGGUUAAGACGGCUCACGAGCUCGUAAGAGUGACCUUAUCUCGAUGUCUCUCCCACGUUUUUUUUGCCUAUUUUUGAUACUGAUAUUUCUUCUUUACAGACUGAUAAUAUUCAGAGAGAUAAACCUAUUGCUUUAGAUUUUUGGUUUUGUGCUAUUGAUAUUUUUCAGAAAUCAACCUGAGUUAACAGUUAAUUAAACACCGAUCAAUAUGUAAGCCUAUGUUACAUUUAUGACUUUGUAAUGGGCCAAAUCUGCCCGGGCCCAACAACUAAAAACCAAAAUUUAAAAAAUAAAUAAAAAUUAAACCAAAUUAAAUGUCCACAAGUUCAAAUUACAUAUCCCAAUUUCAAACCCAAACUCAAAUUUAAAACUCAAAACCGAAUUAAUCCUAGCCCAAUACUCAAUGGCCCAACAACUAAUAGAGCCCGAUAGGCCUAAUCCUUUGAAAGUUCUUGGGAACCCUAACCCUAGCCCCAUUCGCUUGGCGCUGCAGCAGCCUUCAGCAUCCUCCAGCACUAACAUCGUUCGCGCCUCCACGUCGACACAAUCGUACCACCUCCGUACACCGCCACGUUCCUGCAAGCAGACAAGCAGACAACAGCAAAAUAGAGACAAAAAAGGAGCAGCUUUUUGUAUUUUUUUUCUUUUUUCUUCAUUUUUUUUUACUUUCGGCUUCAAAAGCCAAAGCCAAAGAAUGUAAUCAAGGGAGGCACACUUCGCAUAUUGUAAUAGAGAAAAAGGCUAUCAAAAUCAAGAGGUGAUUUCCGAUUUAAAUCGCUGGGCACUUUUUUAUUCUAUAUUUUUUUUUCUUUUUUCUUUCUCUUUGGCUUUAUUAUUUAGUUCUUGUUGUUUUUUUUUUAUUUUUAUUUGAAGACACGAAUAAAAAAGGCGAAGGGCUUACCUUUUCGAACGCGCCAUCGAAGUCCCUAGUUCCUUUGUCGAGAUCGGAGUUAUAGAGGGGAUUUUGGGGGUAAAAUCGGCGGUCCUUGAGGUAGGGAUCCAAGUGGGGUUAACUAGCGAACAGAUCACCCUCCGUCGAUCACCGUUUGGGGUGGUCAAAUGGCGGCUAGGGUCUUUUGAGGCUUGGUGCUAAAGAGGGGUAAAAAUCGGCCAAAUGAGAGAAAGUAUGGGGGUAUUAGGGUUUAGCUUUAAUAGAGGCUUGAAAAAAUGGCCAAUUGCCUCUUGAUCCCCUGCUAUUGUGGAUUAAAAAUGAAACGGCACCGUUUUAGGGAAAGGGACCGGCGCAUUAACCUGUUCCAGGACCAAGCUCUUAAAAUGGGUUAUUUUGUAGAAGGUCCUUCCCCUUUGCACCGCAUUAUGAUUAGCUCCCAUUCGCAUUUGAUUUGUUUUGAUUUCUUUUGAAUUUUUCCCAAAAUUUGAGCUCUUUUGCAUUUUAGCCCGUAUCUCAACGCAGUGUUUCGGGAUCAGGGAAAUUAUCAGCUUUGGUCCCUGUGAAUUCGCGCGUGUUGCGCAUGGGUCCUUAUUUUAAUAUUAGUAGUUUGUUUUAUUUAUAGAUUAUCCCUUUCAUUCUAAUUGCAUUUUAAUUAGAUCCUUUUGAUUUGUAUAAUUCAUUUUUUAUUAUUCGC